CCGCCGGGAGGUGGUGGAAGCGGAUGGCGAGACCGAGGGCAGCGGACUCCGCCUCCACCUCGCGGAUGUGGUCGGCGAUCUCGGACGCGCGCUUCUCCGACGGCGCCGGCAUGAUGAGCACGGUGAGCGUGAGCCGGCGGGUGCUGCGUGCCAGCAGACGCUUGCCGGCCUCGAUCAUCGGGACGAAGUGGCCGACGCCCCAGAUUGGAACCAAGACGACGGUCGGGUCGGCGUCGGCGUCGGCGCUCGUCGUCAUGGCGUGGGUGGUGGUGUUCGGAUUCCGGGUGGAACGGAAGGAUAGACGACGACCGAGGAGCGGAAGGCCUCCCCUGUGGAUGUGCUUGUGCCUGUACUAUGUUGUCAUGGGUGAAAAAAAAAAGGUUUGAAAGAAAGCGGGCUGGCAGUGGGCUACAACUGCAAAGCAGCAGCUGCCGACUGUUCGGUUGGGCGAAACGAGAAGAGAAGAGAUGGGAAGAGUUAGGCACUCACAAUGCAGACUCUAUCAUAGAGUCUAAAAUCAUUUAUUAUCUCGAACAAUAUGGACUUGAGUCUAAAUAAGACUUGGAGUCUUAUUUUUUUCUACCUCUUUCUUCAAUAAAUAUGGUGCCACAUCAACAAAAUACCAUAAAUAAUAUGUAAUUAAUUGUCUUGGACUCCAUGAUAGAGUCUUGAAUUGGGAGUGCCCUUACUCAGCGCGCAUUGAGAGUUGGGAGAGCAGGCCUCCAGAAUCGUUGUUCAAAUAGAGCCAGGUUUUUGGAGAGCGCCUCUGCGACUGCUUGCCAUCUUUUUUGGAACGUUACAUCUCCUUUCUAGUGGUGCCUUUUCUUCGUCGGAUCGGCUUCGUCUACUUCCCCGUGGGCGUUCGAGAGAUGGCACUGCGUACAUCUUUCCGUACCAAUUGUAGUCCGUGGACUUCAAGCUUUCCAUGAGUGGGAAUGGAGCCACCGGUACUUUGAGCAUGGGUCCUUCCACAGGGUAUAUCUCUAUUCUCAAAUGGGUUAAAUUCAAUGUCUUUUUCGCUAUGAUCAGUAUGUUGUUCAUGAACAUAUUUGCUGCUAAUCCAAGUAGUAGUAUAGUCACACACAUGCAUAUAUUUGUCAUAAAAAAUUUACUACUAUAUUUCUUGAUUAAUUUUAACAUAGAAAUAGCUAAAUUUCUAACAGGGAGAUAGGAUAUUUUUAUGGUGACCACUGGCCACUAAAACAUCAGAGCUAUUGCAAAGCUGUUGGAGCAAUAAAAUUACUUCAUCUUCCCUAAUAUGAUAGGUUUAUGGAUACGAGGGAUCGUAUUGGGAGUUGUUGAAUAUGCUUUUAAGGAUCCAAAUUGGGUUGCCAUGUUAUUAGGUUUUAGUAGUCCGUUUCAAUGCACUAUUUUCAAAACAAAUCCGCUGACAGGGCAUCAAUGAAACGAAUAAUGAAACAACCUCCACAAUGCAUGAGUUUCACCUUGACGUUUCCUAGGCUGGGCAAAAUAUUUAAUUACUGCAGAAUGAUUGGAUCACAUGCAAGAUGGUGAAACGAUUUAGCCCUCAGUGGAGAUUUCAUCCUGUUUCACCGCGUGGGAAACAACGCCCGCAGGGUUUCACCAUGGUGAAACUACUUCCUUCUCUCUCCUCUUCGUUUCAUGCAAAAAGUGCAAUUUUGCUGACAUGGCGCUCUAACAAAUAUGCAUGACAUCCUGAUGAAACCCCCACUGAGACUGGCCUUACUCAUGAGGUCGGUUAUUAGACGAAAAAGGAUUAUAAAUACUAAAUUUCUCAUAAAACUAAAAACAGUUGACUAUCAAAUCGUAGACUACAAUCACAACUGAUAAUAAUAAUAAUUAUGUUAUUAGUUCUAUUGCAAAUAAUAAGAUUGUAGUCCGUGCGUGAUAGAUAUAUUAAUAUAAUGGAGUACUAGUAUAAUCCCCUAAUAAUAAAGCAAUGAGAUUAAACCAGUCUCAAUACAUGUUUCACAUUAAAUAAAGUGUCACAUGAGCAAAAUUGCUGACUUGGCAGGGUCAUUAAAUGAAGUAGUUUCGUCGGAUGAGAGAGGAGUUUCAUCUCCAUAAAACUUAUGUGACACAUCGGUUACCUAGUUUGUAGUCUUGGUAACUGUGCUAUGAAGACUCGCCCUACCGUCACGUGCCGUACAAGGCGCUCGCCGUGUGCAGACUAAGCGCACGUCCGAGCUCCGAUCCCCGGCCCUGCAUGCAUGCACUGCACAAGCUUUAUUUCAACCUGCGAUCCCGCCGCCGGCAUGCAGCCGUCGAGCAGACUUCGAGGACACAUUCUAUCUUGAGGCAGUCGCCGCGGACGAAGCCGGUGCCCUUGAUGCCGCCGGUGCCCAUCAUGUCGCACCUGUACGCGCUCGCCGCCGCGUCGAACCGCGUCGGGUGAUGGUCCCAGAUAACGGUGUCCGAGAGGCCGGUGGUCUGGUCCAGACGCAGGAGGCCGACGUACGCCCGCGCCACCACGCCCUCGGUCAGCAGCAUGACGAAGACGCCCAAGUGUCCGUGCUCGCCGUCGCCGUCGGAGCAGCCGGCGGCCGGGUAGUAUGAUCGGAUUCGGAUGGCCCAGUGGAGGCCGGCGACGGCGAAGGCCGGGGACUCUACGAAGCCGCCGCGUGCGAACUGCUGCUCAUGUAGCCUACUGAAUCCGCGGACGUGCACGACGUGCGUGCCGCGGGCCGUUCUUGUCACGCGCACCGGCAGCCGGGGCGAGUGUCGCCGUGCGCAGGCUCGCCAAUGGCGGCAGACGGCGCUGAGAUGGACGCGGUCUCUGCAGGAAGGGAGACGAGGCAGGAUGUGGCCGAACAGGUCCGAGGGCAGAUCGCACCACCUCAUCACAACUCCCGCUUCUUGCUCCUGCAGCAACUGCAACCCGCUGAAGCCGCGGGCCGCCGCCGUUCGAGUCACGCGCAUCGGGAGAGUGUUCGACGUCGACGCCGACGCCGCCGACGCCAUUGUUUCGCAGGUAAUAACGUAGUGCUGUUGGCCUGUUGCUCGAUCGAUGUGUGUGCCCAUGCACAGCCCACGCGAUGUUGGUUGUGCCUGUGUGUUAUUUUAUGUGCCAGCGGGAGAGAGCCCCGCCCCCGCCCGGCCGAGUAUGAUUUUUUUGAAACUGAUACGGACGUCCUGUCCUCGUACUGGUACAAGAAAAAUCUGAAACGGAUACGUAUAUGGUACUGAUAGAUAUCUGGGACACGGAGUAAAUAGUGUUGCUCGGCCUGAACAAUGAGCUCCUGCAUGAAUAUUUUCAACUUUAGGGACUGCUAAAGAGAGCAUGCACCUGAAUAAUAUUGUUUUCUAUAUUAUUAACCUGUACUAUGUUUCUUUCUUCUUUUUUAUUUUUUUAUACGUACAACCAGAAUUUUCAAUUUCUUCUAGUAACGUGGGGUUCUUAUAGUGUUUUAGUAUUUAAAAUUUAGUAUAAACUUUCCCUAGUAAAUGUCUCCUAGUGAGGAUUUCCUAGUGUUUAACUAGUGGUAGUGUUUUAUUACUAACUAAAAACACUAGGAGAACUCCACCUUUUGGUAGUGGAUGGUAAUAAUAUGUAUAGAUGUCUAAACAGACGGACACCAUUGUCCACUUGUUUUAUCCGCUCUCGAUUGCUGCCCCCUUCUCUCCUCACAUCUCUUUAUCCACUCUUUUCCAUCUCCCUCUUGGCUUUCGUCUCGCUGCCCCCGCCACUCAUGCCGUCAGCAUCCGCACUCCUACCGUGCCACUGGCAAGCUGUCCCUCCCCCUCUCUCCCUCACCCCGCUACGACCUCCACGCCUCUAUGCCACCGGAGUGGGGGCGACGAUGGUGGCUUGCAGCGAGCGGCAUGCCUCCCUCCCUCGCUCUACAACCUCCAUGCAUCCGGAGAUGAGGACGAUGGCGUAGCUCCGACAAGGUAGGCGGGGAGGGCCGGAUUUGGAUCUAAGGCCGCCCUUUCCCCUCUCUCCUCCUGUGGGUCUAGAUCUGAGCCCUCCUCAUCAUCAUCUUGCUCCUCCUCCUCGUCCUCCUCUUGCUCUUCCUCCUCUGGGUCUGGAUCUAUAUGAAAUAUGGUAGUGGCUAAGGUUUCGGCAACCUCUUGGGCUUCAGCGCUCUCGCGCGUGUUGUAAUGGUGUUAUCUGGUUGUUGCAGUACGUUUUCAGGUGAUGUUUCAAUAGGGUAGGAUUUCGGCGAGCUCUCAGGUUCAGGUCUCAUCAUUAUUGCAAUGGUUCUCUCUAGACGUUGCAGUAGGUUUCAGUCGUUUGUUGCAGUACUGUGUUUUAGAUGUUGUUUCAGUUGCUUCAAUCUGGAUGUUGUGGUAGUUUGUUUCAUGUUGUUGCAGCAGUUGUUCGGUGUUAUUAUAGUACUAUGUCCAUGAUGUUUUAGUUGCUCCAUCCAAUGCUUCAAUUUGCACUAUUAUAUUAGUUGUUGCAUGUUAUUGUAACAAUUGUUCGUGUUAUUAUAAUAUUAUGUUCAUGGUGUUUCGGCUGCUCCGUCCAAUGCUUCAAUCUUUAUUGUUGUAUUAGUUGUUACAUAUUGUUGCAGCAGUCGUUCAUUGUUGUUGUAAUACUAGGUUCAUGGUGUUUCAGCUGCUCCAUCUAAUGCUUCAGUCUAUAUGUUGUAGUAGUUGUUUGCAUGUUGUUGUAGCAGUUGUUAGGUGUUUGUUGUAAUACUAUGUUUUAUAGUGUUUCAACUACUUCAACCUAUUGUUGUACCAGUAUGUCCGGUUCGGUGUUGUUGCACAGUCAUGCACAUUGUGUUACAGCGUUAAGCGUAUGGGGGUAGGGUGCGGGGAUGAGUUGGCGGCAAGCGGAUGUGCUAGGGGCCGGCAAGGCGAGGGGCAGGGUGGAUCCCGUGCUCAUGGGGGUGGGACGGGAUCCUUGCGUGGGAGCGGACAAAGAGUGAUCCUACGUGCAGAGCGAGUAGGGCAUGGGCGAGUUGGUUGGAGGCAGACAUGUUUCCUUUUCAUUUUAUUUUUUUUCUUUUCUUCGUGUGGCACGGGUGGAGGGCUCAGCUCGUGGACGCGUUGUUGGCGCCUUCUUUUUUUCUUUUCUUCAUGUGGCGUGGAUGGGGGCUUAGCAUCCGGACGCGCUGCUGGCGCCGAACCUGCUGGCGCUAGUAGUACCGUUUUUCGUAUACUAAUUUUUCAGUUACAACUAUGACAUUUUUUUCUCGAAUACACAAGAGAUCUGCAUAUCAUUAUAUUAAGAAAAAAAGUUUAUAAUACAACCGACGCGCAACAAGCGCGCUAGGUGAUCACUAGCUGGACUGACCUAGCAAAGAGUUCUGUGGACCGGUAUUACAUAAAUGGAUCAACCAUAAUACGCUCAACGUCACAUCCUACGAGUCCUCCUCCUAAAAGAGCUUGCGCGCACGCCCGUUAAACACUGAACGACAAGGUCCCAGUAUGCUGGGCGUCGAGUAUCCCUCUUGGCGCAGGCAAAUCCGGUGCGGUUGGUGGAGUGAUCCCUAGCCGCCUGUUUAGGAGAACCUCGCCUCACUUGGAGGCCGGGACGAUGUGCGCCAACGGUUGGGCGGCAAUCCAACUGCUCCUAGGCCCUACAGGCGGGGGCCUCCUGAUAGCCGUCCUCUGCUGUGGAGGGGUUAGAUUUAGUGAUUUCAUUAGUAAUGUCAUUAAUAGUUAUAGAUGAUGUGGACCUUAUGUAAGGACAUGCAUAAACUUGUUCCACGGAUAGGUAUACCUCCGUCUCAGAAUAAAUUAUAGAGAUGUUUUAAGUGAUUUUUUUAAGUUUAAUCAAAUUUAUAUAGAAAAAGUAUAAUUAUUUGUAAAAACAAAUCCUCACAUUAUGAAAAUAUAGUUUAUGGUGUAUCAAAUCAAAUGAUACUAAUUACUGUUAAUUUGGGGAGUCUCAGGGACUUGUCGGCACCAAGCCAACCUGUCUUCAGGUCAAGUGGCCAACAGAAUGUAACACGGCAUGGUAACUAUCAGUUCACCUGCAAUUCCUUUUAACAAAAAGUUCACCGUAAGUCAUGAAGAAAGAUAAUUUUCAGUUUGGAAACUUUUAUAUAUAUGUCCAUUUACUUUGUUUUUUUAUCGAUAACACAAAAAGUUUAUACGUCUUUGUAUUACUAAGGUAGAGAAAAAAGUUUAAUAUACAGAGUAUAAGUGUAUAACACGCCUUAGCAGCGCCCUAGGUGGUUAGACUCUCGGACCCUCACGGCCUCACUAGUGUACUGGAAACUUGGUAUACUUGUGUAACUCAGCAUACUAGCAACAAAAAGUGGUUCAUGUUAUUGACCAAUGCUUAACCUAUUGCUAAUUCACCUGACGCAAAUACAUCAAUGUGUUGCAACAGAGCCCAAAACCAGAAAGCGAAUCAAGGCCAACUCAAGUCAUCAGCUUGUGUUCAGAUCAAAUCUCAAAUCUAGCAACCCUAUAGUACAAUUGAGGACAUCGAAGCACAUGCAUUUUCAAGGGAGAGGUCGGAGCUGUGAAUUUGUGAAGUAACACAGAACGCAAACUUAACACAAUUGCCAAUAGAUAAAGAUUAGCAGACCUGAUGAUCAUAUCAGUUUCAGACUUUCAGUUUUUUUUUGGAUGUUUAACGUCCUUCAGUUCACUAGACGAAUACAUGAAAUUUUGUUUCCUUGAUACGAUCCUACCAUCAUCCAUCUAAUUCAAGGGACUUAAACUGAAGGCAAACAUCUGUUAGCGCCUCGCAGUAGUGUCGAUCAGCCAAGGCGAGCGUCGUCUCCACCGUGGCUCCAUCGACGCUCCUGCACAAGAUGCUCUCGCAGAUCAGCUUCAGCCGUUCCAUGCCGUACCGAUCCGCCGCCUCGAGAAGAUGCCGCACCAUCUCCCUGUAGUCGUCGUCCCCGUCGAGAUCGCCGGGGAGCAGCAGCACGUCGGUGUAGAUGAAGUGAAGCAGAGCUCUAAAGACCACCGGCUGCAUGUCGUCGACGGCGAUGCGAUCCAUGGCCUUCUCCUUCAUAUCCCCGAAGAGCUCCGCCAUGAACACCGGCGACCGCGCAGCCAGCACCACCCUGUGCGCGCGGAAGAUCUCUCCUUGGACGGCGAGCGUGACGUCCGCCGCUUGGUCGCCAUGCUGCUGGUUCAGCAGCAGCUCGCCCAGGUGCUUGGCCAGGUCCGACGGCGGCAGUCUGAGUUUGCACAGAGCUACGGCCUCUGGCACCCGCGCCUCGUCGGCGACGACGUCGACGACGCACUCGAUCGUGAGCCGGUCGUCGCGCAGGUACGCCGACGCCUCCAACUCGCUCCGCGGCAUGAACUUGCGGGCGCCGCGCUUGGGCUUGCACUUGCCGGGCGGCGGCGGCGCCGAGUAGACGAACACGACGGGCUCCGCGGCGUGGUGGACGGAGCGGGACAGCCCCGUGCACCGGUCCACCAGGCGCAGGUCGUAGCGCGCCCACGCCCUGGCGUUCUUGCUCGUGAGCUUGACGAACGCCGACACGUACGCCCGGUGCGGCGCCGAGAAGCCGCCAGGGUAGAAGCGGACGGACCACCGGUAGCCGCCGACGGCGAACGAGCCCGACCGCACGUACUCGCCGGCGGCGAAGCCCUUGAUGAGGCUGUACCCGACGAUCUCGAACUGGUGCGUCCCGCGGACGGUGCACGGCGACGGCGCCAUUUGUGAAUUUGUGAUGGAUUGGAUGUUCAAAUUCUGACGCCGCCGUGUGCGUAUAUAGAUGACGACGGUGCAAGUUGAAGAAGUUUAAUCGACGAUCACUGAGUUUCUGGCUGAGAAUUCCCAUGUCUUGGGAACAUGGCGCGACCUCCUCGACUUCCAAACCGCUGAUGACUGACCCCUCGUGUUCUUCACUCAUCCAUCGAGUUCUGGACUCUGAAAUCCGCUCAAAUUCAUGCACCGAACACAUUCUUCUCUUCUUCUAUAUAUAUAUAAACAUACGUACACACACAGUGAUCAUGAACACGAACAACACGAGUGCACAAGAAGUCCUUGGUGAAAAAAUGGCUCUGCCAGCGAACACCAAGUCGACGAACACGACGGAGACAGUGCGCGGCGAGCACCGGUUCGACAUCGACGGGUACAGCGGCAAGCUCCGGGCUGGGCGCGUCGUGACCUCCGAAACCUUCGCCGUCGGCGGCCUAGACUGGGCGAUCCGCUACCACCCCGCCGCCGCCGAGGUGGGAGACGAAGAGUACGUGUCCGUGUUCGUCAAGCUCGUGACGCCCAACGCCAGAGCGUGGGCGCUGUACGACCUCAGGCUUGUGGACCGCGCCACGGGGCUGCCGCGCUCGGUGCGCCGCCGCAGGGAGCCGGUGGCGUUCGACGCGAGCAAGGCGAGGAAGCGCGAGAGGGGCUCCCGCUUGUUCAUGACGGUGAGCGAGCUGGCGGCGUCGCCGUACCUCCGCGACGACCGACUCACCGUCGAGUGCGUGCUCGACGUCGUGGAGACGUUCCUCUCGGAGACCACGGCGUCUCCGGGAACCGCCGAGCCGCCGCCGCCCGACCUGUCGAGGCACCUCGGCGCGCUGCUGCUGCAGACGCCGGUGGGGGCGGACGUGAGCUUCGCCGUCCAAGGAGAAACGUUCCGCGCGCACCGCGUCGUGCUCGCGGCGCGGUCACCUGUGUUGAAGGCCGAGCUCUCCGGCUCGGCGCCGGCGAAGGAGGACGACGACGACGAUGCAAGUGAGGUGGUAGCCGUCGACGGCAUGGCGCCUCCGGUGUUCAAGACCCUGCUCCACUUCGUCUACACCGACACGUUGCCGGAGGAUCUGCUGGGUGAUCUUGGAAGGGAGGAGCAGCAGGAAUUUGUGCGGGAUCUCCUCGCAGGUGCGGAUCGAUACGGCAUGGAUCGGCUGAAGAAGAUAUGCGAGCUCGUUCUUAGGAAACCACUUGAUGCCAAGACCGUGGCAGCUGCGCUAGAUCAGCACCGCCAUUGCCAAUGCCAAGCUCUCGGAGACGGCAAUGUUCAGUUCAUGCCAUCCGCUUGACUGCAAAGAUGAGCGAACGACGCACCGUCAGAAAUUGUUAUGGUUUGGUCCAGUUAUAUAUGUUCUGAUGCUUGUCAAUCAUAUAUAUGUUUUUUUUUAAAUAAUUAGUUAAAAGUAUCGUUGGACUCAUUCGUUUCCGAUGCUCGGUGCUUGAUUUCAAUUCAGAUGUUAGAAAUUGGAAUUUGUUUGUUUAUCCUUGGUUAAACUUGUCUAAGUUGAGGCGUGGAAUUUGAUUAGCAACCAAACAACCUCUUAAAAUUUAAAUAUUUAAAAUUAAGUUUUAUACAAAAGUACAAGCAACUUUAUAUCAUUUCAACCGUGGUUGAUGUUAGAUGUUGUCCGGAGGACACACCGCCCUUUCUUAAGGCAACCACAAUAUGUAUAAUAUUUAUCAUAAAAAUAACUUGUUAAUAGUUUUAAAUUAUCAUAAAUUAAACUUAACCUUUAUGAUGGCCUAAUUAUCUAUAGAGAUAACUUUUAAAUAGUUUAAAAUAUAAACAUAUUAAAAUAUAAGUUAACUAAAAAUUCAGAAGAAUCAGACAUUAAUAUUGCCAAUCCUAGCAUGUAAUACAAUAAUAAGUGGUGCUUCUAGAUUACUAGUGCACAACAUCAAGUAGUAAGAUAGUACCUCCAAGAUCUCUCAUCUCUUGAUGGCCAUAAACUAGUCUCUAGUGACGUAAUGUAACUUAAUUAAUAGUGUUAACUGCUGCUAGUGCAGAGCAUAUGUGAGUAGCUUAAGCUAAGAACUGAAAUCUCUAGUCAAUGUCGUCUAUUAGGGACGCUGGACUUCUCCUCAUGCUGGUUUCCAAGUCAUCUCUCAUCUCCUUUCUAAUUGCAGUUGUAGUCAUUGUGCAUGUUUCUGUAUCUCCAAAGCUACCAGCCAGAUGUUGCUUCAACCUUUUUAUCCCUCCAUAAAUGAGUGACCACAUAGGGUGCAUGUCGCCACAUCUUUGUUACAAAGGUUUGGUAGUAGGCAUACUUCCACCCUGGAUUGGAUCCGAACUUGCCAUUGUGCUAUCAACUGUGAAAACAAAGAAUUAAAGAACAACACAUGGAAAGGAAGCAGCAGUCCAGUCCACUCCACUCUGCAUCUAUAUACUAGAGGAGCAGCCAGUAGGAGUAAAACCAGAGUAGCAGAGAACAGAGGACAGGAAGAGGGAGAGAAGAGGCAUACAGACAAGCAGGUGGGAGCUGGGCACCCUGAACCUGAAGAACAGGGGACCGAGCUUCUGGCCAGUGAGGAGGCAAGGACGAGCAGGAGCAGUCCACACGGGAAAUCCUAGCCCUGGGCCCGGGCAAACGACGCGAAAUCAACGGACGGGAGGACAAGAAGACGACUGAAAAUUGAUGUGUAGUUGGCCAAACGGGCGGCCUGGCCCGGCAUUAUGCGGCACUAUGUCUAUCGUGUCGUGCCGUCUCGGACCAUCGUGCCAAACUCUCGGUCCAGGCACGGCACUAUAGCUUCUUAACCGUGCCGUGCCGUGCCGAUAGGCACUGUGGCCCAUCGUGCCCGUGCCGGCCCGUGGCUUCGGGAGAAGUCGAGAAGCUCAUUGCGCCCUGCCUCAAGGAGAAGAUGAGCGCUACCGCUGUCGUAUAGUCAGGCGGGAGAAAGUGUGGCCGCAACAAGGAUGUGUCUGCGCCGCCGACUAGAGAGUUAGGGUUUGAAAGGGUUGUGUGAUGCUUAUAUACAUGACUCACUAUACAUUCAAUGGUCAUGAUCUAUCCUCAAAGCAUCAGAUGAUGAAAAUAAUCGUGCCAGCGUCGUGCCAGCCUAUUAAUCGUGCCGUGCCCGUGCCGGCACUGCGGGCCGAAGUUGCGGCCCAGGCACGGCACUACCACCGGACCGUGCCGUGCCUGGACCGUGCUUUUUAGUGUCGUGCUCGGGCCGGCCUAUCGUGUUAGUGCCAGAUGGAAAUCUAUAGAUGUGUGGGGAUGCAUCAGAGAGCCACACGGGAUGUGUCGGCAGGAACUCACUGUGAGUGCGCAGGGAAGCAGGGAUGUGCUGCCCGAUCAUCCUGCUUGAAUGUUUUGGGACAAAUUUGGACUGAUUCCUGUUUUAUCGUGACUGAUUUCAGUUUCACUAGGAGGGGGAGGAGACGAUGUCCCUGUUUUAUGUGUCCUGCAACUUUGAUUGUCGUCGGUGGAGGGCAUGAUCUUAAAACUUCUCCCAUAAAAUGGAGUUAGUUUGUAAUAUGUGCCGCAUAAGAGCUCAAAACUGAACUGGUUGAACUUGUUUUUUUUAGUUCUCUUAGAACUAUGUAUUUUCAAGUCUUGCUAGGGAUAAUGCGUAUGCAAUGUAGCUACGCUGCUUAUUUUUGCUUAUGCCAGUUUGUUGUGCUUGCAGUUUUCAUGCACUGCAUAGAUGCGAUGCAUCAACUGAUUUCGUAACGCUGAACCUGUUCUCUUUGUCAGAUUUAUAUAUGCCUGAAUAUGCGGGCUUCUUGUGUCGGCCACUCGUAGGAGGGCCUGCAUGCAUCCUCAAUAAACGAUUAUGCAUUUGAGCUUUGUAAUACAUUAAUUAAAGCACAAAGUGAUCUGAAAUUCAAAGUUACAUUACCAACAAAGAAAAUGGAGGUAUACACCAAUCUAGACGGCUGGAUGAUAGUAGCCAAUCAAACUCUUACUAGAUCCGACGAUAAAACAAAAUUAAAUAACUCACUCCAGGAGUCCAGGUCUUCCAUUAUCGUAUAUAAAUCUUAACUCAGACGACAUAAUUUACUGUCUCUCAUGGAAACAUUAGUACACAGCACACCUUUGCUUAUAAUACUUACUUAGCCUUAAUACUCCAGCCACCAACCCAUUUACAAAUCCGCCGUCGAGGGGCUUUGACGACAACAAUGUCUUUACCAAAGCGUUGGGAAGCGAGGCGUGCCCAGGCACAAAUACUGUCCUCAGGUAUGCCUAUAUUUAUUUUGUCAUCAGGAUUUUUAUCUAGUUUCACCAUUGGUUCAAUGGUUACAUGCUCAAGCACAUCACCGUUUUCCAGAAUGCCAAGCAGCAGCUCGAUCUGAGGCCGGUAGCACCUGAACCCGCUCAUGUAGACCGUUUUGAGGUGAUCAAGUCGGCGCAUAGGGAAGACUUCACUUUCGUCACACCAGCAGCUUCCGCCAAUCUCGACAGAAUAACACAUCUGUUUCCCAAAGAUUUAGAAAUCACAUGUUAGUCUGCCUAAAUUAAUAGGAGCCUAAUGUUGUUCGUCACCAAAGAAAGAAAAGCAUUAUAUGAAAAAAGAAAGAAAAGCAAAAAGAAAACAGAAAAAAAAAUUACUCACAUGCAGUUCUAGUGUCUCCAAUCGGGGUGCAAAAUCCAAAAACUGAGCAAUCUGAAAAAUUCCAUCGUGGCUAUUUGGGCCAUUAGUGAGAAUAGUUAUUUCACAAGUCAGCUUCCUUAAUUUUACAAGCAUGCAUGUUGGCCUUGUCAUCCCACGCACCUGAAACAUGAUCAAAACAAGUAAUUAAACACUAACAAAUCAUUUGAACAACUAUGGGCCAAGCAAAGAUGAACACUAGGUACCUGCAAGGACCAGAGCCAGGUCGGAUUGUAUUCCCGCAUAGAGGCACAUACAUGUAGCUCCUUGACUGCUGAAAUACUGGGAAUAAUUCCAGCAAUGGCACAGACGAAUCCUUUGUUACUGACUUGUUCAGCCAAUGGCAUCCGAAAAAAUGUAAUGGUUACCUUCUCUAGAUUUGAGCAACCAUGAAGCAAUAUGGGAAUCACAAACCCUUGGUACCCAAAAUGAGUAAGACCAGUAACCUGAAAAUCAACCAUCUUGAGACUCAUAUUGCAAAUUAGCAAAUGUCUAAGUUUAUCGAGUGGGUGUGGUAUGUUCAGCUCUGCGACACCAGAGCAUGCAAUGAGCUCUAAGUCCUCAAGAAUAGGGCAAUUUAGUAACAAUUCUGGAAGAUCUCCAAUUAUUUCAGCACAGUGCAAAUGAAGCUUCACAAGUUUCUUGAAGCCACAUAUAUCCGAACGUGGCUUUAUAGAAACAUUAGUGAGAAACAAGGAUUGGACAAAAGGGCCAUCUAGACCAUCUAAAGCCUGGAGAGGGAAAUGAUAAACCUCUUUGGUAGGUCCUAUAUCUUUCCUUUGUGGCCCCAGGUUGAUAUCUAUAAUCUUGGCCGACUUUGAUGCAGUGGCAAAGUAUACCCACCUAUCAAGAUGAUCUGAGCAGUUCUUCUCAAGGUAGCACCUGAUGCUGAACUUAUUGAGCCUAGUACCAGUGUGCUUCUGAAUAACAGAAUUUACUGUCUCAAUGAACUUUGCUCCUUUUAUUUUGACACUAUCCUCAUCAGUGGGCCCAUCUUCAGUGCCAUCAAAGCAUAAAUUAGGGUACCGUGUCCAGACCUCUCUCCACUUUCUUGAUACAAUGCUUGUCCUUGCAGCCUCUUUUGGUGACUGUAGGGACAAUACCAAAUGCUGAAUUUCCUGUCAAAAGAAAGGAUAAUGACAAGGGUUUAGUUUUGAACAAAAGUACAAUAAUCAUGCAGUACUCAGUAGUGGGCACACACCAUGAUUGAAGAACUUCAUGCGCUUUCGCACAUGUAAAUCGGCCACUGAGCAGAUAAGAUAGUGCAAAAGAACCAAAGUAGAAAAAGAAAUGUGCUCAGCUAAUUAAUGGCCUUCCACAGGAUGCCAUUGGUAAAUUGGAGUCUUCAAGUCAAGUUCAUUGUAUUUCAUGCCACAAACAACACUCAGAAAACUACGCACAGCAGGGAGAGGUAGAUGAUUCUUUACUAAAAAUUUAUGAUGCACCUUUUAUGUUUCGAGCUAGAGAACAAUAUAAGCAUAGGUCAGGUGUCUCAAUAGAAGCACUGAAGAGUGCUAAAUAUGGAUGCCAGGACAAGUCAGGAUGGAAGAUACAGCAAACAUAUAGUAGAAGUCUGAGAUGAAAUUAUGAGACUUUGAGAAAAAAUAAGUGGGGCCAAGAGAACAUUCAAAAAGUAUGUGCUACCUUCGUAAGAAAACAUCCCAUCAUCCAGGAGCGAAUGAGACGACCAAGAUAGUGCUACAGGUUGCAAAAUCAUAAUUGACUAGAUCCAAAAUAUAGUUGCAAAAAAGAAAGAUGAUUUCUGGAUUUUGUGCACAAACUGCAGCAAGGGGACUCCAAAUGGCUAGGUUGCCGAUUGAAUUGUGAAUGCUGUUUUUCCUUCCUCUUGUUUGGGUGCAAAUGCAGUAGUGCACAAUACACAAAUUGCUGAACAGGAUAGAGUUUUUAUGUUAGGAGAAACUUGUACAUUCUGCUGCCAUGCCCUCUCCCAGGCCUCAUAAGUUCUAACCUAUACCAGAAGGCAUCUUAAAACGCUUUGGCUAAUCGUUGCGCAGGUUCAUGAAGGAAAGGGUAGCCUACUUAUAGCAUAAAAACAUUAAAGAUUAAUCUUUUCUUCAUGUCCAAAAGAACUGAAGAAUGAUUGCAUUCUUCGUAAACUUAUUGUGAAUUUGUGAUUCCACAACCCAAUCGAACAGAGAGGAGACGACAGGGCAGAAAAAAAAGAGGAUUUUUACCUCCGGAAGGUCGCCCAUUUGGAAUGGGGAGAACUCGAGUGCGUCGCUAAGGCAUUGGUGGUGGUCCAACCUCCUGAUUUUGGCCGCCCCCUGGUCCUCCAUACGCAGCUGCUGCUGGAGACGAAACAAAUCCUGGAUUAGGCACGGCCGGCGAGAGCACCCCACCCCCCUCCCCCCACCCCAGAAGAUAGAUAUAGCCGACCAGGCCCCGGCUCCGGCUCCGGCUCCGGACCGGAUACUCCCUUCUCUAGAGCAUCUCCUAAUAUAUCUAGCCUUCCAGAAAGAGUAUUUGGAAUCCUUUUUCCGUUCGGAAACAAUCGGGUAAAACCGGGAGAUAGAUGUAGAGGUUAAUAUUUACUCCCUCCAUCCCAAAUUAUAAAUUAUUUUAAAAAAUUUAUAAAGUUAAAAUAUUAUAAAUUUGAUUAAAUUUAUACGGUAAAAAUAACAUUUGUGAUAUUAACUAAAUAAUAUUAGAUUCUUCAUUAAUUAUAUUUUUAUAGUAUAUUUAUUUGAUGUCACAAAACUUUAUAAUUUUUUUAGUUUUAAUUAAACUUGAGAUGUUUUGUCUUCAAGAUUCCUAGAAUGACUUGUUUAGUUUCCAAAAAAUUUUGCAAAAUUUUUCAGAUUCCCCGUCACAUCGAAUCUUUAGACGCAUGCAUUGAGUAUUAAAUAUAGACGAAAAUAAAAACUAUUUGCAUAGUUUGGUCGAAAUUGAUGGGACGGAUCUUUUAAGCCUAGUUAAUCCAUGAUUGGACAAUAUUUUUCACAAACAAACGAAAGUGCUACAGUACCUGUUUUGCAAAAAUUUUUGAAACUAAACAAUGCCUUACAAUUUGGAACGAAGAGAGUACUUGCUCAAGCAGAGGAGACCUUUUCGUCGGUGGAAGUUCAUCGACUAUCUCCAACAGGGCCGACCUGAACACGGGACCUAUUCAUGUCACGCACAGCGAAGAAACAAAGCACCUAAAACUGUUGAACUCCAACAGUGAACGCAAAAACAGAGCUCCGCCACCGAGCUCCGACCCGCCCCCUCCCCGCCGAGCUCUCCACGCGAGCGCCGACCUGCCUCCUCCCCACCGAGCUCCGCUCGAGCUCUCCGCGCGAGCGCCGGCCCGCCCCCUCCCUGUCGAGCUCUCCGCGCGAGCGCUGACCUGCCUCCUCCCCACCGAGCUGCGCUGCUGAGCUCCCCGUCAAGCUCCGGCCCGCCCCCUCCCCACCAAGCUCCCUGCUGAGCUCCGCCACCGAGCCCUUGCAGAGCUCCACCGCUGAGCGCCGGCCCGUCCCCUCCUCGCCAAGCGCUGAGGCACCCGCAGGCAGAUCUAGCAGCGCCGGACCGCUUCACCGUCGUCCGGCCCGCCUGGCUGAGCGCUAUCCAUGGGCUCGCCUGGCCGCGCCUCGUCCUCGCCGCGGUCCUGCCUCGACAUCGUCGUUCGUGGUCACCGGACCUCCCCGCGCUCCAGCUGCCGGAGUGGGGGUGGGAGAAGAGGGAGGAGGACCCCAGCGUCGGAGAUUUGCGUCGUGCACAGAGAUGACGCAUGUAUGCCUUCUGUUUGGCCUCGUACCUAAAAUGCAUGCAUGUUGUCAGUUGUGUUUGCGUCCUCCAUUGGAGCGUGAUUAGAGGACGCAAAACAAUGUAGAAGACGGAUUUUGGGUUUGGGUAGUGUUUUGCCAACUCCGUUGAAAAAUAGUCUCAAUCCUCUUUACUGCAGUCACCCUUAUCGACUUCAUUCAUCCUGCAGUUAUGGGCAUCGGACCCUUCGCUAAAGAUCCAACGGCUGAUGACUCCGAUCAGCCUUUCAUGCGUUGGGCCUUAGCCUAUCUCAGCCCAAGGCACCAUGCUAGCUCGCCUCUGUCCUUGUCUUCGUCGUUGCGGAGCGGAGCGUGUCGCCGGAGAAUAGGAGGAGAAAGGUCAGCUGUACAGUACUCUGCAGUCAGCUGAUCUGAUCUGACGGUACACAGUUUCCACGAGGCUCCUAAGUGUUGCAUGCCUUCACGUGCUGGGCCUCGGCCCAACAAGGAUGAUGCCGGCGGCUGCUGUAUCCCUUAUGUUUUUCUGGGCUUAGAUGGGCCACUAGACCAGCCUGCUACAAGUGUUCGAUUGGGAUAACCGUUGGAUCACAGCGGACGUCUACCAUGUUGGUCAAACCUUUUCCGCCGGCGGACAAUACCUUCGUCAGGUGCAGUAGCGUUAUUCAGCCCCGUUAUUCAGGAUGCUCGAGAGAAGUCCUGCGUGCGUUGGGUGCGUCCUCCUCCACGAACUGAGUUUGCAGUGAACCGAGACUGACAGAACGAUAUAACUUUGGGGUAGCACUUUCAUCUGUAUUUAAUAAAUAUUAUCCAAUUAUAAACUAACUACACUCAAAAUAUUAGUCUAAUAAAUUACAGGCAAUUAGUUAUUUGUUUUAUCUAUAUUUAAUACUCCAUGCAUGUGUCGCAAGAUUCGAUGUGACGAAAAAUCUAAAAAAAAUUUGCAUAACUUUUUGAGAACUAAACAAGGCCUUUGAUGCGACAUUUUCUUUUCUAUCCAUUCAUACUUCAUGUACCAGAAUAAUUGAAUAAAUACAGGACAAGAAACAGGAUACAAGAAAACGCAGCGUCACCCUAGUUGCCACGCUGCUUUGGCCUCACUUCAAACAGCCAAACACUUGCUUAGGCCAGCACAUGGAUGAAUAACACUGUUGAGCCUAGUUAGUACACAUCAAAGGAGCUCAGAUUUCAGAUUCAGAGCUGCACCACAUGACCCAACGAGGACAAUUCAUCAUUGAUCUUUGAGGCCAAGUCCUCAUCAACCUCCAUCCUAGUGCACAACUUUGGGAUGGAAUAAGGCCGUGCUACUGCUGCAGUCGGCUCUUGAUCGCCCGCCUCCGUCUCCAUUCUGUCUGGCUUGUCCACAGAUGCACAGUUCUCCUUCCCAAACAGCUGCUCAAUAAGAUCACGGCAAGGCUUCAGAUCAUCCUCGCUCCGUGCUCUUGUCAGCUUACCAAGCAGCUCGUUCAGUUUCGCGGUUCUCUCCAUCUUCUGCUUUGCGAUAAACUUCAUUGGGCUUGGAUGAUCAUCCUGAGUUGGAUCAGAUGGUUUGUCAUCCUCAUUGGCGCUUUGGCUCUCAAGCAGUUUCUUCAGCUUCUGGUCCAAGAUAGUGGCAACCCUCUCCUUGAAGCUAUCAGCAGUUUCGUUAUCUGACUUCAACCUCACCUUUGCCUCCGAAACCAACAAGUCCAUCCUCUCUUCUUCUGAAGAAGUUGCUUCAGCUUCUGGCUCAACAUCAGCAUCUUCCAUGGGACAGAAUGUUUCCUCCAGUAACCCAACAUUCUGUGUAUACCUCUCAUAUGCUUCAUUUUCAGCAUCAAUAUCUCCUUGCAUAUGUUCCUUUAGCUUCAUAAACCUCCACUUGUUUAUACCCACAACAUCCUAGAACAAAACAAAAGUCACAAAAGAAACAAAAAGCGGUUCGAAACAAACAGAGCGCGUGAAACAGCCAAUAACCUUUUUGGUAAGCGACUUCUUUGUUUGGAGAGACUUCAGAAAAUGCUGGGGAAGCUUUUGCAAGGCAGCCAGCCUUGAUGCUGAACUGUGAAAAAGCAACAACCAAGCAUUAAAACAAUACAGUUGUUUGCAAGAGAUUAAUUGUCAACUUAUGUUUUAUAUAUGAAUUUUACCUGGUUGCAGGUAAAUUGGUAGACGGCUGUUCUGUUGCAGGAGCAGUAGCAGGUGAUGGCUUAUCUGGCAAUGUGUUGGUCUGCUUCAGAACUAUCAUGAUAGGUAAAGCAAGGCAACAUCAGUGGUGUUCAGAGUAGAGUAAAAAAUAAACAACAUUAUGGCAUAGCAACAUUAUGGCAUAGCACAGAGCAGCAGACAUGAUAAUAGACAAUGUAAAAGAAAGUUGAAAAUAAGAAAAAUGGAAUAUACAUGCAGAUUGAGAUAGAAAUAUCAUAAAAAUAAAACAUCAAUGUUCAUAAGAAAUGAUUCUAACAUAACCACUAGCAUUGCUUGGCUAGGCUGGAAGUUUGGAACUACAAAAACUUCCCAUCCCAAACCUUCACUUUUUUCCUUCACUACCCUCUUCCGCCAUUUCUUCAUGAAUCAUGAAGAGAAUAUCUCCAUUGACAGUCAAUGCAAGGUUUAAUCAAUAACCAAUCUAACACUUCAUCCCCACAUAUUUGACAUGUCCUUGAAGCAAGAUAGGGUCACACAUCCUCUCAGAGGAUGCAAGUCCACCAUGAAAAAUUCCUCUAUGGCCUUCUAUUACUUGUUUAAUUUUUUUACACAUUGUAUUUCUGUUGGAUGUGUGGUGCUUGCAGUUUGUGAAGACUUCUUCCAAACCAUAGUGACAUAAAACAGGGUCGAAGACAUCGACCCAAGACCCGGGAACGUCACCCUGAUAUGAAUACAUAGGGUUAUUUUCAACCCUGCCGUGUAUAAACCCCCCGCAAGUCUCAAGUAGCGAACCAUGUUCCUCGGCCCCGUUGACCCAGAAACUUUGUGACUAUGUUCCAAACAUUGUUCCAGGCAUUACUUCUGGAUGUAAAUUUCUGACUGCUAAUAACCAGUUCAUUUGUCUAAGAACUUGCCAUAAAUAUUUGAAAACACACAAAUAGUAAAUCUAAAUCAUUGCUAGGAUGGAUUGGUUAAAUCUGCUAGCUUGCACCUAUAAGCAAGCUCAUUUCGUCUACGAAACCAAAUGUACCCUAAAUAUAGAAAGUUCUGGAACAACUGCUGAAUGAGGGUAAAGAAAAGCCGAAGUUGUCUUGAUAGCAUUCUCCACAAUCUGUUUUGCUAAUACUGAUCCCCAAACUCAGUUAUCAGUUUUACAUUUUAGCACUCAUUCCCUUCCUGAUUGUUUGCAUAACACUGUGUCAAACCUGCUGUCUCAGAACUGCUGGACAAGAUGGAGGGUCCUCCAGUGCUAAAUGAGAAGAGAGAGGAUGUGCAUGGAGCACAGCUUCACUCUUGGUGUAGUCCCCAGGAGAUGACCUCAAGCAGGUGGCAUUGCUUACCUUAUGGGCUCAGUGGCAGUACGGGAUCUGUGGUUUGGCAGUUGGUCAAGUGCGAUGCUCAUGGACAUCAAGCACCGUGGCGAUAUCCACUAGAGAGUGCCCUGCACUGAGGACGGUGAGAUCUGUGUGGCUGCAGGGGUAGAAGAUGGAGAGUAAAGGCAGAACACGACAGGGGAUUGGGAGUGUCCAUGGAGACAGAAUAUAAAUGUGCAAGUCCUGCAUUCCAACCUGUGCCACUGGUUUCCAAUUGUGCUGCACAGGACUAGGAUGGGGAAAAACGGAGUAGGGACUAGGAAGUGAAGAUAGGACACUGAGUUUGGAGAGUAGUAUGUUAGCAAAACAAUUUCGUGGAGGGGCUAUAGAGGCAAUUUUGCCUAACCAAAAAUAGAAGGGAUGCCUGGUAAACUGUCCUGACCAGAUAUGUAAUUGUGCAGAUAUUUAGAUAGAAUAUCACCAUUUACCAAACUGCUUGUGGGUCACUAACUUUAAAUUUAGAUUAUCAUUUUUUUAUAACAGUGCAGAUUAUCACGUUAAAGGAGUACAUCACACAUACCAUGGAUGUGGCAAGGAUUCUGGGCCUUGUAGCAGCAGCUCUUGCAACACUGGAACGGACACCUGAAAGUCCAAGCAGAGCACACACAUAUAAUUCAUUACCAAGUCAAAAAUUAUUGUGGUCUCUAUCACAUAACCAAAGGUGAAGGUUCUCAGUUGACUGUAAGCUGCCUCUGCACACCAUACCACAAGUAGAAGGAAAUAAUUCUGCUUAAUAAGGAAGUAUCGAUAAACUCUUUCUUCUUACCGGGAACGGGCGACGUUACCACACUGGAUGCACUUGGGCUUGUUAAGACCCCGAAGGUUUGGCUUGGGCAUGUCAAAGGCGGCGGCUGGAAUAGGAGGUGGCUUCUGCGGCGUCCCAUUGCUGUUGGCCACCGCCGGCACAGGAGCAGGAGUAGCAGCAGGGGAAGGCGAGUCACCAGCCGCCGCCUUGGCGACUGUGGCAGCAGCAGCGGCGGGCUUCACAUCUGGCAUGGUUCUCCUCAACCCAGCGAAACUUGUGGGGAAAAAAGUAAAGUCAGCAAAUGGGGAAAAAAGUAAAGUGCACUUGAGAGACUAGGAUUUGAAUUCGUUUGUGAAUAAGAGGAAAUCUAAGGGGGGGAAAGAGCAUGCAUCCAAGCAGUGCCAGACACAGGAUUUUAACCUGCGGUGUGGAUGAUCGCAAAAAAAAAAACAUAAUAUACAAUAUAACAACCAUAAAUCCUACAAUGGUUCGAUAUAAUACCUUAGAUUCAACGAUUAACAAACUAGAAUAAACUAUAAUGUAUAAAUUCUACUAUAAUGUUGUUUCCGUUUCCAAACUCCUUGAAAUUUGACUAUAUAACAUUGUUUCUAUUUCUGGUAGUAUUUGUGAAAUUCCACAAAAACAGACUUCAAAAGGAAAGAAUGCAAUUCAAUUGGACACUAGUGCAUUCUAUUGUUGAGAAAACUAGGUGUUAAAUUUGUUCGGUAGAACUUUCAUUAGCUAGUCACUAUUCACUAGGGAAGGGCAGAAUCCAGUAUUUCCCCAAGGAACGGGAGCAGGAAAUUUUCAUAUAAUUCAGAAACAGACGUUUCAGUGCUUGACACACGAAUCUGCAGUCAUAUUUAAGUGAAGAAUCAUACGAUGCUGCCGCGUCAGACUAACAGUAAUUUUGAGAGCUAUCUACAUUCAAAAUCCCUAACCUUAAGAGGGAAGUAGGCACUCACCAGGAACCAGUUGGCAAGGGGUCAGCUGCAGGCCUGGAGGCGCGUCACACGCUGGGGUCAGAGUCAGACUACCCUGCGGGGCGCUGGGAGAGGUGAGGUUCCGCUGGACGCAGCCCGCAAAGCGCAGGGCGGCCGCAGCCCGCAAGGCGACGGGGGAAUCCGAGAGUAGCAGAUCGGGAAUCGGCCGGGCCGGGGCAGUCCCCUCUACGGCUGCGCGCCUACCAGCGGUGCGUGUGGCGUCGUCUUCGCGCGGAGGCAGCUGGCGGCGGCACGUCGUCGUAUCUCGCUCCGGGGAGAGGAAGAACGGGCGAACAGGCGUCAGGCGGGGGUCGACGCUGACGGCUUGGGAGUUGAGAGUUAUUAGGGCUGGGGCUUUUUCUCGAGAUUGGGCCUUCAAAAUCUGAGUGCUGAAGUGUAUUUUAGGCCAAAAUCGACGGCAGGCAAGGCCUCAGGAGAGGUCCGGGGAAGAGAGCAGCGCCUCUCGUCAAGGAAAUUGGGUGGGAGGAGGCCUCGCCGGCGACGAGCAAGGACACGAGGUGGCAGCGGCGGUCGGGGUGGCGUGGAACAAGGAGAUGACGAAGGAGAAGACGAAAGCCCGAAACCUUACUCUGGGCUUGGGCUUGGGUUUGGGCUUGGGUUGGCUCGGCCGGCUGUCCCUGUACCUGUGCCAGUGCCACGUGACGGAUGAUUUUUGUAAAAUGUAGUAAAAGGAUACUGUAUAUCAGUGCACCGGUUUUAAAAAAUACUAGAAUAUUUAUAGAUGCGAACAGUGACUAUUUAUCUCAGUAGAACUUGUAUUUUUUUUUACUCAUCAAACGAGGUGUAAAAGCGUUAAAAGAACUAUCAUAUUUGGCUUUUAAAUUAAAAAAAAUGAUGAACUUUAAUCAUACCAAGAGAUAAAAUUCUUAUAUAAAAUAGUUGUGAUGUUUUAUAACUAUACUGCUCACAGAGGAUAUUGUGAAUUGAUAUCUUCACGAGAAAAGAAAAAAAAAGGAGAAAAUGUCUAGGAUGGUUUUGAUACUUAAAUAUUAGAAACUUGUGUGGUUACAUUUAGGAGCAUCUCCCAGAGUUUGCCAAAUUAUACUUGGCAAAUUUUGUGAUUUGCCAACUCUCAAAAACAUAUGCCAAGUAAAAAACCAGCUCAUCUCCAAGAGUUUGUCAUUUUUAACUUGGCAAAAUUUUAAAAAAAGGCCUACGAACUAAUUUAUUUGCACAGGAUACCAUUAUCAUUCGCUAGUAGCGGCUAGCAGAAAAAUAAUCAUAGUUUUUCAUGAGCCUAAUCUUUCAUAUCCUUUAGCAGAGGUGACAUAGACCACAGAACCACCAGCAGGGGAGGCGGCAUCCAGGUUAAUGACCGCAGCGAGGUGGCAUGUGUGACAGACCUCAUCAGUCUUUCAGUCUCCGCAGCAGAGUGGCAUGCAGGCGACAGGCAUGUCGCUUUCAGACCCUGCUGAAGAGGUCGUCUGCGCUGCCGCGCACGCGAAGCCAAACGCUAUACGCGCGCGCAUAUUUACGCGUUCGGGAGAGAAAUAUGCCAACUUCCUAUUUUUGCUGCCAAGUUAAGAUGCCAAACUGUUGGAGGAUGUUUUUUUAUAUUUUGUCAAAAUUUUAUAGACAACAAGUUAAGAUAGCAAACUCUUAGAGAUGCUUAAAAUUUGCUUAUAUUUGAGCUCUCUUUCUCUAGAUUUUUUUCUAAGGUUAUACAUAUAUGUAGUUGUGAUCUCUAUUUAUUUUGAUAGAAUUUAUGAAUUAAUUUAUAUGCUAAUAUCCAUGUUCAUAGUCUUCCUUCUUUACAUCAUACCACUAUGCACGUUUAGGCGUUUAGCACACGUCAUGUUGUGGGUAUGCUACCGUAGCAACCUGCUUUCUAUUUUCUAUGUUUGAAUCUAGUAUGAUGCUUAUAUUAACUUAUUUGUGACUAGUUCACACAUACACCUUUCUAAUACCACAAAAACGACCUUAAUAUUUUUUCUAGAUUAAAUUAGUAUUGAAUUUGACUAAAUUUCUAAUAGUUUGAACAUUUGGGUGGGGAGCACGAAAAGCAUAGAAAAUCAAUAAGAGAGAGUGACAUAAAGGAAACCUUUUAUGACGUUGGUAGAAUUCCUAUAAACAAGUCAUUUCAUGGGAUUUUUAGGAGCCCAAUUAUUUGUUCUAAAGGGGUGAUAUAAAGUUUUUCUAUAGGAUUUCAAUAUAUUGAGAAUUAAUUCCUUGAAUUUUUCUUUACUCCAAAGUGGGCCUUACUACAUUUGCAAAAAAAACAACUAGAAUUGGGUAUGAAAAUUCUAGUGAUUUCACCGGCGGAGGAAAUUUGCAAGAGAAAUAGAAAAGGCUGGCUUUUUGCCAUGUUUUCCUUCUUAUUAAACUCACCAUCUCACUAUGCUAGCCACUGUUCUCUCUGUGUUUUAGGUGAUGUCCGGAUCAAACAAGCCUGACAAAUCUUCAGAACAAAUGGAUGAUUGGUUGAUUCAAAGUGUGUUUAUCAUGGAAUUAUAAGCAUUUAGAUUCAGAUUAAGAGGUAGAAUCCAGAAGUCGAUGUUGAGGUAGAGAGUGUUGAGAGUUCUAGAUAGAAUAGCUACCUCUCUAAAAUAGAAUAUAGGGAGAGAGUAAGGAGAAGCUGGGAGAGGAGUCGGGCCUGUCGGCAACCUCUCUAUUUGUAGCUCAAUAGAUGAAGUUCUUCUUCGAGUAAAGUCUGCCUUCCUUCUUCUAGUGUGGUAACUUUGUUCGUUUCCAUUACUGAAGCAUUACAUUAUUUAUUGUUCUUUACUUGUUCACCGCCUGGUUAAGGUGCUCUGAUCUAUCAUAUGUAAUUAAAGUAGUAAGUUUAUAGUUGCGGUAGUGGCUGGUGGUGACAGCCAUGUUCUCCUAUGUAUUCCACCAUAUUGAGCCUAGUUAUUAAACCAUAGGGCUUGUUGUGCCUGAUCAACCCUCUAGGUGAGUUCAGGGCAGGUACGCCCCAUAGUAAACAACCUUAGUAAAGUCUUCUUUAGUCUUGCCUUAGUCAAAGAAACCACACACUUAUUCUCUCUAAUCCUUUUAUCACCCGCCAUUGUUUUAUCCUUGGAUACUCUUGGUUCUUCACUAGUUCACUUCGCGUUUCCCGUGAAAAUUCGAUACCUUGGAAUACUCCCGAAUGACUACACUGACAUCUGUGUGUUUGCGGAUUUAUCUGUUUGCCAUAUCUAGUGUCAACAUGGCGUAGAACCAAAAACACUAUAGCUACUGAAAUGUGUUUCUUUCUACAAAUGUUAUAUAGAGAUGGGUAUUGUUCUUUGAAAGUGGAGUUUCUAAAUAAUCUAUCCUCCAGAACCUAAUCUGUGUACCAUUAUGAAGAUUAAAAGUGGAUAGAUGAAGGAAGCGAUCUUUGACCUUCUGCAUACCUAUAUUUAGGCCUUAUUUAGUUUCCCACCAAAAACUUUUCACCCAUUCCAUCGAAUGUUUCGACACAUGCAUGGAACAUUAAAUGUAAACGAAAAAAAAAUUAAUUACACAGUUUAGUUGCAAAAUCGCAAGACGAAGCCAUAAUUGCUAUAGUAAUCAACAUGUGUUUAUGAUGGAUUAGUUAGGCCUAAUAAAUUCGUCUCACGAUUUUCAGACGAGCUAUGUAAUUUGUUUUUUGAUUAGUCUAUAUUUAAUAUUCUAAAUAUGGACCAGUAUUUCUGAUGUGACGACAUGGGAAAAAAUUCUUUUCGUCAACUAAACAAAGCCUUAGUUCCUAGCUACAAGAGCACCUGAUCUGAGAUUGAUUUCUACAGGGUUAUGCAUGUGGCAAUGGAACUGAGCCGCUGCUGAUUUGUUCUGUAUGUGAGCAGAUUCAGAAGUGUUCUGAUGAUCCUAGUUCCUCGCUCGAGGUGUUCUGAUGAUGAGCAGGCCGCAGGCGUCGGCCGGUGACGACGGCCGGCGGUGCACGCAGGACAUAUAUACAAAAAUUAAAAGUUUGACGUGCGCCUCCACGCGCUCUGGUCGGUGGUCGCAGCGAGCGAGUUUGCCCAGAGAUCGAAUUGAUAUCAUUGCUUGCGAAACGGGGAAUGGUACCACGGGCAGCGCCAGCCACUGCCAGCAUAUCCGUUCGUUCCAGGCAGCGUGGAGAGGCCGGCGGCCCGCGGGACAACAGCGCAUGCAACGGCGACCACCUCCGACGUGUGCACCGUCACCGUCCACGCCGCCACAGUUGGGUGCGUGCGUGGCGCGCCGCGCCGCAUCCUCUACGUCAUGCAUCGUCGGUUCAAGUGAUCAUGACGAACCACGGCGUGGUGCUCGAUCCCGAGGACGCCACCGCCGCCGUAGCGGUGGCGCGGCAUUUCUCGUUCCCGCCAUCGAGGACGGCAGGCCACUCCUUGCACCGGCGCCGGAGGUGGAGUAUCGUCAAGCUCGCCAGGAGGAGGAGGGUGUCGGUGAUCGGCGCGGCCAACGUGGGCAUGGGCAUCAAGCAGAUCAACCUGACGCGACACCUCGCCGGCGAGAUCGCGCUCCCAGACGAGGCUCCAGCGUCGGCGGCGGACUACGGGACGACGACGACCAUGCCGUACCUUCAGCAGCACGAGGCGUCGUCGACGUCGUUCCUGCCUCGCAAGUACUUCUUCGCCCAAGUCACCGGCGGCUCCUCCGACGAUCUCGCUAGUUUCGUCACCGAGUGCGGCACGCACGUCUGUGUUCGGGCCGGAACGAGGCUCAUCUGUGGGACGACAACGACAACUGCCUCCAGAACGAGUCACAGAUCGAGCUGCCAUGGCCGCCAGCAAGGUACGUACGUCGUCUAUCAUGCAUCUCUCGUAAGCGUCAUCAACAUGCAUAUUAGCAUAUCCGGUACGUACAUACGUACGUUCAAUUCCUGGUGAUAUAUGAAUGUGAUCGACCUCAAUUAUUCUCAAUUAAGGCCUUGUUUAGUUCGCAAAAUUUUUAGUUUUUUUUUGGCUAUUGUAGCAUUUUUGUUUUUAUUUGACAAAUAUUAUCAAUCAUGGAGUAAUUAAGCUCAAAAGAUUCAUCUCACAAAUUACAAGUAAACUGUGCAAUUAGUUUUUAGUUUCGUCUAUAUUUAAUACUCCAUACAUGCGACCAAAGAUUCGAUGUGACAGAGAAUUUUAAAAAAUUUUGUGAACUAAACAAGGCCUAAUUCCAUAUGCAUGCAUGCAUGGCACAUCUUGAAAAGUCUUUCGCCGCCGCAUGCGAUGUGGAGGUGUACAAGAGAGAGAGAGUGGGAUGGCACGCCGUCGUGUGCUUCGCCUACCGCCGGUUCUUCUGCGCCGAGGAGAUGCAUGUGCUCGUGCUGGACAACCAUGACGACAAGACUGGUGGCCCACGGCGCUGGGUUCAUGUCGAGGAGGUCGACACGCUCUACGCCCUUGCUGUGUAGUGUAGGUGUAGCGCCUGAUUUUUUGUGGCGUAUGUUUUCCAUUGUUGUGCUUGUUUGUACUGUAUAUUGCUAGAGUAAAUUAAAGGGUAUGUGUGGUACGCCUCGAACAAAAAUUUGAUCAACAAUUAGCUGUCCGGUCCGAGCACGACGACGUUCCCGGCCGCAUCGGCGUCAACGAUCACUGUAUCCCCAGCCUUGACGAUCUCCCCGUCGAGCAGCUUGUCGGCGAGGGUGUCCUCCAGCAGCAUCACGACGGCCCUCCUCAGCGCCCUCGCGCCGUACCACGGAUCGAAACCUUCCUCAACCACGAGGUCCAUGAACCUCUCCGUCACCCGCAGCUCCACCACCAUCAUCGUCUCCCUGCUGACACGGGCGGCGACGUCGCUCACCAAGACGGCGGCGAUCUCCUUGCCGUCGACCCUCGUCAGCGGCCUGAACACGAUCGUCUCGUCCAGCCGGUUCAGGAACUCGGGCCGGAAGUAGCGCUUCAUCUCCUCUUCCACCACCUCCUUGCUGCUGCUUCGGCUUCCAUCUCCGCUGCCGCCAUUGCCGCCGCCGAUGUUGGACGUCAUGAUGAUGAGCGUGUUCCUGAAAUCCACCGUCCUCCCCAUCCCGUCCGUGAGGCGGCCGUCGUCCAGGACCUGCAGCAAGACGUCCAUCACCUCCGGGUGCGCCUUGUCGACCUCGUCGAGGAGUACCAGCGAGUGCGGCCGCCGGCGCACGGCCUCCGUCAGCUGCCCACCACCCUCGCCGUGCCCGACGUACCCCGGGGGCGCGCCGACCAGCCUCGCCACCGCGUGCUUCUCCAUCAGCUCGCUCAUGUCCAGCCGCACCAUGGCGUCCUCCGACCCGUAGUAGUAGGCCGCCACCGCCUUGGCCAGCUCCGACUUGCCGACGCCCGUCGGGCCGGCGAACACGAAGCUCGCGAUCGGCCGGCGCGGGUCGCUCAGCCCCACGCGGGCGCGCCGGAUCGCGCGGCUAACCGCCGUCACGGCCUCGUCUUGGCCGAUGAUGCGCCGGUGUAGGCCUCCUCCAUCCUCAGCAGCUUGGUGGUCUCGUCGGUGGAGAGCUCGUGGACGGGCACGCCGGAGCAGAGCGAGACGAUGUGCCGGAUGUCUUCUUUGGUGACCACUGGUGGCACCGCCGACAUGCCAGGACUCACCUCGUCGUUGCCGAUCUGCAGGGUUGUUGUCAGCUGGGACUUGAGCUCCAGUUCACGAUCGCGAAGCUCCUUCGCCUGGUUGCAUUCAGAUGAUCAACUUGUUUUUUGAUGGAAAGAUGAUCACGAGAUGCCAAUUGCCAAAGAAAUGAAUCUGUAAUCGUUACCUUUUUAAAGUUCUCGAUACGGAUAGUAUCACAUUUCUCCUUAGUGAUUUUCUUGAUCUCUGUUACAAAGUCUUGAAGUUCCUUAGGUAGCUUCGGCUGUGGAUCAGUUCAACUGAGAUUUUGUAAGAAUGCAUGCGAAAAUAGGGGAUGAAAGUUACAUUUCUGAGUUUGUUGUACCUGGGCAUGCCGUAAUCUGACUAGGGAACCUGCUUCGUCAAUCAAGUCAAUGGCCUUAUCUGGAAGAAAACGAUCACUGCAAGCAAAAAGCAAUAGUAAUUAUGAAAACUGUACAACUGAGAAAUCUGCAGGUAGAGAUAGAUUAACCUGCGAGGAGGAGGAUCAACUUCAUUAAAAGUCAAUAGUACACCUAGCAACUAGCAUGAUAUCAGUAUGACAAAAACAUGGUGUAAGUUUACUUCAUCUUUAUUUAACUAUAAAUAAAUGUGAAAUCUUGGGAUCAACUUAUGGUUUUAUUUCAGUGUCAGCAGAAUCUAGUGUUCAAAUUACUCGAAGAACAUUUACGAAUAGGAUUCGGAACAAUGGCUGGUACUAUAGGUCCACCUUCCUUAAUCACAGACCUGAUGUACUUAUGUGAGAGCUCGGCAGCUGCACUUAGUGCUUCAUCCGCAUAUUGAACUUUAUGAUGGGUUUCAUAUCUUUCUCGAAGCCCUUUUAGAAUUUCUAUGGCUUCCUCAACCAUUGGCUCUGGAACCUUCACCUGUCGGAAACGCCUUUCCAGUGCUGGAUCUUUCUCAAUAUGUUUCAUGUACCCAUCAGUUGUAGUGGCUCCGAUACACUGACAACAUCGAUGCCAGAAAGACAUACUUAACAAACAAAAAAACUGAUCAAACAUAAUUCCAACAUAUGAAGUCCAACGUGAUAUACUGACCUGAAGUUCACCUCUUGCUAGUGCUGGCUUCAAAAUGUUAGCAGCAUCAAUAGCACCUUCUACUGCUGCUCCUGCUCCUACUAGGGUGUGAAGUGUGAACUUCAUCGAGGAAUACUAUUAUGUUGCCACAUUGCUUGAUUUCUUCCAAAAGAUUCUUUAAUCUUUCUUCGAACUCUCCACGGUAUUUUGUUCCAGCUAGAAGGCAUCCAAUAUCGACAGAGAUAACCUGUAUUAACAAGUGUUGGAAACAUGAAUUAACUACCGGCCGCUCCUAAUAGUAGUGUACAUAGGGCAGCUGAAAUAAAGCAAAAUAAAAUUACCAUAGAUAUUGGCCACGAAUCAUGUUUUAAUGUAUUCUUAGACCAUUUUUGUGGAUCAAUGAAUUACAGUGUAAUAACAUGAAUAUUUCUUCAAUUAAAUUCGUCAAGGGAUAGUGGUUCAAAAUUACCUAGUGAUUUACUUUCAAAAAGAUACGUAGUGAUUCAACUGAUCAUACAGCCAAAUGCUUAUUAUUAGUAAGAAAAAUAAGAUCUAAAUAACUGAUCUGGACAGGGAAAAAAAACAGGGAAAAAAAACAGGAAGGCAGCAACUGAUAAAUCUAACAGACACAAACAGGUACUUUUCCCCAUACAUUUAACUUUCAUGUAAAUAAAAUGGUUAAUAUUUGCAAGAUUACAACAAAUUCAGCUAUACCGAUAGUUGCAAGAUUACAACAAACUCAAGCUAUGCCAAAUAACAAUCAAAUAGAAUCGAGACAAAACGAAUCACAAAUGUUGCCCUAAAGAACCAAGAGAAAAACCUUUUUCCCUUGCAUUGUUUCUGGAACAUCCCCCAUGGCAAUGAGCUGGGCAAGGCUUUCCACUACUGCUGUUUUUCCAACACCUGGCUCUCCAAUCAGGCAGGGGUUGUUCUUCCCCUUUCUGCUUAAAAUUUGUACAACUUGAUCAAUCUGUUUUUGUCUUCCAAUAACAGGAUCCAACUUUCCCUAGUGUACAACAUGAUCAUGUCCCAGAACAUUAUAUUGUGGAUUGCAUUGCACUCUAGUAUAAAGUAGCUUAUAAGUCCAGAACAGUACCUUAUUAGCUAAUGUUGUUAAAUCAGUUCCGUAUUCAUCGAGUGUGGGUGUGGAUAUCUUGUUUUUUGUCUCAGCACAAGUUUUACUGCUUCUCUUUUCCAAAGAAUCAUCAUUGCUUCGAGUUUUCAAAGGAGACUCGCUGCUUCCUCUCCUAACUCUACCAUUGAUUAUUUGGAAAACCUGAGAUGCAAGAUAUGUUUAUGACCAUCAAUCAACUAAGCAUGAUAAUCUAAUCAAGAGUGUGAAUUUGCCUUCUAGCUAGAGGCAGAGACUUUAUUUGAAUAUAGUUUACCUCAUUGAGGCCUUGUUUAGUUCCCAAAAAUUUUGCAAAAUUUUUCAGAUUCCCCGUCACAUCGAAUCUUUAGACGUAUGCAUGGAGUAUUAAAUAUAGAUGAAAAUAAAAACUAAUUGCACAGUUUGGUCGGAAUUGGCGAGACAAAUCUUUUGAGCCUAGUUAGUCCAUAAUUAAACAAUAUUUGUCAAAUACAAACGAAAGUGCUACUAUUUCUAUUUUGCAAAAUGUUUUGGAAGUAAACAAGGCCUGAGUAUGAGGUCCAAGAGCAAAAUACAAAUGCAUUGUAAAAUGUGGCUCCACAGGACUUGGCUGAUUCCAGACUUGAGCGCUAAAUGCUGUGUUUCCUCUUGUGCAAGCGCGAAAAUGUUCUUAACUUCCCCGCUGAAACUGUUGAGAGUUGCCCUGGUGACAAGACGAGAAUUCUUUUGUCCUCUCUGUCUGCUGCGAAAUAUUGAUUUGUAGCCAAGUACUGGUGUCACCGCAGGUCUAUGCACUGCUCGUAGACAACCAAAUGCUUGUGUCUUGGUUGUGGUUCCAUGAUUUUGAGCCAUGGAAAGUUGGAAACUAUUGAGGAAGGUCUCCUGGUGCUCUGGCACUUCCAAUUGGUUUUCCUACCUCCAGCUGACGAUGGGAAAGAAGUGGAUCUACGCAAUGUUCCUGCCAUAAUUGCAAAUGCAGCUCCAUAGCCUGUUCAUGACAAGAUGAUUAGAGUAAGAGAUAAAACAUUCUAGAUGUUUCUUCUGAUAACAUUCUAUUUGGUAUGACGACAUAUAUAUAACAAGGAUUUCUGAAACCCACAGAACACCACGCAUUCACGCACAGUGUCUAUCAUGAAUUCAUGAUGAGACACACUACAAGAAUUAACCACCAAUACAGACUGGAGAAUCAGACCGCAAAACAUUGACAUAAGAAGCUGACGCACCUGCGACCCUUGCAACAUGUGCCGCGCUUAUGUCAGGGCGGACGGCAGCAUGGACAGGAGGUAGCUUCAGUGGAAGUGGAGUAGAGGGGCACAGUAAAACCAUGACUGCAAAUUAAUGUGUUGCCUGUGUAUGGCAGAUCAAUGGUUAGAGUAGACGACACUUGUUCGCUUGGCUGAUAAGCCAUGGCAAGAAGUACUUGGCUGAUUUAUUGUGAGAGAAAAACACUAUUGUAUCUUGGACACGCUUUUGUUUGAGCUCUCAGCUCAGAUUUUAGCCAAAGGUGAUUAAUGGCAUGUCAAAAGAAACCCAACAUUUCAUAUUUCAUUUUUAUCAGAUUCUUCAUGUCACGAUAAAUUCAGCUGGGUAAGUGAUUAACCAUUGGCUAGGCUCAGCUAAGCAGAACGAUUACUGUUAGGCCAUGGAUGAUCAGUGGCUACAAAGCGAGCACUGAAGCUGAACACAGGUAUUGUUUUUAAAAAAAAUCUGAACACAAGUACACAGAACCUGAAGCAAGCGCUCGCCCUCGGCGGCGAGGAGGCAAGGUGUAGGUACCUGCUGGGACGUGGCAACGGCGGCGGCGGCGGCGACGUGGAGGACUAGGACGUCGAAAGCGGGGCGCAGGAUCAAGGUGUGGCUGCCGCCUGCCGGAGGGUGAGCCGCUGAUGCCGAUCGAGGCGACGGCGGCGGGCGGAGGCAGGAGCGCGAAAGGAAAGCUCAUCCGGCGCGAAGCAACGGGAUGCGUAUAUAAUGAAGUAAAUUUGGAAAUUGAUCGCCAAUUCAGGAGACAUCAGUUCCAAUUCCAAAUCCGCAGAUUUGUUUAAGCGGCAAUAGAAUCGGCAAGAGAGUAGCAACGAGUUUGCAAGCACCUCCGCUGUCCGAAGGCACUCUCCAACGAAUUAACGGCAUAUUUUUUUUACUAUAAUAAACCUUUUUAGAAGCUUAUAAUUUUUUUGUGGUUUAAAAAAACUUAGCAGGUAUUUAUCAAAAUUUCCAACUAAAAAAAUGAUGAAACUACCUUGAAAAUAAAUUCUAACCCAGGGAUGGAGGUAAUUUAAAUGGUUUUGAGAGUUGAUUGGUAAUAUGUGUAGUUUCAGAGCUCGGGGAGGAAAAUUCAGUUGAAGGAGAUAUAAGAGAUAUUCUCACUCCCAUAAAAGGUUUCACUUUUUCGUAUCCCCAUUUUGGAUUUGUCCAUAUAUUCUGUUGAGUACUCUCUCUGUUCAGUUUACUAUAUUUGUAGAAAAUACGUGCAAUAUUUAUAUCUCUAAAUAAAUUUAUUAUAAAACUAAAUUCAAAGAUCUUUUCAAUGAUACUAAUUAUGUACCAUAAAUAUUAAUAUUUUUAAUAUAUAUUUAGUUAAAGUUAUUUUUUGAAAAUCAUAAACGACAAUUAUUUUGGGAUAGAGAAAGUACACGGACAAGCCAUAUCUCACUCCAUAUGUCAUACUGGCUUAUACUUUUUUUGGUAUUCAAAUUAUUUGUAGCAGCAUUAUUUUUAGCUAGCUAGUUUUCUAAUGAGCCAAAACAUACUACUUUAGAAAGUUAAAAUAAUCUAUGAUGUUUUUUUAGAUUUUGUGCAUGUGCAUUAGGCUAGUCUUAAUGCAUGUUUCAUGAGAGUGUCAUGCACAUUAAGUAGGAUGUCAUAUAAGCAAAAUUGCUGACUUGGCAGAGUCAUUAAGGCCCUAUUUAGAUGCAGCCAAAGAGCCAAAAACUUUUGGAGAAAUAAGCACUUUUUGGAAGAAUGAAUCUAAACAGGGGCUUAUAAAACUUAGUUGUAAAGAUUUGGAAUUUGGGACCUUGGAGCUCCAAAACUGUGUAAACUUGCUUAGGGAUCCGUGUCUUGUGUGUUGUAGACCAAAAAAUUUGGGAAAUAUCUAAACACCUAUUUGAAUGUAAAGUUUUUUUUUAUAAAGUUUACAGCCAAAAGUUUUGGGAUGUAAAGAUUUAGGAUCUAAACAGUUUCUAAAUGAAGGAGUUUCGUACCCAUGAAACUCAUGCGGCUCGUUAGUAGAGCAAAAGUUAGUAGAGCAAAAGCUAUUGUGCCCAAAAAAUUGCAUGGCUUUCUUCAAAAGUUAGUAGAGCAAAAGCUUGAUUAAAAACUAUAAGAUGCACUGCUAUUGCUAGCAAUACCUCAGGAAGAUGAGCCGACAGAAACCUGUUAGGAUUUUCGAAUUAAAACCAGGACACAAAGCUUGGAGCCUGAUAACCGGUUAGGUUCGAAUGUUUGCUCUGCUAGUGUUUCAUGAGAUGACUUUGCAUAUGCUGCAUCUUUAGCUGAAUACACACAUAUUUUUUUUUUCUGAUGAAAAAAUCUUAUUUGCUUCAAAAUAACAAUAGCAUAGUAAAUUUUGCCUAGCCAUUACUGAGAAUCACAGGAAAUGCUAUUUAAAGUCUUGUCCAAACAAAACAAAGUACGCCUCACAUUCUACAAGGAAAAAAAAAAUGGGACAAGCAGUUUAUACAGUAAGUUAAAUUUCAGUCAUGCAAUGUUACAGAACAAGCAAUCCAAUUUAUGGAUAAUCAAACUAAAGAACAUAGCUGCACAUUCUGCAAUCUACAAGAAAAAAAUGGGACAUGAAAACAUCACCACGUCCAUCCUGACGAUCUUGAAUCUGCUGCCAGAUUGAUGUCCAAAUUCAAAUCUCCCAGCUUGAUGUCGCAGUCCCACCGCAGUGGUCUCGUAUGUCUCUGCCCAAAUCCAAACCCAUCAGCUGGAUGCAAGCCAUGACAUGGAUGCAGCCAAGGACCUCACCAGCCGUGGCGGCGCCAUGUCUUCUCACUUGGGUCGGGCGACUGCGAGCGUGGGGCGGGGCGGGGCGAACGCGACCGGGCGUCGAUGGCCACGACUGGAGCGUGAGGACACGACACGACGGAGGGAGGGGAAGUUGAAGCGGCGAGGUGGGAGUCGCAUGUCUUUUGGAGGGAGAAGCAGGUAUCGAACCCUGGCCGCUGGCGCUGGCGCUGAAAAAACAAAAGAACCACCGCACCGCUACUCGGUGCUCACCAGACACAAAACAAAAGCAUGUCCCAGUGCAUUUUCUAUUUCACAGCAACAGCAGGUUACUGAAAAACCCUACACAAGCCAGCGCCGACGGGUCCCUUCAGCCCACCACACGCGUUAGAGAGCAUUACAUAUCUCACACACCACGCAUGCAAACAUCACACAACCAAAAACUGUGUCUGUUACGCUUACUGAGAUGGUAAGCCUGAAACUAAUCCUCUUCUUCAACACUACAUUCCGGUGCCGCAUCCGAGCUAUUGGGUGCUAUUUCUGACGUGAACAAGGUUCCUCAGCUCUUCAAAUGCAUCCAUGGUCUCCGGGUCGAAACCUCCAGCAAACUGCAAAAAUGAGGCCGGUUUUAAAAUUUUAAGAACACUUGCAGAUUUAAAUACUGGAGAGCAUGCAAACUUAAUGAGACAUUAGGUUCCUGUAUGUGUCAGAGGGAAAAACAAUCUGUUUAAUCACAUAUGGAACUGGCAAUGAUGGACAUGUGAAAUGCUUGUGUGUGUGAGAUAUUGUUGGCAGUAAGGGAUGCGCAACGUGCGUGAGAGUUUGCCUUGUCUUAAGUUACAGCUAUAAUGUGUUACCUGAUGCAUCCUGAAGGCAAAUCUCACAGCCUGAAGCAGCAUGUACUCCAGAGCUGGAUCCUUAUUCAGAGGGCCCAUGUAUUGAAGCUCCAUUGCAACCCUUUUCAUGUACAUCUUCGCUAAUUUCACAGAUGCAAACUUUAUCUGUAGUCAAGAAGAAAAAAAAUAAGGGAGCAAUCCAACAAUUUAAAGCAGGUCUUUUAUAAGACGAUACUGCUAUAUAGAUUUUCAUGACAGCAACAGAAUCUGCAACUGCAGAUAAGGAAAUAAAGACGGAUUCCCAGAGCUGUUUGAGAAAAACAUUCCUUAAGCAACAAUACACAAAAAUAAUGUAUUCAGUAUUCUCAAGGAAUAGGACUUUUAGUGGUCAUCAUACUAAGCACUCUAACUAUACUGAAAGAUAUAUAUGACAGCAGUGGGAAACUAAUCAAUAAUUAAAGUAGUACUAGACAACAAGCUUUGCUUACUCCACUAAAGUAGUGUGAUUCUGCAGGCCAUCUGCAGUUUCCAUGCCUAAUGGAAGUGCACACUCAUAAUUUAUUUAGACCGGAGAAGGGGCAGUCCGACACAUAAUAUUUACCUUGCUAAUAAGAUUGUUAUCAAGCAUCCAGUCGGUUGGAAUAUUAAACUCCUUGCACUGCCUCAUCAUAGCCUCUCUUGUCCUUAGAAGAUUGUAGACACCUCUCUCAGUCCUGAAUUAAGAAUGCCAAUCAAAUUUUCAGUAUUUUGUGCAACUUUAUGGGUAAUAAUUAUUAGGUACUUGCAUAUUUCAUUAUAUUUCGGUAAACUUGGACAUACUUUUCAGAUAGUGUAACCAUUUUCUUCAGCGCGAUUUCACAGGGUAGACGUGGAUCAUCUUUAUAGUUUGAAACUUCCGAUUCCAACUUCUUCAGGUCCUGGUAGCCAAAAGCUGCCUCUCGUAGAGUGUCUGCCUUCUUCUCAGGCCAAUCAAAAUGCUUCAACACUGCUCUCUCAUCCACCUGGGUGUAAGGCAAUUAAGUUAAAGGAAUAAUUUAAGUGGCAGCUCCAACUGAAAAUGAUUACUCAGAAAUGAGUGGGAUUGUAAUAAACAUACUAGGAAGCCAAGUUCAUCAUCUAGCCACUUCACAAAUGCAACCACAUCUUCGAUAUCUUUGUAGGCUGCACUAGUCACCUCCUUAAUCAAUGAUUUCACAAAUUCACCCUGAGUUUCAACAUCUGCCUUGAUCUGCAAAUUAAAUAAAAAGUUAAAGCACACAGUUAGUGCCAGAACCAGCCCCAUCAGAGCUAUUUGUAUGAUCACCAGAUUUCCAAUAAGCUAGACUGAGCUCACUACUUACAGCUUGCAAAUGGGACGAGCGGUUCUCGAUUUCACCAAUCAUGCUACUCCGCACAUUCGCAGAGUUAGCUGCUUCACAGAUUCCACCACUGGAAGUAUCCUUUUUGGUGUCCCUUCUCAUAAGUGAAUGGUAGAGCUCUGCGACCUGAGGUGCCCUCUUCAUGACCCCAGUACUUUUUGAGGAAAACUUUGGAGGAGGCGGUGGCGGCGGUGGUCGUGGUGGAUUUACAGUCGAUCCAUUUGAUGGACCAGAAUUUGACACGGAAACAGAAGGUCUUGGUGGAGGAUUAGGGAUGCGCAAUGCACGCUUUUCAACAUCCAGACACUGUGACUUGCAUACUUCUGGCUUGCUGAGAACAAAUCUUGAACUUUCAGAUCGACCAAAAUCAUACUUGUCCACAAGAAGGUCACGCUUCUCCCUGAUUGUAGGAUCCUUAUUACAGGCAAAUGACUCAUCUGUUGCAUCCAGAAGGCUGAUAAAGGUAUCAGAUUGCCUUCUUUUAAUGAUGUUGAAGUCUUGUGCACAUCCCUUUGGUCCACCAAGUGAAUGCCUACGUGUCGGGCUUCGUGCUUCUGCAGCUUCAAUCCACGCCCUAUCAAGAAGGGCUUCCUUUUUAGAUGCUUGGCAACUCUUAUCAUUCUGGGACCACUGCUUGAUGCGUUCUGCAAUGCUGAAUUUUAUAUCAGAACUGUCCUCAGCAUUUUUUGCAUCACCUUCACCACCAUCACCCUCAUUAAAAGCCAUGACACCAUUGCAAUCUAUAUCCGUCAUUGCUCUAGCUGCUUGAUCUGAGUUACAGAGCUCAUGGCGUAGACAUGAAUUGAUCCACCGAAGAUAAGCAAGCUCCUCAACCUCUGUUAGCCGACUCAUUUGCAAUCCCUCAACUUGCUUGCUUAGGUUUGCAUUUGUGUGCCUCAGCAACGAUGCCUCAGCUUGAACCUUGGCAACUAUAUCACUCUGGUGACAGUAUUUAAAGCACACGAAAGAAAAAUUAGUUGAAAUAUUUUCCAUACAAAGUACAAACAGAAAGAAUAAAGUUCAAGCAAUGGUACCUCUGCAUUCUUCUCAAGGCCAGCCAAUUUGGAUUCAGCUGAAGAGAGCUUAAUUGCAAGAUUUCGUUUCUGAAACUGUAGUUCUUUGUUUAACCGGCGUAGUUCAACAACUUCGAACUCCAAGUUUUCUGAAGGUGUAUUGUCCCCAUUUACACUAGGUAUCCGGUUGCCAUGGCCAUCUAACCUUACAUUUUCUUCAUGAUGUUCUACCAUAGAAGAUAGAGCUGAUAAUUGUUCAGAUAUGUUUGUUUUCUCAGCUUCUAAUGAAGUCUUCAGUCGUGCAAGCCUGUCAACUUCAUCCCUCAUAGAAUCAAGCUCCUUCUCAAGUUCUGAAACUUUUGGGUUUUCUCUGCAUUGCCGCAACUCUGACUGUAAUGCUAAUUCCCUUUCUUUCGACUCACGUAGUUGCUCCCUGAGAUGAUCCAACUCAAGAAAAAGAUCAUGGGAUGCUGGGGACCUAAUAUUGUGGCAAUCAAAGACAUGGGGGUGGACUUGAGCACCAGCAGGUGAACAAGGGAAGUCCCCGAUAAGGGAUCUUUUCACCCUAGAGUGGUACGGAAUCUGUUGGUUGGUCUGAUUGACAUUUUCGACAUUUGCAAGAGGUGGUUUUUUGCUUGCAAUUGCUGCUGUCUUCUUGGUUUUCUUGUCUGCUGUAAAACCUUUGACAAUUUGGGAACCCCAUGAGGAUCCAAACUUAGGUUUCAGAGAACUCGAAUUGCUUUUGGAGUCAACCCUUGAUCUGCAUGGCUUUGUUUGGUUGUCAAACAUGAUUUCCUCUUUCAUCUUUUCCCAGGGUUACCAGUUUACCACACUCCAAGCACCAUUCAGCACUGCACAUAAAUGAGGAAAGUUGUUGAUAUAUGUAGCAGGCAAUAUCACCACAAGAAAAAUAGAAAUAAAUAAUAUGGUCAGCUGAUUUGUGAAAGAAGUAGAGGAUUAUGUGCCCAUUUUCAAACUAUAUAUAUAGCCCCACAACAUCCAUCAAACUCAGUAUUCGGGCCAAAGGAGCUCUUAUCAGCAACUCUAUGUAUGGAACAGUUAAUACCGGAACAGACCAUUUAAGUUUUAAUCCGAAAAGCCUUCCCUUCUCUAGUCGCUCCCAUGAAUUUUUUAAGCCUGGCGAGAGCUGCACGGCAUUCCUUAGGGAUUAAAUUGACUACAACUAUCCAAGCACACUUAUGCGAAACAAAAGGAGAUUACACAGGCCUGAACAGUCAAGUUUAGCACUUUUGAGUAACCAUCUCAUUGUGAAUCGCUGGAUUCCAAAAUCUUUCUGGCAGAAGAAUAAAUAAAUAAUAAAGUUUUUGAGGUAAACCCAUGCUUUCUACUACUCCUACAAAGGAAAAGGAAAUGAGCAAGAAUAGGACAUGGAUACUGCGAUUGAGUCAGAUCCGGGUAAAAAUAGCUUGCAUUGAGGUUUGGGGGUGCCCCCCGUUGAGCACAGAAGGAAAGGAAGAGAGGGGACGGGCAUACCAGCAUAGUGGUCGUCGCCGGUGAACGGACUAGGAAAGGGGCGUCGCCGGUAGCCCAAUCGUCGUCGGCGGCAAUAAAGGAAGGCAAAGGGAGAGGGACCAAAAUUACAGCUAAAAAAGAUUGACACUGAAAUCCUCCAACCCCAACCCUAAGCAACUCAAAUCUGCAGCAUUCCACUCCACCAGAACGAACCUGGCUAUGCCGACAAAGAGCCCCGGAUCAGCUCAACCUACUUUAGCUACUCCAAAGACCGCAGCCACGACCGCGGUGGCCGCCGGCGUUUAGAAUACUGAAGCAACGAGCAACUGGCACUAGCAGUAGUGGCAGUGGCGCUCUAGUAGCCAAUAAAUAAAGAAGGAAAUCGCCCCAGCGCCCAGCGGAGUGUGGAGCCGUGGAGGAGGAGGAGGACGGAAACAAACAAGGGAUGGUGCUUCGGAUGCUUGCCUCGCCGGCUCGCCCCAAGACGGGGAGAGAGAGAAUCCGUCCGUCCCCCACGCGCGGAUUUUUUCAGUGGAUUCCUCCCGGGUUCCGAGACGCCACCGCGACCGCCUCGAGGUCUCUCGCUCCCCCCCGUGGAGAAGAGAGAGUGAGGAAGGGGGGUUUUGAAUUUUGAAAUCGGAGAUGGGGAAGAAAAAGGUGAGUAGCCGUAGCAUAGCUCCACUCCAGCACGCUGUCGCUAGCUGGGGGCAGAGGCAGAGCAGUGGAGCUUACUGACGUGUGGGGUCCUCCGUGUCCGGUGGUCGGCUUCGGCAUUUUGCCUGAUUUUUCGCUCCUGUGUCCGUCCACCUGUCCAUGUCCACGGUGUCACGCUCGGGAGCAACCACAAUGCUCGGAGCUUCACGACACGACACGGUAAGGAAAAAGUCCACACACGUUUCUCAACUUUUACGAAAAUCUAUUUUUCUUUUAAACUUUAAAACUGAUUAAAAUACCUCUCUUAAUUUUUAAAGUCAUUCAUCUUAUCAUCCUACCCUGGUUAAAAAGGUUUCGAAUGCGACUUUAUUUUUUUAUUUUUCAUUUAUUUUAACUGAAUCUUUAAUAAAAUCAUAGUAAAACAUAGAAAAUUAUAAAAUAAAAAUCUAUUUUUCUUAGACUUUACAUGAGUAGAUCUACAUAAUGAAUAUACAAUAUAAUAUGAUUUGAUAUAAAAUUUUGUUGUAGCUUUAGAUCUAUUCUUUUCUGUAAUUAAAAGGAAUAAUUCAUAGGUGUAGAUUCUAUUGUUCAAUUGUGGUGAAGUUUUUAUGGUAUGCUAAUUAUUGUAUACUUAAGCUGUACUAAAAUUCUAUACUCAUUAGAUUAUGUAUAACUUAGUUAUAGAUUUUAUUUAUAUUUAUACUUGUUAAAUAUAAAUAAAUCUAUAAAUAAACUAUACAUGAUUCAAUGAGUAUGAAUUUUUAACCAUAAUUCAGCCAUACAAUAGCUAGCCCACCCUAAAACUUUUCAUCGCAAUUGGAUCAUAGAAACUGCAGCUAUGAAUUAAUUACAGAAAAGUAUAGAUAUAAAGACACAACAAAAACUAUACUAAAACAUAUUAUAUUAUAUGUUUACUGUGUAGAUCUACUCACGUGGAUUCCCAUAAAAUUAGAUUUUUUUUUAUGAUUUUUUCUAUGAUUUACUAUAAUUUUUCAAAAAUUUAGUCAAAAUAAAUAAAUAAAAAAGAUAAAACCACCUUCAAAACUGAUUAUAACAAAGACCAACUGACCAAGGAGGCAAGAUGAACAGUUUUAAAAGUUGAGAGAUGUGUUUUGUCCAGUUUUAGAGUUUCGAAGAGGAAAAAGCAAACUUUUGUGAAAGUUGAAGGAGGUAAUAUAGACUUUUUUCCAACUUAAAAGACUAGGUGGAUAUCUUAAAAGGAUUCGAACUAGUUUAGAAUAUGUGAAAAAUAGAAACUUUUUGCUUUGUGGGCAACCAUGGUGAAGUCUUGCUUGAUAUUCGCCUCUUGCACAAUCAACAGACUAGUUAGGGCACUCACAAUGCAGACUCUAUCAUAGAGUCUAAAGUUAUUUAUUACCUCGAAUAAUGUGGACUUAGAGUCUAAAUAAGACUUGGAGUCUUAUUUUUUCUACCUUUUUCUCCAAUAAAUAUGCUGCCACAUCAGCAAAAUACCAUAAACAAUAUAUAAUUAAUUGUCUUGGACUCUGUGAUAGAGUCUUGCAUCGUGAGUGCCCUUAGACGCUACAAUGGAUGGUUCCAUUACUUACCUAUUUGGAUUUGACGCUCGCACUACCCAUUAAACUAGGCACUAGUGCUGACAAGGGGGUGGCGCCAUAGAUAGGGGUGGCAAUGAAGCGGAUGAAGGCCUUGUUAUCCAAAACUUUAUAAGAUUCUCCAUCACAUCGAAUCUUACACACAUGCAUGAAACAUUAAAUAUAGAUAAAAAAGAUAACUAAUUGCACAGUUUACCUGCAAAUCACGAGACGAAUCUUUUAAGCCUAGUUACUCCAUGAUUGAAUAAUGCUUGUCAAAUAAAAACAAAAGUGCUACAGUGUCAAAAUCCAAAAAAAUUUUGGAUCUAAACAAGGCCGACGUAUCCAUCGAUCUUAACCCGAACUCAAACUUAAAACUUGAAAUCGCCCAAACACCAAUUCGGAUGAAAAUCCAUCCAUCAUCAAAAUUAGCAGAUCCACAAAACCCACCACAAUAAGGAAUUGUUUGGCAACACAUGUAUGAUAUAUAUUACAUAUAUUCACAUGUAUAAAUAAGAGGCAACAAACAACAUACAAUUCUACGACUCAACUUAGAACAAACUUUGUAGCUUACGGACACAAUUUAUUAAUACAAGACAUGAGUUCUGAUUUAGAGUGGUGUAUUUGGGGUCACCAUUAGGAAUCCGUGGGUGAAACCAAAACCAAAGCCGAACUCAAGGCCCUGUUUAGUUUCCCAUCCAAAAUUUGAGGUGUGCAUUCAUGUAACCUUUUGGAGCCAAACUUUGUUGGAUGGUUCAAACUUUGUGCAAGACAAUGUAUUGUUAUCUAUGGAUUGAACUCCAUGUGAUGUAUGUGUGUCUAUCAUUAUGUGAUGGAACUUCAGUUUGAGUCUGGGUAUCAUAUAUGUGCUGGUUUGCAAUUGUGUUUUUUUUGUAUUUAUAUUGUCUGUUGGACUGUCUGACGCUGAAAUUGCUUGGACUGUUGGAUCAUCUGUCGCUGUAGGUAUGGUAACAGACUAUCUGCCGCUGAAAAAUAUCAAUGGACGGUCUGACGUAAAAUAUAUUCAGGACGACAGACUGUGUGACGCUAAAAGUAUGGUCUGACGCUGUAUGUUUUUAGUGUCAGCACUUACACCGUCUGCAGAAGUCUGACGCUAUAUGUUUUUAGCGUCAGACCAUCUGACGCUGUAGCCACUUUUAGCGUCAGAUCAUCUGGCACUAAUUAUGGUGUUGUGGUGUAGUGCGACACAUUCGAUGUGGCAUCCAAAAAAUUUUCAUCUCUAAUCUAAACAGGGCCUAAGUUUUGGGUCUCCAAACUUGAAAAUCGAGUUGAAAAUUGCUCCCUCACCUGCACCUGUUGGACCUGAAAAUCAAAAGGACCUAGCUCGAAACUGCCCCAGUGCAAUCCCUAAGUGUAGAUGCUUGUCGGUUGUUUUUUUGGAUGAAGCAAGUUCGCCUUGCAAUGGUAGGGCCAAAGUGUCAAGAGGAAGGACUUGAUCGUUCUAUUGGUGACGAGGAAGAAAGCGGUGAACAUAACCAACUCACCGUAGGACUGGGUGAUGAUAGUAUUGACUUAUGCAUCAUAGAUUAGCUGGUUAGGUUAUUUGUGAUAGAACCUUACCAACUGAGUUCAAGUUCUCGACUUGACACAGGUGUUUGUAUUUUUCUUGACUUAUUUUAAGAUUUAACGGCGCUGGCGACGUGUCCGUCGACAGCGAGGGCCUGUGGUGACUUCGUAAAUCUUGAGAUUUGCCAGUCCAACUCGAUUCUUUGGAGGUGCUCAUAGAGGUAGGAUGUGCAUGCGUACAUUUAUAGGGGUGAGUGUGUAUCUGUGUAUGCGAACGUCUGUGUUUGUAAAACUAUAUUCUUUUGAGAUAUCAUGUAUGAGCAGGAGUCAGUAUAAGACAACACGAGAAGGGAGACGGAGGUAGGGUGGAGAACUAUAGAUAACAUGCACACAGGAAGAUGAGAGAAUUCUCUAUCGUGAUUCCUUGUGAGCCACUUAAAAAGUUCAACAGACUUCAGUGCCACUACUCUAAAUUUUUUUUGCCCUCCAGACCACUCAAAACCGUAGGUGUGAAAAGUCAACAAUACCCUUAGGUGUAAAUAUGCUAUUAUUUUUUUGAGCAUCUUAACGACUUCAAAUGAAAAAACUCAAAACUAGAAAGUUGUAGAUCUUGUCAAAAUCUACAAUUUUCAUAUAAAAAAUAUUUUCAUUUAAUUUAGCAAAAAAAGAUUUGUUUUGAUAUGGUUAAAAUAUAUCUUAGAAAAACAUAUCUUUUUUGCUAUAUUGAAUGAAAAUAAUUUUUAUAUAAAAAAUAUAGAUUCCAAUGAGAUUUACAACUUUUUAGUUUUGAGUUUUUCUAUUUAAAGUCAUUAAGAUGCUAAAAAAUUAACAUCACAUUUACAUCUAUGGUAUUUUUGACUUUUCACACCCGUGGUUUGACACCGUUAGAGCCUAAUCUAACGGUAGUGGCCUGGAGGCAAAAAAAAUUUUUAGAGUAGUGACAGUGAAGUCCAUUGAACUUUUUCAGUGGCUCACAAGGAAUUGUGAUCUUUUACAGUGGCUCACAGGAAAUUCUCUCUAAUUUUCCUAUUUUAAUAUUAUGGAUAUACUCUCUCUCCGCCAAGAAGAAUAUAAUUUUAGAUUUGAGAGUAGUUAAACUUUCUCAAGUUUGACCUAGAGAAAAUAUCAACAUUUAUGUCUUUAAAUAGUUUUUUGAAUUACACAAGUACAAAUGUAAACACUCAAACACACGCACACUCGCUCCCUAUGAAUACACGUACGGAAAUCCUAUCUUCAUGAGCACCUCCAAAAGACUAUGUCGGCACAUCUCGAGAUCGACGAAGUCAUCCCAAGCGCCUCGCUGUCAACGGAAACGUUGCCUACCACUGAAAGCACAACACCGUUAAAUCCUAAAAUAAAUUUAGAAAAAUACAAGCAUACAUGCCAAAUCGAGAACUUAAAUUAUAACAACUAUUUCAUAAUAAUCAAUCUAAUGAACUUAUUUGAUAUAAAAAAUUUUAGUACUUUUAGUAGAGGUGGUCAAAGUUUAAAUAACAACUUUUAUGAGAAUUCUAUCUUUUUUUGAUAGAGGAAGUACUAGCAAACAUGCAUAAGCAUUGCAACGGAACAUACACUUUGUUGGGCGAUUAUUUGAAUGACUUGUGGCUUGGAUAUUUAUGUAAUAGAUGUGUCCUCUGUUCCAACAUGUAUGGGAACUAGAAUCCUGUACCAUUGUUGGAUACACAAACAUGUGCGGUUUUAAUUUUUAUGAGCAUGGGUCGUGAGUUUGGAUCUCAUAGGAGACAAUGGAGAUACUACUAGAAUCCACAAAAUCGGUAUGGGAAUAUGUUCCCUAGAAUUUUUCGCAGGAGAAGCCUCCUAAGACAAUUUCAACCACAGUUUGGAAAGAUGGUUCCCCUAGGGUUUCUUUAAUUUUCUUAGCAAAAAUUUUAAACUCUAGGGAAACCAAUAGAUUUUAUAAAAAAUGGAUGGAAGAAUGACUUGGUUAUAUAAGGCCAGUCUCAAUGGAGUUUCACGAAGGGUGUCAUGCACAUUAAAUAGUCUGCCACAUCAGCAAGAGCACACUUUUUGUAUGAAACUGGGAGGAGAGAGAAUGGAAAAGUUUCACCAUGGUGAAACGAACGUCGGAAACGGUGUGAAACCCGCGUUGAGAGUCGUGAUUCGUUUCAUCCCAUCGGUCUUCUUCGACACCAGCCCCGCGGACUCCGCCUCUGACGCGAGCCACCAUCCGCAGUCGCAGUCCGCCGAUCUGCAGUCGCUGCCUCCAUCAUGGCCAUGAGGGCGCGUGCAUCCGCACGCGACCGCGGAUGCCUCCCAGCGCGGCGAGCGUGAGCGCCGGGCAGGCUCCACCGCGCCGGCUCCUUCUGGCCUCGAACCAACCGACGAUGCGCCGCCAAAGGCCAACUCCUCGACGAUGCACAGGGCGGACCGCGGGUGCUGCUCGUCACGGCGACUCGUACCUCCUCGACGACACGCGGGGCGGACUGUCGUCGUGCAGAAGAGGCAACGUGCAACCAUGGCGAGCGGGAAGGCCAGGCGAGGGCGAGGGCGAGGGCAAGCUGCUGUCGGGCGCGGACCGGGAGAGCUGCUGUCGGGAGCGGACGCGAGCGAGCUGCCUUCGCUGCUGCCGGUCGUGGCCCCGCUGGCCACGAUGCCAUGAAUGAACAAAUAAAGGAAGUGGAGAAAAAAAGAGAAACACGUCAGAAGUUCGGAGAACUUCAUCUGAUGAUGAACACUGAGCUAGUCAGGCGGCGGUGAGUACGGCUCGGGAAGACUAGAAAAAACGGCCGCGAGGCGAGUUCCCCGACGUCGUCCGCUGGGCAUGGCUCAGCUGGCCGCGAGAGGGGAAAAGAGAACGAUGGGACCCACAAAAGUUUAGAAUAAUAUAUGAAACCGUGCUAUGAAAUUACACACUGUGGAGAAAGAUAUGUUCCAAGUUAAGUUUCGCAUCUUGGAAACUGGAAAGGUGAAACCUUCCAUUGAGACUGGCCUAAGAGGAGAAAUUAGAUGUAAGAUAUAUAUAUGUUGGAUCAUGUGGUUAUGCUAUUGGUCAUGUAGGGAUUGGAUAAGAAUCGGCCACCAACCACAGACAUAUGCAUGUUUAUAUGCAAUUGAAGCAACCCAUGCCUUCUUUUUCCAUCUUGUUUUUUAUUGACAAAGUGACAUUUGUUGACAGGUGACCACUGAGUGACGACUUGUAUAUUUUGGUUCGGUAGUGGAAAUGGACUAUGCAUGCUCGACAAUGAGUACAUUUAACCAAUGGGUUACCAGACUUGUACCCCUAUACUAGGAGUAGGAUUAUCAUGACUCAUGAUGAAUUGAAUGAAAGGUGAUUGGCAAGCUUAUUGGGUAGAGCUAAGAAUUAGUCUGAUCCAAAUUCGUAAUUCACAACUGAAUAUUUCAAGCAACAGUGAUGUAAACAAUGUUCUUCCCCAAUUAUUUUGUGGCAUCCCAUGGAAGGAACACAGAUGCAUGGCCAAGAUAUAGAUAGUACUUUUAAAAAAUGUUUCUACACUUCGAGAUAAUGUUUCUCUUAUUCUAGUUAGCUCAACUCAGAGAACAAAAUGUUUUUUAUACUAACUUUGUUGAAAUGGGCUCGGGUCCCAGCAUGUUAGUGUUCUUUGUACCUUAUGUUAAAGUAAAUUCUUCUUUUUUGCCUCACAAAGGUUCCUUUCUUCUAGUGAAAUUCUUCGAGUAUAUAGACUAAUAUAAUUUAAGUUUUUUUCUUUUGCGAGUGGUAUAAUUCUCUGUCUACUUGAGCUUUUUAGCAAAUGGAAUUAUAGUUAGGCCAAGAUGUGUCUUUAGAAUGAAGUAAGUUCUCAAUUUCAUGCGGGUCAUUGGAAAUUUAGAAAAAUGCUGUUGCUACUGUAGUGUUAUCUUUUGGGCCAGGCCGACUCCAUUUGCUAGUUGCAGCCCGAAAUGCAAAUAAGCACCAGUAUAAACUGGGAAUAUACUCUCAAAAAUAUCAUUAGGAAUAAAGGCAUAGUUAAAGUUCUAGGACAUGAUCGAAUACAGUAGAGAUUAGAAUCACACUACAGUUUAAUUAGAAUUUUAUAUGAACAUAAAAAUAAGACUACCAAAUUUCAUCUGGAGGACUCUUACAAAAAAAUCAACAGGAGGCAAAUUAAUUCCAAGAAUAAAAAGGGAACAAAACCUGAUGACCUCACAAAAUCAAAUAUCUCAUCUUAUGUCUAUUGGCUUAGAUAGACACCUCAGUCUGAACUAACUUAUCACGUGCGACGUGGUAAUUCUGCUAUGAUGGUAGAAAAUAAUUCACUCUGUUUGUUUUAACCUUUUAAAGCCAGAAGAUGACCAUUUCUAAGAAUUUAGGCGACACCAAUAUAACCUAUUACCAACGGAAUGAUAUAAUUGGGGGCAACACAUAAUGGCUGCCUUGGUUUUAUCUUACUGUCUUAACAUGUCAGAAAGCAAAACAUCAUGUAAUAGCCUACCUAUGAGCGAAAAAGAAAGUAACAACAAUAAGUAGGCAAAAAGCAUCGAUCAAGAUUCAAUACGAUAUAUUUAGAUUUACAUGUUUUGUCCGGAAGACAUGUGUUGUACGUACAUUUCUUUCAGUAUAUAUACUAGGAUGGAUGUGACAUAUAGAAGCUCUAUCUACAAAUACCUUACUUAAGCUAUGUGAGAAACUACCAUAGUAAUAAAAAUCAUGCUCAAAAUAGCAAGUGGUUAUGUGACUACCAUCAAAACAAGCUUAUUAACCAAACCUAUACUUCAGAUAAAGUGGUGAUGGAGUUUUAAGCUAUGUAAGAAGCUACCAUGGUAGUACAGAUCAUGCUCAAAAUAGAAAGUGGUUAUGUGACACUACUACAUGAAAAAAUUUACCGUGGCGGGCUAAAAUGCUUAACUGAGGCAGUUUUUCCAACCACCUCGGAGCAAAGGUCAUGGUUAAUGUGACCUUUUGCGAGGCGGUUGGAUGCGCGCCUCGGUUAAUCAAAUAAAAAGAAAAAAAACCCAGAGGGCUUGGAUCUGGGCCUCUUGCCCUACCGCUAGGGGAGCCAACUCUGCGUAUGCAUCGGCAGCUCGCUGCGUCCAUGCCCGCUUUGCCACCACGAAGAUCCACCGCCCACUGCAGUACAUCCGUCGCGGGUGUGGACGACCUCACGCACUGCCGUGGGUGAAGGCCUCCAAGCCCUGGACUGCGCUGCCAUGCCCUCGGCCCCGGAUCCGCGCCACCUGAGGACCUUGAGGCAGAGGGAGGAACUCCUUGCUGCCUAGAUCCACGCCGCCAGAGGAGACGGAGGAGCUCCUCGCCACGCCGUCGGUGGUGCUUGAGGGAGGACGGAGAAGCGUCGCCGCGAUAGGGGGCUCUGCCACCGAAUACGAAGGAGAGGAGGAGGGGCGUUAGAGGGAAGGGGUGCGGUCAAUGGGGAGGGGCGCUCAGGUGUCAAGUUUUGCGAGGAGGGGAAGUGAAGGGCGUCGGGCGUAUGGCGUCGCGAGCAGCCAAGGUGAGAGAGUGCGGGUGCGGCUGAGGAAGUGAAGGUGAAACCCUAGGUCUAGUAUAUAUAUGUGACCUUGAAAUUGGGCCUCUUGGGCUGGCAGGCUGGGCCAGAUUUACUGAGGCGGGUGGAGUUAUAAUACCCGUCUCGGUUAAUGAUUUUACCGAGACUGUUAUGUUAAGAUGUCCGCCUUGAUUAAUCAAUUUUGCGAGGCAGUUUAUGUAACCGCCUCGGUUAAUAAAAAAUGACCGUCUCGGGCGGUUGAAAUUUUUGCCCGCCUCGGAGGGUGUUUCAAAAGAUCACGGUAAAUCUUUUUGUAGUAGUGUGAUUACCAUCAAAACAAGCUUAUCUACCAAUCCCAUACUUAAGACAAAGUAGCCAUGGAGUUUAAGCUAUGUGAGAAGCUACCAUAAUAAUACAAAAUCACGCUCACAAUGGAAAGUGGUAUGCGACUAUCAUCGACAAGCCUAUUAACCAAUCCUAUACUUAAGAUAAAGUCCUCCAAAUAUAUUCCAUAGUUAGAGCAACUCUAGUGUCAUCUAAAAGUGAACUGUGGGAAGCAAAAAGAGAUCUAGAACAUUGGAGCAAUCAAACAUUGGGCGUUAGACCAAAAAGCGUAAUUUGUAGACGAGCCAAAUCAAGAAGAAAAAAAAAUCAUGCCGGGCAUGUCACCCCUCACGAUUCUUUUGUCCCCAAUAUGACUCAAAUAGAGAUGAUUUUUUAGUUCUAUUUGUGUGCAGAAGUCGAUGUGCACAUUGAAGGCAACGAACUUUGCUUUUAUUCGAUUCCACAGUUCGACACGAUGUUUUGCAUAAUUAAGUUGGUAUUUGUUGUUGUUUGCAAACUCUCAGAACAAAAUGCAAAGUCUAAAAAUAGGCCAUCUCUAAGGGUUUUACAUAACUGAGUUGGCAAUUAGCCAAAGUGGACCCGGUCGUGAUUUUUUUCCUUCGCGCGCGCUCGCGAUCGUCUUCCCACACGCGACUUUCCUUCGCGUGCAUAAAGUCGCCGCCGGUUCUCGUGUUUUCCUCACAGGUCGCGCCACCAGUUCUUCCUGCUCCCCACCGCUCGUUGUAGGUGCCACCGCGACGACUCAUAUCAGACUCGUUGCAGGUGCCGCUGCGGUGCCAGCCCGAUGGAUGCAACCUGCCUACGUACCCGGAUCAUCUUCCUGCUCUGCUCGUACAUUACCGUUCUAUGGCUUCGAUAGAUUGCCGAUGCACUGGUUCAUCAAUUUUAAAAUUCAUUUGAUUCAAUUCGGUCCUACUCUUCUGGCUUGUAGCAGAUGACGGCGAUGGUGUUGCUUGCGGUCGCGAUAUAUGGCGCGAAGAAAGUCCAGGUCGCGCGGGGGACCGGGAGACGCGCGGUCGGCCUUUUGCCAAGCCGUGCGCGGCUUGGCAUAUAUGCCAAGCUUGCUCUCUCAUUUGCCAAGUUGCUCAAAAUGCAAACUCUAAAUGCAAAACCAUUGGAUACCUCUUUUGUGAUUUUUGACAAAUUACAAGAAUGCAAAGUCCAAAUGCAAAACCGUUGGAGAUGCUCUUAGAGGUGCUCUUAGGCUAUCUCCAACAGCCUAUGCAUCACGCUAUCCAUAUCCAAAAUGUCUGAUCACAGUGAAAAAGCACUCCCAACAGAGUAGGCAAAGAGAGGACCUAUUUUGCGUCAUGGUGAGAGGAGACUCAAAUAUGCAUCUCUCUCUCCAUGACCCAAAUCUGCAGCAUCGAUCAUGGUGGGCCCGCGACAGGGAUCUGCCGCACAGCGAGGCGCGGUCGGUCCACCGAUGAGGACAGCGAGGCGGGCCCGUGACGAGGAGACGACGGCGAGGCGAGGCGCGGCGGGCCUGCGGACAACGACGGCGAGGUGGGUCCGCGACGGGGAGCCGCCGUCACGACGAGCGUGGUUGUCCCGCAGACGACGACGAGGAGCCGCCGGCGCAGACGACGAUGGCGAGGUAGGUCUGCAGAGGGGCGAGACUGUCUCGGCAGGGAGGAAAGGAAGCUCGGCGAGCGCGGCCGUCUCGCGCAGAGAAGGAGGGAAGCUUGGUUCUAGGCACAGUGGAGAGGGAAGAGAGCAGCGCAUGCGGUUCUGUUCGAUGGGAAGGAAUGGGGCGGCACAUUCAGUGGAUCUGCUCUCCUUUUAGGUCGGCUGUUGGAACACGAAAGAUUUGGUGUGUGUGACCCUUUUCUCCUGCGUGACCCAAAUAAACCGUAUGGAUCUCAUAUAUGGGUGAGGACUGUUGGAGACAGUCUUAGAUGAAGAUCAAUUCACAAAUCCUAUCCCUGGACCUGAACGUCACAGCCCACGACUCACAAACCAUGGGCCAUGGCCCGCAACUAACAUCCUUUUCCCCUAACCCAAGCAACCUCAUAGUCGGUCCCUAUUAGUCAUUGCCCCACCGAUCACUUGCUCCCGUCAUUUUUUCGAAACACUAUUUUACACUCUAUUCCUUAUACUCAAUAGUUGAUAUAUAUUACACGCUGUAGUUUAUCCCUUAUACUCAAUGAUCAACAUAUACUACCUUGCAUACUCUAUCCCUUAUACUCAAUAGUCGACACGUCGUCGCAACCGUGGUGUCUAUAUAUAUGCCAUACAUAAAGCUAUUCUUAACUUUGAUGUUUACCUCUUCUCCCAAGCAAGGACCAUCAUUCUCAAGCAUCAUCAGACGAAGAGAGGCCAGGAGAAGAGAUUAGGAAAAGAACCUGUGAGAAUUAGUGGGAGAGAUCCACAAGGAAGGUACUGGCGUCGCGUACUCCCCCUCUCUCUCUAGUCGACCCCUUUGUUUUCUCUCUCCUCUCUCCUCUCUCUCUCUCUCCUGGUGCUGCUGCCUGCGCCUGCUGUGUGUGUGUCCCUCCCCCCUGCCAACCCUUUUCUAUUCAGUCGGUUCCCCUCUCCUCUUCCCCCAAGCCAAACACCACCACCCCUCCUUCCUCCCCACACCCCCUCUCCCUACGCCUCCUCGCCGCUUUCCCCACCCAAUCCGACCGCCGGGCCGCCUCCUCUCCGCCGGGGCGGGCGAUUCCCCGGAGAUUCCGCGCGAUUCGCCGCGGAUUCGGGGCUCCUCCGGGGGUUUCUCGGCGAAUCGGCGGGGAUCGGGACUUCCCGGCUGGAGGUCAGGCCCCCCCUCCUCCUCCCCUCCGAUCGCUAACCCUCGCUGCUUCGUGCCCCGCCGCGUGGGGGCGGGGGUUUGCCCGGUUACUGCCCGCGCCGCCCUGUGCCUUAGGUGCGAUGAACAGACGAGUGAACUUUUGCUUCUACAUACAACUGGGUGCUGGGUGGGGUGGGGGAGAGCGAUUCCGUGAUCGGGGCGCCUUCUGCUGCGUGUCCUUGCCCGAUGUGCGGAGUGGGUUGCCGAGGGGUGCGAGUCGGCUGCGGGUUCUCCUGGUGGUUAAUUAAGCAAGUUGCUAGUAAUUGCACGAGUAGAUUUACCUGUUGCUGUUAAUGACUCUGUGCUGCUGAUCCAUUUGUUAGUUAUAUAUGCUUUGGUGGGCAAGGGAUGCGUGUCCCCCAGUGCGUGGAAUCUUCGGUGUGCAAGGAAUGGAAUGGUGUCUGUGGGAAGUAGCAUUACAGAGGACAGAAGAGGGCUGAUGCUGGUGCUAGGAAGUAGAUGUUGCGUGCCUUAUCCUGUACUGAUAUGGACAAAAAUAGGUUUGACUGGAUUGUUGGAGACUUUGGUUUACCUAAGCAUGCCACUCUAGCAGCAUACUUCUUGUUUGUACCAAAGUUACAACAGAACUGCAACUUAUGCAUCCCUAUGUCGAAUGUGCUUGCAGUACUGAUAACUUUACCAUCUGUAGGUGUUGCGAUUAGAACAGCUGUAGAACUUUUUCGCUGUUUCGAAGGCUGGCUGAUACUGAUUGGCAUAUCAGUCAUUCAAUAUGCACAUUCCUUUUAGUAUGUUCUAUUCUAUUAUUUGAUGAAAUCAGAUCAUAUCGUCACCUUUGGGUUCAAGUAUUAGCAGUAAUCACCGCUAACCAUUGGUGGUUUCUCCAACUACGUUGGUUGCCAAGCAACGUAGUUGGAAUGGCUACAUUGUAGCAAUGUUCUUUUAGUUUAGUGGUGCCUGGCACAAGAUAGUGUUGUCAUGGCUUUGCUUUGAUGUGAGCAUCCUAAUUUUUGUCACGCCUUUGAUUACACUGUGGGAUACGCUGCCAAGCAAUCAGACAAUUCUAGAUUGGCAAGGAAUCAUAUCUUGAUACCUUUAGACAUGAGGAUUAAUGACAAGAUCUAUGGCCCCCUUUGCUUAGUAGCAAAUGGGUGUUUUAUCCUCUUUGUCAAGUGAGUCCUAAGUCUGAGGCCAGGAUGAAUUUUGUAGUGGGGCUGGGGCCAAUUAUUUCAUGACUCUCACUUUUUAAUUCCUUCUCUGCAGAAUCCUCCAUCUGUUUCGGUAACUAUUUGGAACAAUUUACGUGGAGAUUGCAUACCAUCACCUUCCCUGAAGUGAAAAAUAUAUGGGCUGAUCGUGGCAUUUCAUGGGAGGUUUUGAAGAUGAUGAACCACCCUCAAAACGCGCAAGAGCAUCCUCAGUAGAAUCUGCAAGUUUACCAGAUUAUUUCUCGUUUUCGAAAUCCGUCAAUCCUUUGGGAAGUACAAUGGCUAGACCUUUGCCUUCCCAAGGGAAAGAAGUUAUGGUUGGUUCCAAGGGUGUUAUUAAGAAGGAGGAAUUUGUUAGGAUAAUCACCAAAACUCUGUAUAGUCUUGGAUAUGAAAAAAGUGGAGCAGUUCUGGAGGAGGAAUCUGGGAUUAUUUUACAUAAACCUAUGGUGAAUCUUUUCAGAGAGCAGGUGAUUGAUGGGAAUUGGGAUAAUGCGGUGGUUACCUUGAAUAAGAUUGGCCUUCAAGAUGAAAACAUCGUGAAAUCUGCGUCAUUUUUGAUAUUGGAGCAGAAAUUCUUUGAACUUCUAAGAAAUGACGAUGUCAUGGGUGCUAUGAAGACUUUACGAUGUGAGAUCACACCCCUUGGUGUUAAUAGAAAAAGAGUGCAUGAACUGUCGACUUGUAUGAUUUCUUGUUCUCCACAGCAGUUGUUCCUUGGUUUUUCAAAGCUUGGAAUUGAUUCUUCUAGUUCUCGGUGGAAGCUUCUAGAGGAAUUGCAAAAGGUGCUCCCUCCAACUGUGAUGGUGCCUGAGAGGAGGUUAGAAAAUUUAGUUGAGCAAGCACUUACUGUACAAAGGGAUGCUUGCUAUUUCCAUAAUUCUGUUGAUGGGUUGUCCCUCUACACUGACCAUCACUGUGGGAAAGACCAGAUACCGUCUCGCACGCUACAGGUAAAAAAGACUCUGGUACCUGCUUCGGUGUUUGCUUGGAGCGCUAAAACCCCACAUAAGUGCUAGUUCUGUGUCUGCUGGUCAGCCACUUAUGUACUGUAUUGAUUUGUCAUUUGUAUGUUAUUUAAAACACCUCAGUAGUUCUUUUUUUGUUCUGUAUUUCACUUCCAUUAGCUAUAUUUGGAUUAUGAUACACAGCAAUUUGAAUGAAAACAAUGGAAGUCCCAUUGUUGAUGCUGUAAUUUGCAAAUCUGAAGUCAUAAUCCAGCUUUACAGCAUGUAUGUAGACCACUUAAGCUUCCUUCUACCUUCCCCCUUGCUCCAUCUCCCUCCUUGUUCUCCCCACUUCUCACCAUUUGUUGCCAAAUAAUAAUUUCAGUUUACUGCAGAGGGUUUUUUUUCCUGAAAAAAGGUUGAUAAGAGCUGGGAGUGCCACUCAUCUUUGCACUUCACAAAAAUAUUGUAUUAGCUAUGUUUUCUUUGUUAAGAAAUCAUUCUUUCACUUGCAGUAAAAUGAAUAGAAACUUGCGACUUGUAUUUUGCCGUACAUUGUUGUCACUUUUAGCUGGAUGUGAAAUGUUAGAGAACUUGGUUAUCAAGACUAUUUUUUUCCUAGUAGCUGCAUAUCUUGAAGUUCGAUGCUUUGAAGUUCACAAGUAAAAAAAUUGUUGCAGGUUUUGCAUGCACAUCACGAUGAAGUGUGGUUUAUCCAGUUUUCAAACAACGGAAAGUAUUUAGCCUCAGCGUCAAAUGAUAAAUCUGCAAUUAUAUGGGAGGUAAACUUGUGAACCACUGAACUUAUGUUUCCAAAGUCUUCUUUUCUCAUGGUCUGCGACUCUGCGUACAAACUGGGUGGCCUGUUCCUUAGUUCCUAUUUUAAAUUUCAUGUCAAGAACUGAACUUGUCCAACCUUACUAAUGCUUUUCAUCACCUGUUCUUUAUUUUUUUUACCAAAAGUUGACUUUCAAAUCCAUUGUUAUUUUCAAAACAAAGACAGAAGUCUGCCAUUUCAUAUUACAUUUUUUCCACUGAAAGCCUACUGCUUAUUACUCCGUCAGUUCCAAAUUAUAAGACAUUUUGGCUUUUCUAGACACAUUGCUUUUACUAUGUAUCCAGACAUAGUGGUAUAUCAACAGUCAUUGUACUCCCUCUGGUCCAGUUUAUAAGGCACCUUCUAACAUGGUCUCCUAAAUUACACUUUGACCAUUCAUUUAUUUUAUAUUAUAUUAUUUGUUAUAAACUUAUGAUCAUUGGAUAGUACAUUUGAUUACAAAUCUUAUCAAUUUUGUUUUACAAUGGUUAAAAAUUCAGUCAAAUUAUUAGUCAAAAGAUUAUAUAAUGACUCUUGACCUACACAAAAUGCCUUAUAAACUAGACAGGAGGGAGUAUCUAGAAAAGUCAAAACAUCUUAUAAUUUGAAAUUGAUGGAGUACAUCUUGUAAGCUCCCUAGCUUGAAUACUGGCACUUCUGUAUGUUCUUGUUGAUCAUGAAAGUGUCUGUCCCCACUAUCUUACGGUUGCACUGCAGUAAGUUGGGUUGUAAUGGUAAUACAGGUAGAGACUUCAAUCGCGUAAUUUGCUACUGAUAAAUGAAGCUUUAGUUUUUACUUCUGUUUUGUUGUUAUUGACCAUGCUAUGCGGUUUACUUUUCCUCUUUUUUAUCCCUUCAUGAAUUAAUCUUUUCAUUUCGUAGGUUGAUGAAGAUGGAGAGCUAUUACUGAGGCAUACAUUGAUUGGUCAUCAGAAGUCGGUGAUGAUGGUCGCAUGGAGCCCUGAUGAUUGCCAGCUUCUCACAUGUGGGCAGGAAGAAGCCAUCAGACGCUGGGAUGUUGAAUCUGGCAAAUGUCUUCAUGUUUAUGCAAAGCCUGUUGGUUUGAUAUCAUGUGCUUGGUUUCCAGAUGGAAAACAAAUAUUGUCUGGUCUAGCUGAUGAAAACUUUUGCAUUUGGGAUUUAGAUGGUAAUGAAGUAGAUUGCUGGAAAGGGCAGAGAUCAACAAGAACAUCUGAUUUUGCUGUAGCAAAAGAUGGAAAUCUUAUAAUAAGCAUGAGUAGGGAGAGCACAAUUCUUCUAUUUGAUAGGGAGACAAAACAAGAGAGGUUAAUUGAAGAGGGUAGUACAAUUACUUCAUUUUCUCUAUCAGAAGAUGGUGAUUUCCUGCUUGUAAAUCUUAUAAGCGAAGAGAUUCAUUUGUGGAACAUAAGAAAUGAUCCUGUUCGAGUCAACCGGUACAAGGGCCAUAAGCGCAACCGGUUUGUGAUAAGGUCUUGUUUUGGUGGAUCUGAGCAGGCGUUCAUUGCUAGUGGGAGUGAAGAUUCACAGGUAUGGCGAUUGCCUUGUGACCCACCUAAUGGCUAUAGAAUCGAUAUUAUGUGUGCACUUACCUUUGUUGUCAUUGUUUUUAUUAAUAUGCACUGCUCCCAGACACAUGCUGUUUUAGACAAUUAUAUUUAUUGUCAGAUGAGUCAAAUCUAAUGGAGAGUGCAGCUAACAUGUUUGUCAUUUGAACCGUCCUCAUUGCAUUACAUUAUUCUUUUAUAUACGAUAAAGCAUUCAAACAUCCUGUGACACGGAAAUCAUUGGCUAACUCGGGGACGCUCUUGCAACUGGCGCCUAUGUCUAGGCCGGUCUCAGAUUUAUUAUAAUUUAAUAUGCAUGCCUAAUUGCUUAUGGCCUUGUUUAGUUUCGAAUUUUUUUUGGGUUUUGGUACUGUAGCACUUUUGUUUUUAUUUGGCAAUUAUUGUCCAAUCAUGUACUAACUAGACUCAACAGAUUCAGGUAAACUGUGUAAUUAGUUUUUAUUUUUGUCUAUAUUUAGUGCUUCAUGCAUGUGUCGUAAGAUUUGAUGUGAUGGGGAAUCUUGAAAAGUUUUGGUUUCUAGGGUGAACUAAACAAGGCCUGUCUGCACAUGCUAGUUUCCACCACUUUUCUUCUAUAGUUUCAUACAUUCGGCAUGCAGCAUAUUUGUUGACACUUUCUUCCAUGUCUUCUGACCAAAUCUUGCUGCUGAUUUAUUUUAUGCUAGGAGAUGCCACUAUAAAUACGUUGAAAUUAUCCUGUGUUUUUCAGCUGAUUGUCUUUUCUGAUGAACUAUUAUACUUCCAAGGGGUGUAAUGGAGGCAUGUAGUUAUGGCAUCCAUAUAUCUUGUAGGCAGUAGAAAAUAUGAUACUUUGCAUUUCAUCAGUAAUAAAAGAAGUAAAAAUGUUACUCCUGCCUUUCAAAUUGGAAGUUGUUUUUGUUUUUCUAGAUACAUUGCUUUUACUAGGAAAGUCAAAACGACUCACGAUUUGAAAUGGAGGGAGUACUUCUUAAAGUUGCAUUGGGAAACAUAAGAUUUAGCCUUUGCAAUGUCUAGAAGGCCUGUGGUUGGUUGGUCCAGCCCACACGGUUCAUUGCAUAUUUUCUUUUGUACCCUGCAAGGUAAUAAUGUGCAACACCUGGUCAUGUUUCCAGGUCUACAUAUGGCAUCGAGCCACUGGUGAUCUCAUUGAGACUCUUGCUGGUCACUCGGGCACAGUCAACUGCGUAAGUUGGAACCCUACGAAUCCCCACAUGCUUGCAUCAGCUAGUGACGAUCACACAGUUCGUAUAUGGGGGGCAAAGAAGGCCAGUCUUAAGCGCAAGGAUGUUGGGAGCAGCAACUGCAACAGUAACGGUUUCCACUCGAAUGGCAAUGCUCAUGGCAACGGUUUCGUUCACCAGUGCAAUGGGAACAGCACCAAAUGAUUGGCCAGGGCAAUGUAUCUCCAUGGAUGGUUAACUGGCAUCUGUAAAUCCCCCUUUCCUUUUACUUCCCUCCUGGAAGAAGAAUCGCCACCGCCAUAGUGAAAAAAAAAACAAAAAAAGAAAAAAACAAAGCUGCAGCACAAAGUGUGGGGAACCUGCUGGGUUUCGUGCGCCAUCUUUCCCUUGUUCCAUCAUGACUGUCAUCACAUUUAUUUCUUAAUUCAAGCUGGGAUGGAAUUAUGAUAUUGCUUAUGCAUCUUUCAUAUCUUGAUGUACCCUCCCUGAUUGAUUGUAACUGUAUUUUGGUGGUGAUGCUGAUGGUGGUCAAUUCCUCUGAUUGCAUUUUGCCUUGAGAAGAAACAAAUGUUGGCCUAGGAUGCUCCGCCUAAAAAAAUGGGAUGGAACAUCUUAUCAUAAAUUUAAAUAGAUUCAAUUAUUUGUUUCAAGGGAACAAGUGGUUUGUUUGCUUGCCAUAUUAUUCCUUGUAAGCAAAUAUCUAGGGUAAAUGGAAAUUUUGAAUAUUUUUCAAACCAAACAACUAACCAGUGUUCUAGCAUCAUUGAAAUAACUUGUGUGUUGUAGGUGAACUUUCUUAAAAAAAAACUGUUGCAUUUGAAGAUAUGAAAGUUGGGUAGGGGCAUUUACGGUCUGUUUGGUUAGGCUAUGGAGAAGUUGUGAGCUGUGAAAGUGAAAAAGUAGUUGUGAGUUGUGUGAAAAAAGUGGCUCUUUGGUUUAAAUAACUGAAAACCAAUCAUCUCUCUCUCUCUCUCUCCAAACAGCUGUAAAAUAUCUAUUUUCAUCCAUUUGGAAAAACUAAAAGGGGAGUUCAAGGUAUUGUGAAAAUUGUACUACGAGAAAGCAGCAACUUCCUUUUGUUCUAUCGUUUGGUUGGCUUUCUGCUUUUCUAUCGAUCAGCAGAAAUGUUUUCCAAAAGCUGAUUAAACAAAAACUUUACUAAAGAUGAACCUUGAGGCAGGUUAGGGCACGGCCAACGCACGCAGUUAAAUUUGUUAGCCUCGUGCAAAAGUACCAGUCUACAUAGAGACUCAGGGGGUGUUUAGUUAAAAAAAUACAAAAUGCAGAAUGUCAACUAUUUUAGAAUAGUAGAAUGUAAAAUGUUGAAAUUUUCUGGACAUGAUACCUUCAUAUAUGACCAUUGACUAUAAGAUGAGUUCAUUUCUAUAUUUGUAUAAUAAUUUUUGGUAUAAUUCACUUGGUUCCACAUGCAUAUAUCAUUAUUUGCAUGUAGGUAUGAAUGUGUCUCAAAGUGCAAGGUCAUCAAAGUUGAAUUUUUAGUUCGCUAACGGCCCGAUAGUGCUUUAUUGGGAAGGUCAUAACUCAUCCAUCUGGAAUGAGAUUGAGGUCAAUGAGCACUUGAUGGAAAGCUUGUUUGAUAAGCUUUCAAAUAGAUCUGGUCCUACCUCAAUAUCACAUCGGCAAAGCCUUCAAAUAGUUAUUAUAUUCUGUUGUUGUUUGUGCCGAGAGCUACAUCAUCAUUAUGGGUAUAUUUUUUUUCUUGUGACUCUAGUCAAGUGGGAGCACAUCUCAAGGAGAAGGAGAAGCCACAAAAGGAGCCCUUGAAUGUCCUCCUCUUUGCCCACCACCUUAGAAGGUCAGCAAAGUCGUUCAAGACAAGUCAGAGGCCCAAUCCAUAUCAAGUUUGAGUCCAUCUCGGGCUUCGGGACCAGCAUGAGGUAAACACAGACGUCCAGGACACAUCCGGACUCUGUUUUUGAUGAUCCAUAUAUGGAUGGAAAGAUAAUUUCAUAAGCUAACCAACGGCUUUGGUUUGAUGCCUAAAUUCCAUCGGCGUAAAGGGAAAUCGUCGAAACAAGUUGACAUUUAGAAUCCGUCGGGGCGUUACGUCGCCAUCUUUAGGGUUGUUGGGCCUUGUAACGUGUUAGACCACCUUAUGGACGUGAAGAGGAGUCCUUAGACGUCCCUUAGGCUAUAUAAUUAGUAGCCUCCACCUAUGUUAGGGUUUGGCUUUUGCUUAGAUUAUUUUGUCAAAAACAGUUUCGCCGUGAGAUCCUAACUCGUGAGAUUAAUCAUUCAUCUGCAAAUUGGUUGCAUUCUUCCUUGUUCUUGCUUGUAUUAUUCGAUUCGGAGGCAAGGAUUAGCCUUCUUGGUGAGGUCAACCGUGCAGCGCCGGUCGAUAACCAGAGGAGAUGUGGUGCUAAGGUUGCAGGGUUUGGAUCUUUGUGAUCUGAAGCCAGAUUGUGUGUCGUUCUCUGACCAAAUCGUUGUUUAUCUUGAAUCUGAUGGAAGAUCGGGACCCAUCCCCAUUAUUUAGUUCCAUCCGAAAUACAGAAUUCGUGCAAAAGUACCAGUCCACGUAGACUUAGGGGGUGUUUAGUUAAAAAAAUGCAAAAAGUCAACUAUUUUGGAAUGAUAGAAUGUAAAAUGUUAAAAUUUUUAGAGUCAUGUUUAGGUCCAUCUAAAAUGUAGAAUCUAUUGUCCCCAUGAGAGCCUCUUGAAGUUCUUUUUGGGUUUUUUAAGCCUCCUAAGGCCAAAAUCUACAAUGGAGAAUAACUAAUUUUUUACCAAAAAAUUUAUAUACUUCCUCCGCCCACGAAAGAAUCAAUUUCUAGGAUCCGUGCCAGUCAAACUUUUUAAAGUUUGACUAACUUUAUAGAAAAGAGUAACAACAUUUAUAAUAUAAAAUACACAUUAUAUGAAAAUAUAUUCUAUGAUGAAUCUAAUAAUACUAAUUUGAUACUAUAAAUCUUAGCAUUUUUUUCUAGAAAUUUGGUCAAAGUUUAAAAAGUUUGACUUAGGACAACUCUAGAAAUUGACUCUUUCGUAGACGGAGGGAGUAGUAUUUAGUUCCAUUUUACAAAAUGAUGGAUCAAAAUCUAAUUUUUUUUAAGAGAAAAGGGAAACUAAAAACCCUCCUAGUAAUCUAGUUGUACUAUUCACUCAAUCCUAACGUACUAUAGUUUGUGGUCCCAUGAAUUACUGUUUUCUUCCAUUGUCUUUAUACGUUAUGUUUCAGCUUCUCAACGCUGGCUGUAGCGGGUGUGUCUCAAACUUUUGUCAGAUGGGGAUGGGGAUAUUGUAGCCUCUUCAGGCACAUCUGAGGUUCUGCGCGAGGCCAUCAAUCGCUAUAACCUGGAUGGCUGACUCCGGUGUUAAUCGCUACAAUGUGGAUGGCAUCGUCGGCAACGGCUAGAUAUCGUUGGGGCACUUCAGUAUCUAACGUUGACAAGGCUAGAUAUAUCUUUCUUUCAUUCUCCCACAACGUUGCCUUAGAACACUGUGAAGAGCCUUAAAAUAGGGAUUGUUGGAUAUCUUGAAGGGCUCAAAUCAAUCGGGAUUCAAAAUAGGAAACACAAAUCCAUGUUGGUUAUUAGUGCCUUUUCAGAUGCUGAUUAGGCAAAAUAUUCUUUUGAGCAAUCUUGUGUCAUAUGGCGUGCAAUGAAACAAGCAACUAUCUCUAUGUCUAGAGCUCAUAAAGCUACAAUAAAUACAGCUACAAAUUAAGAUAGUGUGCAUUCACAAGCUUCUGCAUGAAUUGUGAAUCUCACAUCCGAAAGUAGCCUAUUAUAUUGACCAAAUAUUUAUAUUAUGUCAUUCUGGUCUUUCAUGCUAGGACAAACAUGUAGAGAUUAACUAUCGCGCUUUGUGGGAGGAUAAGGUCUGGUUGGAUGUUGGAGUAAAAUUUAGUUCAAGUUUGACUACAAUCCAUCCCAAACACAUGUGGAUUGAGAUGACUUCGACAUUCAAAGAAGAGCUGGAUCAGGCAACUUGAUAUAAGAUUCAUCGGCUCGACAAAUGUGCAUGUAAAUUGCCAUACAUCGGUAAUUAUAUUAUUACUCUUUUUUAAGGCGCAAGUCUUCCGAUGCAUAGAAGCUUAGACUUUUGGGGUCUAUUUGUACAUGUGUAACUAAUAAUUAGCUGCUAAAAUUAGCCAAAAAUCUAUUUGGAUAUUUAUCUAGUAAUAAGGUCCUGUUUGGAUCUCCUCUAAACCUAGCUCUAAAAAAUUUAGAGUAUUUUGGCUUAUUUUGAGGUGUAAAGCUCUAGUGUGAGAUACUGAGGUGGGAUAAAAUUUAGAGGUAACUUAAAACUAUCUAUUUGGAGAUUUUAGCUCUGAAGUUUAGAGCAGGAGAUCAAAAUAAAACCCUAAGUCUAACUAAUGUCUUACCUAUAACCUAGGUAACCAUUAUUGGUUUCUUUUAUCUAACACUGCUUAUAGCUAUCUGGAUGGAUCCAAAAAGAGCCUUAGUAAUUGAUUUUUUAUAAUUGCUUGUGUGGGACCCAUGCGGUGACACCUAUAACUCUUUCUCCUAGUGUUAUUAGAUUCAAACCACUAAAGUUUUUGAAAAUGAGUUAUUGGGCUCUGUUUGGAUCUAUUAGCUGCUGUUAAUUAGCUAGGUAAGUAUUAGUUGGUUUGCUCCAGUUAAUGACAUACUCCUUCUGUGCGCCCCCAAAAUAAGUGACUUUUUUUUUACUCACAGACAAGAUAUUUGAUCGUUUGUCUUAUUUUUUUUUUGUGUGUAAAUUAUAAAAUAAGUAAAUUAUUAUUAAUUAUCUCUAAUAAUCAAAUAGAUCAUAAUAAAAUAGAUAAUAUUUAUAUAAAAAAUUUGAACAAAAUGAAACGUCAAACAAAAAUGUUAAAGAAAAAAACGUCACUUAUUUUGGAGAAGGGGGAGUAGUUGUUAGUUGAAGCUUCAGUUAUGUGGAUCCAAACGAGCUAACUAUUACUAGUACCUAACCUAAUAUAUCACACACAGCUGUGUUCAAAGAACUUACUAUGGCUCAAAUGUUGCCGUCACUCUGGUUCCUGCCGGCCGGCUCCUACUGGGCCGGCUAUACAUGCCCAUCCGCACGCACUGAAAUUUUCGUCCAACAGUAGGGUACACCUAACACAAACAAGAUUUUUGACUGCACUUGUGCAAAUGAGAACGAUGCUGGAGUUUGGACAAAUCCAGCCAGUCCUUGUCACUUAUCAGUGACAACACAGAUGUCGCUACGUACCGCCACCAAUCUUGUUGUUUUGCUAUCCCUUGUCCAGUGCAAUCAUACAUAUACAAUCUCUCAUAUAUAUCAAUGGUCAUUAUAUGUUGGGAAUCCUUACAAGCAGAUAUAUAGCAGUGGCACCCCCUUGCAGUCUUGACAAGGUGUCAGGAAUUGAGCUUGGAAAUGGAGGAGUUCGCCCUGUGCCCAAAUCCUCAUUUCGUGGUCAUCCCAUGGCCAGUCACCAGCCACAUGAUUCCCAUGGUGGACAUCGCCUGCCUCCUCGCCGCGCACGGCGCCCCGGUCACCAUCAUCACCCCGCCUUCCUGCUCCCAGCUCGUCCACAGCCGCGUCGACCGCGCCCGCGCCGGGCAAGCUGCCGGCUCGGCGGGCAUCGGCAUCACGGUGACCGCGCUCCCGUUCCCUUGCGCCGAAGCCGGCCUGCCGGCGGGCUGCGAGAGGCUGGACCACGUCCCCUCGGUCGACCUCGUGCCCAACUUCUUCGACGCCAACGCGCAGUUCGGCGACGCCGUGGCGGACCACUGCCGCCUUCUCAUGGCGACGCCGACGCCGACGCGCCGGCCGAGCUGCAUCGUCGCCGGGAUGUGCAACACGUGGGCGCACGGCGUGGCGCGUGAGCUCGGCGUGCCCUGCUUCAUCUUCCAUGGCUUCGGCGCGUUCGCUCUGCUGUGCUGCGAGUAUCUCAACACGCACAAGCCGCACGAGGGCAAGUCGCUGGACGAGGCCAUCGACGUCCCCGUCCUGCCGCCGCCUCUCGAGCUCAAGUUCGCCAGGAGGCAGCUGCCGCUACAGUUCCUGCCUUCGUGCUCCAUUCCGGAGAGCCGCCUUCGAGAGCUCCGGGAGUUCGAGAUGGCCGUGGACGGCAUCGUCGUGAACAGCUUCGAGGAGCUGGAACACGACUCGGCCGCGCGCCUCGCGGCCGCCACGGGCAAGACCGUGCUCGCCGUCGGCCCCGUCUCGCUGUGCGGCGGCGGCGGCGGCGGCGGCGCACGCGCACCUCCUAGCCUCCUCGACGUCCGGGCCGCCACCGACAGCUCGGUGAACGAUGACGCCAGACGGUGCAUGGCAUGGCUAGACGCCAAGAAAGCCGAGUCGUCGUCGUCGUCCGUGCUGUACGUCAGCUUCGGCAGCGCCGGCCGCAUGCCGCCGGAGCAGCUGAUGGAGCUCGGGCUGGCGCUCGUGUCGUGCUCCUGGCCUGUCCUCUGGGUCAUCAAGGGCGCGGACACGUUGCCCGACGACGUCGACGAGUGGCUACAGCACAACACCGGCGGCGACGACGGCCAGUGUCUCGCGGUCCGCGGGUGGGCGCCGCAGGUGGCCAUUCUGGAGCACCCGGCCGUCGGCGGGUUUCUGACGCACUGCGGGUGGGGCUCGACGCUGGAGAGCGUCACGGCGGGCGUGCCCAUGGCCACCUGGCCGUUCUCCGCCGAGCAGUUCCUGAACGAGAAGGUGAUCGUUGGCGUGCUCGGCAUCGGAGUGUCUGUCGGCGUGACGAAGCCCACGGAGGGCGUGCUGACCGGCGCCAAAGACGGCGGCGGCGGCGGCGCUAGGGCGAAGGCGGAUGUGGGAAUGGAGCAGGUGAAGCGAGCGUUGGAUAUGCUGAUGGAUGGAGGAGUGGAUGGGGAGGCAAGGAGGACGAAAGCUAGGGAGCUCAAGGCCAAAGCGAAGUCGGCUUUGGAGCAUGGAGGAUCGUCGUAUAUGAAUCUGGAGAAGAUGAUACAAUUUGCAGCUUAAUUAGCUUGAAAAUGGAUUGGUCUAGCUUGGUCAGUUUCAGCAAGCAACUCAGUUUAUUUCUGCGUAAUAAAGGUUAAGAAACUACUAGGACUGCAAGCAGCUGGGGUAUAUUACAUGUAGGGUUCAGGAACGCUGUCGCUGCAGGCUGGGCAAUCUCUGUCCAGGAUUGCAACUAGGCAGGAGUAGACGAAAAAUGGCAACAUCGAUCAGAGAUACUUUGGAUUGAAGAUCAGUGACUCAUGUGCGUUGUCUAAGAUUUACUCCCUAGCUAUGUCCUGGAUAAAUACAGUACAUCGUGACUUCUAAAAUUUGUACUGCAAGCAGACGGGGGAGAAAGUUAUUUUUGCCCUUAAGGGCAUGUGCUCCCACUCUCUCUACCACUGGAUUCGCAUUGAAAAGUGUGCAAACACACAUCUCAAUGCGAAUCUGCUUUGAGAUGUGUGUUUGUACACUUCUCAAUGCGAAUCCAGUGGUGGAGAGAGCGAGAGCAUAUGCCCUUGAGAGCAAAAAGGUUUCAGGAACACUGUCGCUAGCUGCAGGAUGGGCAAUCAAUUGCAACUGGGCAGGAGUGGCACGGUAGAGGAUGAUUCAAUAAUGCUAUGUGAAUGAUGCUUUGAUCUAUUGAAGAAAAUGAAGAACACAAUCAUGCAAGCGAACAGCAUGAGCCACAAAUUGCUUUCAUGAAUCAUGAUGAGAAGAAUUUGCGCAUUAGUGUUGUGGUACUUGCAUUGAUAGUAUACAGUCUAUAGAGCUUAUGGAUUGCAUGGUGUUUGGAAAAGAAAAUUGUCCUGAUUUCUGAAUGCACGUUCCCGUUCUUAACAGCUACUGCGCAUAAAAUAUGUGGUAGUUAAUAACAAGAGAAUGAAGCCUACAAAAAUAAUGAAGAUGCAAAUGGUUAUUCAUGGGAAUGAGGAAUGAAUGCAAGAGUUCUAAAUUAUGAAUAAAAUGGGAACGUAAUAUUCUAGGUGUAAGGUAGCUAAAAAUGUAUUUUUAUGUAAGUGUUAGUGAAACUCUCUUGAUUACAUACCGAGGCCAUGAUACCGUUCAGAGAGACGGGGACAUCUGCACUAACUGGUCUAUUAACCGUAAUUCCAUAUCCUUAGAGCAACUCCAACAGUUUACGACUAAAACUCACUUGGCAAAUCUAUAAUUUUGCCAAGUCUCAAAACCAAAUGCUAAGUGAAAAAAGAGGUCUUCUCCAACAGUUUGUUAUUUAGGCUUGGCAAAAGAACUUGGCAUCCUAGGGUUUUUGCCAAAAUCACAAAAUUGAGCCUCCAACAAGUUGGCAAAACUAGUUGGCAAAUUGGGAUACACGUGAUGCCAAAUGAUGGAGGACUUGGCAUAUUUGCCAAGUGAAGGGGGGAUUUUGCCAAGCUCACAAAAUUGCCAAGUAGUUUUGCCAAUUUGUUGGAGGCUGUUUUUUAUGAUUUUGGCAAAAAUCCUAGGAUGCCAAGUACUUUUAGCAAACUGUUGGAGUUGCUCUUAGAGUUACAUGCCUGGCUCACCAUGGUGUCAACCUCAAAUAACCUAGUCCAUAAAGGAGAUCCUAGUUUCUCUAAAAUGAAAGGCCAAAUGGGCCAUAAAAAAAAAUAUUGUGGUGGACUUGGUGGACGCCAAGACCAGUGGCCCACGUAAGGGCGUAAGGCCCAAGCCCACAACGUUCUCGACGCUACCUGAUCACUCCUACUAGGGUUCCGCACCCCUCCCCACCUAUAUAUACCGUCAGCCGCCGCCGUCCUCCCAUUCCCCUCCCCUAUCGUGAACCCGCCGCCGCCGCCGCCGCAGGAGGAGGAGACGCGCCAAGGAGAGCACGCGAGGAGGCGACCAUGAGGGCCAAGGUAUCCUCCAUCCAUCUCCGCGCCUACUCCUCGCGCCUACCAUCUCGUCGAUUAGAUCCGUGUGUGGCGUAGCAACUCGUUGCCACGAGUAGUUCUCAACUCGGUUCGUCCAUGUCCCGGGGCUGUGAUUACAAAGAGAGAGGCUCGAGUGGCGCAAUUCUGGGGUGGAAUCUCUUAUGGGACGGCGGAUCUCGCCGUGCGCUCGUGGACGCCCCCCUCGUCGCGGCGGCCGGGUCUGGAUCGGUAGCUUGGGACGCGAGGUGCCGCUCUGCGCGAGGCUGAUCCUUAGACCAGUCUCAAUGCAUAGGGCCUUGUUUAGAUGCACAUGUUUCGAGCCGAGCUGUGACAAAUCGUGUCGCGCAGAGCUUGGUAUCUCUGUGUCCCGUGCAUCGUUUCCGCAUGGUCCAGCCGCUGCGGUCUCGGAGGCGUCGCGUGCUUGUGGCGCCGCCGUCUUCUAGGGUUCUUCCCUGGCCACGGUGAAGGUUUCUUAAUCGCAUACACUUGAUAUGAGCCCCGUGGAUGAUGGCCUUAAGCCUCUGCUUGUGAAAUGUUGUUAGGAGAUUGAAUUGCAUUUCUAGCAGCAUCUGAUGGUGACUGUAGUCCUUGCUCUAAAUUUUUAAAGAUUUAGAUGCUUUGUUACUUAUGAUUUGUUUGCACUGGAAUCUGCCUGGCACCGUAAAUAAGCAAUUGCACGUUGAUGCUUAUCAGUGUUUGUCAUUACUAAUGCUUAUCAGUGCAAUUGUACUGGAAUCUGCCUGGAGAGAUUUUUGUUCCGUGUUUACCUUUAAUCUGUGGAAUUGUCUACUUCCUCCACUUAACCUGCAGCACAAAAAGGUAGUAUGUUGCCAGGCACUUAAGAUAAGAAUUCUGUUUUGUAGUUAAUUGAAAAUUGUGUGAUGGACAGGAUAAGGAUAGCCCCGUUCUUUUGCAUAGUUGUUAGAUGUAUUCCUUACAGUAUGUCUUUAAUUGUCUUGUACUCCCUCAUUUCAAAACAUAAGCUGUUUUGGCUUCUCUAGGUACAUUGCUUUUGCUAUGUAUUUAGAUAUACACUAUAUCCAAGGGUAUAGUAAAAGCCAUGAAUCUAGAAAGCCAUAAAGUCUUAUAAGUUGGAAUGGAUGGAGUAUACAAGAAUGGUCCUGUUCUUCUUCAUUUUAGUUAGUUGCAUUCUUGUCUAUGCUGUGCUAUUAUUUUUCCUCUUAUCUAAUGCUCACUCAACUAAUGCAUUCUUAUCUGUCAAUCUUCAGUGGAAGAAGAAGCGCAUGAGGAGGCUGAAGAGGAAGCGCCGAAAGAUGAGGCAGAGAUCUAAGUAAGCUGGUGGAGAUGGAUGGUGGACGUGAUGGCAUGCUUGAGUACAUACAUUUCUUCGGAUGCGUUUGCUCAUGGAGAGGCGUGAACCUGGUGUGCAGUCACAGUUUGCCAUCUGUCAAUUGGCUUGUCUCGGAAACCUGCACUUCAGUAGGCUAUCGUGGUUCUAGUUAUAUCCAGAGUUUUGCACUAAGACAACUCGGUCUGUUUUGUGAACCUAUUAUGAUGGAGCUUUAUUUGCUGCUAAUAUCGACCUACCUAUCUACCUACCUGUUAAGUAAUUCCUGUGUUUGUUUAUGCUGUGCUUGCCUGAUCUUUCAUUGUGUUAUUGUGGUAUCUGCUCGUUGGUGCUGGUUUAUCUGGCCUGUUUCUGUAAAUCAUCAGAGAAACAGCGUCCUGCUGUGUUGAAGAGCACACCGAUCGCUAUGCUUCACAUUGAAGCUGAUGCUCAACAUUGACUCAUAGUCUCAUACAAGCAUUGAAGCUAUUGUUCAUUCUAUGACCGACAGUUUCUCUAUAAUGGUGCAUAUGAACAUUGAAGCAGACAACAUAUUUUGCAGCUCGAACCUCUGUUGCCAAGCUGAUGCUCUACAUCGAUUUUAAUUGCAGUAACGGUUUGCUGCUGUGGCACGUCUGCGUAUCUCUGACGUUAAACGUACCGCGAGGUUGUUUUGGUCUGCGAUCCAGUGUUACCGCGAGAUGGUUUUGUUUUAUCAUCAAUUUUUUUUCUUUGUGUGUGCAAUGCCUCGGUUCGCUGUAGGCCUGAAGCUAAAAACCAAAGUCCCAUUCUGACUCUGAUACUCGUUCUGAAUUUUUUAUUUUUUAUUUUUUAAAAAUAUUUUAAAAAUCACUUAUAAAAGGAAAUGGUUUUCGUUUUUAUUUUUUAAAAGUCCCAUUGUGUUGUUUAAACAUUUGCUAGUUUUUUUUUGAGGGGAUUAAACAUCGUCUUAUCAUCUAGUUGGACUGGCCAACCAAAGGAAAUGCACAAUCUACGGUCCAUUUCAAAACCGCGAGCGUGGACUAAUCAAGCCCACGAUAGGACCUUUCGUUUAGGCCCAAGUCCAACCGAAGGCUCACUAACCAAAUGCAAUGCCCUAUUCGGCCCAAUUAAGGCCCAACGCCGUCUCGCUCAUGUCUCUCUCCACCACUACGCUCGUGGUCUCUCGAUGGGACCACCACUCCAAUGGACGGCGCGGAUCUCCCCUCCUACUCCGCCGCCACGGCCGCCGACGGCGACCGGCCUCCGGAGAGCGCGGUCGACGGAGGCGUGGAGAACGAGCGUGCCGCCGCGCCCACUCCAGAGCGGUGCGAGGCGCCGCCUCCGGAGAGCGCGGUCGACGGCGGCGUGGAGGACGAGCGUGCCGCGGCGCCCACUCCGGAGCGGUGCGAGGCGCUGGCCUCCGCGAUCGCGGGGGUGCUGGCCGGCGCGCUGCGGGAGCACGAGGAGCGGGCGGCCGCUACUGCCCGGAGCCAGGACGAGGUCGCCGCUGCCGUCGACCGCCUCAACGGAGGUAGGUGCCUCUCCCCGCUCCCGCCUUCGACUUUGUCUGCUGCUGAUGCUGUCGUGUGGUGCGCGCGUUGUGGCUUAGGGUUCUCCAGCUUCGGAUGCGGUGUAUUGUGGCGUUAAUUCAAACCGAAGAGUAGUGGGAUUUAAAUGACAUACUAGCAAUUGAGUUGUGAGCUCUGUGUUUUAUCUAUCUACUUUGCCUCUUUUCUUGAACUAUUCAGUACUCUUCCGUAAUUUCGUCAUCACGAUGGCAAUGAAAUUCAGGGACAUCCCAAAAAAUGUACUUUGCCUCUUUGAGAUUCUAACAGAAGACUAGUGGGAUUUAGAUGACAUACGAACAAAUGAGUUGUGAGCUCUGUAUUUAUUUAUCUACUUUGCCUUAAACUACUCCAGCACUCUUUCGUAAUUUCCUCACCAUGGUAAUGAAAUUCAGGGACCAAAAAUGUACUUUGCCUCUUUGGGAUUGCAACCGUGACAGGGCGAAGUUGAAAUUAUAGCUCGUUGUAACUUGCUUCUGUAGUUUAAUUUAAUUUAACUAAUGCACCAUCGUAUUUCUUGUGCGAGAUUGCAUGUUAUGUUUCUUGCUAUGUUUUCAAUAUCCUUACCCAGGGACUUGAUUGAAUCUACUUCUGCUGUUCUAAGUUGCACUUGACAUUGUUAGAGUAUAACACGACUAGGAUAGAGUUACUUGGGAUUAGGAUCCUUGUGUGCUGGCUUGCCCCAAGUCAUGUAAACUCUCUAUAUACUGUCUGAGAGGCUCAAUUUAAAUAAUCCAAAUCCACCCAUAAACAUAGUUCUUAGUUGCACCUGAAUCUACUUUUUAUUUAGUCCAAUUUCAGUCUCUUCAUUGUCUCAAGCGAGUUAACAAAUAAAUGGAUGAACUAGAAAAUUCUAGCAGUUAAACAGUAUACAAUGAUUAAAAAUAUUAAACUGAGAUUCAUGAUUCUGUCAUGGGCACAUGUGUGAGUGUCCAACUUGCCUGCAGGUGACCAGGUUUCCAAUCCGGUAAAAAAAAUUGGGCACACCAAAUAACACUUGGAGAACCCUAAGCCACUUGGAGAAGUCUCUUACAUUUUCCUUUGCUCCAAGGCUCCAUGCUUUUAUUCAAUUUUUUUUCUCACCUAAUGUGCUAUUGUCUGCGUACACAUAAUUUUGAUGGAAAGUAUGUAUGUAUGUGUAUCCAAUAACUGUAUGAAACUAAGACUGAGUUUUUGCAGAGCUAGACAGGCUAUUAGAGAAUGCACCCUCAAUGAUAAUAAUGCAACAUUCAGCAAGGAUUUCCAGUAUCCGCAAGAGGAUUUCAGCAAUGAACAUGCUACUCAAGUCCAUACAGCGACGCAUAGAUAACAUUGAUAGAAUUAUUUCUACUGGUAUGUCAAGUGGUUCUGUCUAUCAUUACUCUCUGUCUGUGGGUCAGCAGAGUGAAUCAUUAUGGACACAUUGCUUUGUGUUUGCAGAUCAUUCAUCUCCUGUACAGAAAGCCGGUAAUGAACUUGGAUCAAGGUGCCCUCCUUUUUUUUCCUACCACUUUUCAUCGUUUAUCUUUGGGUGGUCAUGAUAAAUGUGAACAAGCAACGUUAAGAGUUAUGGCUUUCAAUAUCUCGAAGCUAGUGCUGAAGAUGAAGUCUUAGUAAAUUUCUGAACAAUAGAUGCAAUUCUGUAUAACUGGAGAGGUGGGCUUUUCUUGCUUUUCAGUGUCGUGGUAUGAAAUAUUUAUACAAUAAACAACACAAUAAGUAAAUCUCUGGUUCCCCCAGCCCAAUUUGCUACUUUAUUUAUCUAGUCCUUAUUAGUUGCAUCCUUACACAGUUCCUCUUAAUUACAGGUUUUAGAAUAAUUCUGGUGGUGUCCCAUCAAUUGCAACCAUUUCUGUUUUGGUAGAGUUACCAUCAAGCAAUCACACGGGGCUGUCCAUAGAAGUGAGACGUCAUAAUUUCAAUUUUUCCCAGAGAUGUAUGAUCAAAAUAUUCCAAUCCUUUUUGUCACAUUUUGGAGUGGGAAAAGCCUUUUGUACUGGAUGGUCAAUUUCUUUUCCUGCGUUCUUUUUGUUGCAGACAAUGAAGCGUGUUUUCAGCUUCGGCGUUCACCCUUGUAUUCAAAUAUGAAAUUAUAUUCAGAAAUCAUAUUAUCAUAUUGACACUGUUGAGUGGUUUUGAUAUAUAGUACUUGUUUAAGAUGGCAACAUCUGGAAUUCACAUUGUUAUACUUUAUCAGAAAUGUUGGUAGAUGCUAGUGUGCCAUGGAUAUAAUUCGUUUGAAGGCCUUCUGGCCAGGUUUGUCACCAAAUUCCAAACCAAAUGUCAACGUUCAUAUGCAGGUAUCGGUCUACUCGAUGGAUUCGAUCAACACACUUGCAUAAACAACUUGGCAACUUUCAUUGCUCGUGCAGGAGACUCAGUCAUGUUCUGCCGACCGCUGGCAAUGCAAAUUGCCAGGUAUGUGCAGUAAGGCUGGCGUGCAGCAAAGCAAUAGAAACAAACAUAUUUCAGAAGAAAAAGCUGGCAUGCAGCAAAGCAAUAGAAACAACAACAUAUUUCAGAAGAAAAAACAUAGGUGUUAUUCCGACUGUUUCAAUGUGCCGAAAACAGGCAGGAAUUUGCUGCGUACAACUAUGACCUUUUUUUUUCGAGAACAUGCGUACAACUAUGACCUGGAACAACAAUGACCAAUUGUCGUGGGUGGUCUUCAUUGAAGAAAUGUUUCAUUUUCAGAAUCAGAAUAAAUAAAGGUACAGUGACAGCCAUGAAUCUACAAGUUACCCCAGGACACCAAGACUACAACAAAAUAAACUAAGCAAUGAACAUGGUAUGAACCUCAAAUGGAGGUUCUCCUUCAAACCUGUACAUGUGUUGACUAUCUAGGAUCUUUUCUCCGCUAAUCUUACAACAUCACUGACAAUAACCUUACUGCUGAAAUGAACACCACAGUUUGCAAUAGUAUUGUCAUAGGCGCAUGUAACCUUCUUUGUGACCUUUGAAGAGUUUCAGAUGCCUCUUGUUCUGAGAAUUGCUCCGGGUCAGUUCACGGCGUGUUCUCCAUGACGUCACAUGAGAAUAUAAUGAAGGAAAUAAGAAACAUAGCAACAGAAGUAAUAAGAUCACAACACAUAUUAGCAUGACAUUCAUGAAGCCAUCCCGGUUUUUAGGGUUCUUGUUCUGCUCGGUCCAUGGCACGCCACCAACAUUCAUCCCGAAAACUGACAAAUUUUGCAACAUAAAUCAGGUAAAUAAGAACCCUGAAAAAGAACAGAAAUUAAUUCAGGAAAGUACACGAGUGAGCACCAGGACAAUGAACUUACCUCCAGUGACAAUGGAAAGAGGAAGGAAUAUUAUGGAGAGAAAUGAAAGGUAGUACAAGCUUUUGUUUAUCUGCUCUGAUUGCCAACUAUCGAGACUAGCCUGAAGUGUGGUAACUCUAUUUGUAAUGAAUCCUAGGUUUUCUUUGAGCCUUCUGAGGCGACCUAUCAGAUCUUCAAGGGCUGCUAUAUCUCCAGUUGCGAACCAACUCUUGCUCGCACAUUUUUCUUUCACGCGGGGGAAUACUUGUUCACCGUGAGAAACAACCUACACAAACAAAAAUAGUAGCAUUGAGUCUGUGACUUCUGUUCUAUAGAUUAGGCCUUGUUUAGUUUCCUAAAAAUUUUGCAAAAUUUUUCAGAUUUCCCGUCACAUCGAAUAUUUAGACGUAUGCAUGAAGUAUUAAAUAAAAAUAAAAAUAAAAAGUAAUUACACAGUUUGGUCGGAAUUGACGAGACGAAUCUUUUGAGCCUAGUUAGUCUAUAAUUGGACAAUAUUUGUCAAAUAUAAACGAAAAUGCUACUAUUCAUAUUUUGCAAAAAUUUUUGGAAGUAAACAAGGCCUUAACUGAAUUCAUGUAACUGCACUUUUAGAACCUGAAAGCCAAAUUAUAAGCAACACAGCAUGACAACCUCAAUGUCAUAUCAGCACUCACUUCAUGCAUGUUUGCGAUUUUGACUAAAGCAGUGCAAAUUAUAAAACAUUCCAGGUUCCCAAUAUAUUUCCCAGAAACUCGAGAGAAAACUCAUACCUGAAGCAACCGCUGUAGAUCGAGAUGCAUUUUUGGGAAUCUCCUGCCAUCCAGCAAAAGUUUCCUCAGAAAGUGACCACCUGCAACAAGCACAAUCCACACAGUUCAUAAAAUAAAAAGGCUAGUCAUUGGAGAGAAAAAGGUGAAAGUUCGAAACCUUGUUUGUUGAAUCCUGGAAUGCAAUAAGCAUGGAGAGUACAUUUGCCAUAUGGUACCCCUCUAUAUUUGCACAAUGCUAAUAAACCUUUGCUGAAGCAUACAUCAUUUAACUUGGCAUAGGUCGCAUAGCAUUGUUGCAAAAUUUAUAUGGUUUGGAAGAAUGAUCAGGGUCUACUUUGGAAACUCUACUGCCAUUAUAUAGGAUCCUGAUUCAUGAAAUUACAUGAAUACAUGUAACAGAGUCAUCCUCGAAGUUACAUUCAGGACCUGCAUUCAAUUCAACCAUUCCAAAAUGUCUGGAAUUUGUCGUUCUGAUGGAAUGCAUACCAACCCCACCCUUUCAAACCUUGCAACCUUUUGUUUAUUUUAUUUAAAGAAAACCUCGUAUGCAAUCAUGAGUCAAAUCUAAUUCUAUCACAUUGAUCUGAGUUCAUGCAGCAAGAGGUCAGCAUUUUCAGCGUCACCAACCAACCAAAGAAGCGUAGGUUAGCAGCAAUCGAAUAUCUUUUAUCCAGAUGAGGAAUGAAAGGGAGCUUUACGCGAUGAUUGACCAGCAAGAAAGCAACCUCCGACCACGACCUCCGACCGCUCACCUUUGUCGAGCUGCAGCUCGAUGGCGUCGAGGUCCAUCUCGAGGCGCGUGACAAUGUCGUGGACGUGGUCUACGUGCGUGCCGAGGACGUGCACGAGGAGGUUGGACACCGUCCGCGGCACCGGGUUGUCGGUGUGCGCGCCGUCGGCGUGGUUCAUGGCCAGCAGCGACUCGAGCAGGCGCUCCUCGAUGACGACGCCGCCGUCGACGGCGCAUCCCCCGCCGUGUCCCUCGUCGGCGACGACGCCGAGCGGCACCUCGGAGAGCAGCGACGCCUGCUUGGUCCCGAACGCGAGGCGCGGGACCCCGCCGACGGACACGGUGACGACGGAGCUCUCGGUGACGCGCACGGCGAGGCGGAGCGCGCACGCGCUGCCGACGGGGCCCGGCGAGCUGACCCGGAGCAGGAGCGCGCCUCCGCUGUCCCCGGAGGAGGAGCAGCAGUGCGGGCCCGUGGCGACGAACGCGAGGAUCUCCUGCAGCGUGAGCGGCGGGCAGAGGAGCUCGAUGAGCGCCUGCGCGUGGUGGAGCGGCUUGGCCGCGGAGCGCGGGAGCUCCACGUGGUGCCACGUGAACUCCCCGGGCCUGGGACGCCGCGCCGACCCGCCGGACGCCGACGGCGCCAGGCCCAGGCCCCAGGGCGCCUCGGAGAAGCCGCCAUCGCCGUCGAACACGAACGCGUGGCGCGGCACCGCGCCCGACGGGAGCGGCUUCCCGACCGCGGGGGACGGGGACGGGGGCGGCGGGCCCCGCCUCGGACGCAGGUGGUUGGAGCCAGAGCCAGAGCCGAAGCCGGCUGCCUCCGCGCGCGGGGCGGGCUCGCCGGCGCCGGCACCGGCCGCCAUUGGCAUUAGAAUUUGCGCCCACGCCGCGCCACGUGAAGGCGUAUUAUACCACGGCAUCGCACAAGCUCCAGGGACCUCGCGGUGAAAUCGCGAAAUAUCUCUGGACCUUUCUGCAAAAACGAUCUCGGCAAGCGUUUUGCUAAGCGCUAAGCUUAACCCGGGAAGGUUAGUUUCAAAAAAACUAUAAUACUCCGUGUUAGUGCAUAGUAGUAGUAAUAAUAAUACCAUUUUUAUAUUAGUGCCAAAUACUGCUACAUGGAUAUGUUUUGCAGUAGGAUUAAUUGUAAAGAUAUAUGUUUAGUUAGGGUUGGUGUCGGUGAUUAAUAAUAAACAUUUUCUAGGAGGUGAAGGUGAUUUGAUUGAUCUGGGGGAAGAGGAUGAGGAGGGUGGGUGAUCUUUGCAUGGGUUUGACUAAAUUUGGGAAUCUCUCUGGUUGUGUGCUUGGAGGCUGGAGGUGCAUCACAUGUGCACUGCAGCUGCAAUUGUUAUUAAUUAAUUCAUUAGUAUUAGCCAAACUAGAGUUUUUUUUUUGUUUCAAUGAAAGAUGGUUAUUAUUACUCCAUUUUGGCCUUGUUCAGAUGCAUGUGAGCCCAGUCAGCUUUUCAUGAGAUAAAAAAUGAAAGAAAAUCAGAGAAAACUCUUAGCAAAGGUUUGGAACGUGCCUAUUCAUUUGGCUGAAAGUACUAUUUGCUGAUUUAUUGUGAGAAAAAAUAUUGCUGAACGACUGACAGAUUCGGCAAAUAAGCUCAAGCGAACAGGCUUAGUCCAUUGGUUUGAAUGCAUACGAGUUUUAUUUAUAGAGGCUCUAAGGGUUUGGUUUGCAUGAAAUACUAGCCAGGUCACUCUUCUUUGAGAGAAAAAAAAUACAAAACUAAUCCAACCUUUGUUUUUCCAUGGAAUAUAGUUAACUAACGGUACUACUAGUAGUGUCUUAGUAUUUGUUUUCAAGGAAAAAAAAUGAAUUACUGGGGUCCAGCCAAUGCAGUCGUCGCUUGUGAUCGAGGCUCAGCCCAUUCCUAAAACGGGCCGUGGUCUCGUAGACGAGAAUAGAGCUACCACAGCCCAGCCCAGCCCACCGUGGAAAUGGGCUCCCCUCAUCCUCGCUUUGCGUCACGCGACGUGAACCCCCCGGCGGGCGCCGGCGGCUCCUCGCCGACGUCGUCAUCAGUAACGGAAAAGAGCCCACCCGCCACUCGAACGGGCCGGCGAGGCGGCGGCGCCGGCACGUGACGAGUGACAAGGACAAGCUGAUGAAUCCAUCCCGACCGACCAUGCGCGCAUGGUCCUACAUCCUCCGAGCCGCCCGGGGGUGGUGGUGCGGGCAGCCGCGCGCACCACGAAGCACGAUCUGCGGUCCUCAGGCGCGGGCGCGCGGCGGCGUUAAUGGUCGAGCUUCAUGGCGGGGCCGAGGCCGCGCCGCCGCGGGCCAGCACGGUCCCAUUCCCAUGCGUAUGGCGUUCCAAGCUCCAUGGGGACGACGGCGCGCGCGCCAUGGCGAGGAACAUCCAUGCACUGCACGGCCUUCGAUCGGUGUAGUCCCGUCUCGGUCUCGGCCGCGCCGCCACCGCAGCGCCUCCUUGAUUCCGUGCAGUGCAUAGCAAAGCUCAUUCAGGUGCCGGCUUGGUAGGUGACGCUGACGCAGAAGCAGAAGCAGAAGCAGUCAGUCAGGCCAUCGUCGCCCAGUCCGCGGAGGUGAAUUCAGGUGAGCUUGCCUUUGCCUGCGCCCCCCCCUUAAUUGUUCUCAACCUAUCUAGUACUCGCUAACAAUGGGCGAAAUGGAUUUCGCAUGAACUGAAAACUGUGCUGGGAAUUCGGUCAUGACAUCUUCCUGUUAUCUGAACUUUCAAUCUGGUUACUGCUUACAUCCCCAUCCCUACAAAAUGGAUUUCGCAUGAACUGAAAACUGUGCUGCACAAAGGCACAAACAGCGAAAGAGGCCUGCUUUUUUCUUUUUGUUCGUUUGCCUUCUGGAUAAUCACAUCCAAAUCAGCACUUCAAUCAGUUCAGCACUGUGAAAAAAGUAAAACUGAAAACGACCGACGCAGUUUCUGCAAAGAAAAAACUCUCUAGAGAGUUUCGGCUGCAGAAUCUUCAGCUGGUCAAAUCUUAUCAUGAGGAACGCUCGAAUUAGGAGUGCCACUUUUCUGUGCCCAGUAAAAAGAAGCAGGCAGGCAUACACCCUGUGGCUGGCUAUCACUAUCCUUUCUCCACAAACACAAAGUAGCUGUCUCCAUUUUUCAACCGGAGAAUCCGAAUUUGCAAAGCGCUAGAGUGCAGAGUCGACUCAGCGUGUCUAACAUUGGUAGGGCAAGAAUAAAAAUUCCAGGACACGAUGCUUGCUUCGCUCCUUUCCAUUCCUUUUCGGCUCUCAAAGUACACAGCAGGCUAGCGCACGCACACGGCUGGCUAGCGUAUUUACAUUUUUCAGAUCUUUUGCUGCUCAACAGUUACUUGUUUACUUAUAUAUAUAUGACAUCAAGCUUCAAAACACACUUGAUUUUACAUUAGCUGCUGUUGUUGUUGUUGUUGACGAUGAUAGUAGUUAUACAUGUCCACGAAGGGUUUAGUCUAUAGGCAACCCCUGGGACGAUUUCCGGAAGGAGUUCUUGGUCAUCUUUUCCAUGAGGUGACACCAACGGCGACAUUGCUCACCUGGAACAGAUCAGAAGAAACAAAACAGUCAAGUCUGAUUGAUUGUUCAUAGUUCACUUGGUGACUUUGACAACGAGGGAAAACCAACGAACUAUGGUCAUAGUGUUUGAGAUAAGCUCACCAGUUUGCCCUUUUCAUCCAGUGUCUUAGGAUUCUCCACCAGAACCGUCUGGGGCCGAGCAUCCUGCAAGGAGCAUGAAAGUUGAGCGAAUAAAGCCUGUUUCAUUAUCGACGAACAUUUGACAUCAGUCUGAAUUUAGACGGUUUGCUUCAACCCGAUGGACCAGUGCUUUCAUCGCAGCACUAGAUGGUCCAAGGAUUUCAAGCGAAAAAUCUCUCGGUGGGACGCGUGCGGAAUGUGCUAAUCAUUGGUACUUGCCUACUUGAGGAACUGAUUCCCAUGCAAACCAUGGAGCAACCUGAACCUACCAAAGUUGUGAUUUUUAUGAAGGACAACCCCACAAUUGAUGCAACAAAAGGGUGGUUGUGCUGUGGUCAUCAACUGCUUAAUGGUCCCAUCCCAUAGGGCCAUAGAAUUACUUUGGACACCAAUAGUACUACCUCCUAAUAACUUUUGGUGUUCUAUAUAUGUGUGGAACUGUACUGACUGUGGAGACUAGGCAAAAAAAAAAGAAAGACUAACCGAUGGCGCUGGCCGUGCAGAGCCACCGGUGUGGUUGUUCUGUAGGAAGUAGUUUGUAAACGGAAUAUGAGUUGCGAUUGAUGACAUAUGCAACGACGAAGAGAAGACAAAUUCAGUUGUGCAGUACACAUACCCUGACUGGAUUAAUGUUGCGGCAUGUUGGGCACCCGACUGUCGUCGCUCCCGGUGGGUAUGCCAGAGUUGUCCGGCAUUGCCCGCAUGACAGGUGACCCAUUUGGUUUCCUGCUUCAGUUUAGGAUCAGGAAACUUGUGUCAGCUGGAGGAAGAAACUUGCAUGAGAAUGCAGUUGUAGCCUGUUUGUUGCAGGCAGACUAAAGGGAAUUGGACAUGAGGUUUCACCUGAUCUUGUGGAGUUGAGCCUACUACAGUGAGGGCAGCGUAUGUUGGUGGCGCUGCGGGAGUGCACCAGCAUGGUGAAGCAGCCGCCACAGACGAGUUCAGACAUCUCCGGUCCUAGAGGAAACAAAAGCAGAGUUUUUCGCUGAGAAAACUGGACUGAACAGGCAAUUGUAUCUUUGCUUCUUUAGACUGUAGCAUCAUCACGAUCGGACAAGGGAAAAAAGGCUUUGUGCUUUAUGCUGAUAUGUGUAUAGUAUACCUGAUGGGUUGGCGGCUGUGAAAGUGUUGCAGGUUGGGCAGCAGACGCCGGUGGCUCCCCUGCGGUACUGGAGAAGACGCUUGCAGCCGCCGCAGACCAACUGGCUAUGCAUGCCUGCAGUUGGAAAUUAUAUUGGUGCGGUUAGAAUUCCAAAUCCCAGUUCAGGUGCAAGAAGAUGCAACACUUUGAUCUGACAAUGGUAAAACAGGCUACCCUUUCUCUCUGAACUUCAAGAAAAAAAAGAAAAGAAAAGGAGGAUGAACUACACAGCAUGUAUAUUUUCUACUGCAUUUGCGACCGUGUUUUGCUAUAUGUAUUUGAAGAAAAGGAAAGGAUGGUGGCAUGAACGUGGACUGGUCACAUUUUGCGGCGGGCAAAAUUCGACAUGCACACAAGGCAGGUGCGCUAGCUGUGUGCUGUGCAUGGAUGGAUCAACCUUGCCUGAGAUCUAUAUAUGAACUUGUUCUGUAUGCAGGUUGUUGAAGGUGAGGAGGAAUUGUAAAGCACGGUACGCACGCAAUGCAUAACCUGUUUGCUAGCUAUAGGCAGGUGAGAAACUCAGAGCUGCUGCUUGCUAAACCCAAGCAUGCAAGGUAGGUAUACAUAUCAUAGACCAAGAAUGGAAGAUGUAUUACCAAGGCAAGAACACCGGCCGAGCUAGAAUGGACGGCGCCUUUGAACUGCAGCUAAUUAAUGAAGCUAGCUCUGAAGGUGUGCAGCAAGCUAGCAAAGGAGAGAGGGGGAGAUGAUAACGAUGAUGGAGAGAGGGGUUUGGGUUGUGGAGCUCCACGGUGGCAGGAGACGGGGGGCAGGGAUCAUAUUUAAGGGCGGGCGGGAGCGCGGGGGAUGGCCGGCCGGCCGGCCAGCCGAGGUGGAUUCUCUCAUCUCUGGGGCAGGGGGAAUGGGAUGGGGGGAUAGAUUAUUAUUCUCGCUGGCCUGGCCUGGCCCUGGCCAUGGAGGAAUCCCGGAAAGAAACCGACGUCGGCGCCGGGGGAGAUGAUGCUGAGUGGAUGGAUGGGCGAUGCGUGUGCGUGUGCCUGCCUGGGAUGGAUGGAUGCCUUUCGGAUAUGGCCGAAUUCCCCUGCCCCCGCCAUCUCUCAGCUGCCUAGCUAGCUAGCUCUCUUCCCCGACCUCUCCUCCUCCUCCUUGCAUAGUUCCAUCGAAUCUCCACCCCCCGUUGGCGCCAAUAAUUCCUUCCGCUUGCUCCAUGGGGCGGCUUCCCUCAAGAACAAUAACCUGCUGGAAUUGUUAAUCCUCGCUAGAAUAGAUCGGAGGGGGCGGAUUCGGUUCUGACUUGUCAAGCCGGCCGCGACAAGUGUGUGCUAGGCUAGCUUUACACCUCGGUUUGGAAUUGCGGUUUGAAUUCCGCCUAGGGCCUAGCUUUAGCUUGGCGCGCCUUCCAACUAGAGCUUCAGAGCUAGAGGAGCAAACCUUUCCGUUGGAACUGUAGCUUGGAGGCCGUACGGACACCCACUUUGUAGGCCUUGUUUAGUUCACCCUAAAAUUCAAAAACUUUUCAAAAUUCUACGUCACAUCAAAUUUUAUGAUACAUGGAGCACUAAAUAUAGACGAAAACUGUAAUUUACGAGACAAAUCUUUUGAGUCUAAUUAGGCCUUGUUUAGUUGGCAAAAAAUUGAGUUUUUGGCUACUGUAGCACUUUCGUUUUGUCCAAUCAUAGAGUAACUAGGCUCAAAAGAUUCAUCUCACAAAUUACAUGUAAACUAUGCAAUUAGUUUUUAUUUUUGUCUAUAUUUAAAGCUCCAUGCAUGCGACCAAAGAUUCGAUGUGACGGAGAAUUUUGAAAAUUUUUGCAAACUAAACAAGGCCUUAGCCUAUAGUUGGACAAUAAUUGUCAAAUAAAAACAAAAGUAUUACAGUGUUAAAAUUUAAAAACUUUUCGCAACUAAACAAGGCUUUAUUCUGCCCCCUCACUCCAUCCACGAAAAACUUUCGGUGGAUUGUACUUUGAACUAUCUUUUUCUUUUUAAUGAAAUACAUGCCACGUAUGUUCUCUAAAAAAAACUCCAUUGACAAAAAAAAUGUAAUUACGGAACCACAUCUAAUAGUCCCUCACUCCAUCCACAGAAGAAUGUAACUACGGAACUGCGCUAGUCAAACUAGUUCAUGUCUUACCAAGUUUAAAGUAAAUAAAUUUAACAUUUGUGGCUUUAAAUAUAUUUAUCAUAAUUAUAUAUUCUAUAACUAAUCAAAUGGUACUUAUUUUGUAUACUUUAGUUAAAAUUUAAAUUGUUUGAUUUAUCGAAAAAAUGAAAAUUGCAAAUUUUUGUGGACUGGGGAGUACUACCCCCACGUUCCUCUCACUAGAUAAUGUUUAAGUACUCCGUGCCAUAAAAAACACUUGUUAGGUUAAGUCCCUGUUUAGAACAUGGGGAUUUUUUUUUCUGUAUUCCUACAUUUUUCUACAAAAUCGAACUGAUUUUUUUUUGUGAAAUUCAUGUAUGAUUCUUAGAAAAUUCAUGUAUAUUCCAAACAGAUUUUAAACUUUGUAUGGUCUUCGAUGUGCAUUUGUAUUUAUUGAUUUUUUCCUAUAAUAUGUAAUCUUGAAAUCAUUUUCCUUUUGGACUAUAUAUAAUACUGCUAUUUUCUUCUGAAUUGAGGCUGUUUGGAUAAGUCCAUUUCCUAUAUCACUAUAUGUAAAUUGAGUGGACUAGAAGAAAAUUUUCAUUUGCCUCUUCAAUCCACUUGUAUUGAUCUGCAUCUAUUAGUAAUUUAGUAUUGAUAAAUCCCAUGGCUAUUUCGUUUCAAAAAAAUCCCAUGGCCAUCGAAAAUAAGUUCCCGAAUUCUCCCUUUGAUAUCAUCUACUCCCUUCGUCCUACAAAUAAACGUAUUUAUUUGACUUCUAUGAUUCAUGUUUGACCGUUUGUCUUAUUCAAAAAUUUUUAGUAAAUAUUAUUUAUUUUUUAUGACUUAUUUUAUUGUUAGAUAUAUUUUUAUAAUGAUUUAUUUAUUUUAUUAUUUGCACAAAAAAUUUAAAUAAGACAAAUGGUCAAACAUGAAUCGUAAUAGUCAAAGAAAUGUAUUUAUUUGUGUGGCGGAAUGAGUUUGUUGCGCUGUCCUUCAUGCAGAAGUGAAGGAAAGUGAAGGAAAGGAUCCUACAUUGGAUGAAGCACUUCAAGCCUGCCGUGCUGGUGUCUACAGACAUUCAAGAAAUUUAGUUCUUGUUCUAGGCUGUUUAGUGCUUCUUUUGAUUUUAUGACAAACUGGUAUUCCCAGUAUGGUAUCUGACAUUUGCUUUCUUAAAUGCUGAGGUAAAACUCUUUAUAAAAAGUAUUGAUAAAUCCUAGGAAUAAUCAAAUCCCAGAAAUAAUCAAAGAAUAAUAAGGAUUUAGGGGGUAUUUGGUUUACUCCUCGUCUCCUAAAUCUAGUCUCAUCUAGUCACUUUUACUCGAACACUAUGACUAAAUGGGACUAAAAAGUGUAUUACCUAACUACUCACCCAAGUGUUGCUAAAUAGGACUAAAGCCCACCUUUUAGCCAAGCUGUGAAUCCAAACACCCUGACUAAAAGGUCUCUUUUAGUCUCUUUCCGUCCACCAAACUAAGGGGGUAUUUGGUUAUAUAACUAAAGUUUAAUAGGUGUCAUAUCAGAUGUUACAUAUGGUGGUCUAUAGGAUAUUUGGAUACUAAUAGAAAAAUAAAUUACAGAUUCCAUCUGCAAGACGAAUUUAGUAAGCCUAAUUAAUUUAUCAUUAGCACAUGUGUACUGUAGCAAUUAGUGUCUAAUUAUGGAGGCUUUAAAAAAUAGUCUCGCAAAUUAGUCUCUAGCUAUAUUUUUAGUCUCGUAAAUUAUUUAUAUUUAAUACUUCAUGUAUGUGUCCAAAUAUCUAAUGUGAUAUGGACUAAAGUUUAGCAACAGUAACCAAACGAGGUCUAAACAUGGGCAUGACUAAACUUUAGGAGCUGGUUUGGGUGACUAAACUUGAAGUGGUGUGAACCAAACACGUUCUUACUCAUGAGCUCGCAGAGGAACUUAUUGGGCGCCUAAGUGCAUGUCGUGAGGGUCAGCAUGGGUCUUUGCCUUUCACUCUCAUUGUAUAGACUAGACUUGUUUUCUUCUUAUGAAUGACAGAACUGUACUCCCACUCUCAUUUCCUAGAAUACAUAUAGAUCAAACAAACCCUGUAGUUACACCAUGGCUUAAUUACUUUUUGGUGCCAAUGCCAUCCAAAGCAUUUUGUCGUCGUCACCAUAUCGCGCUGCUCGUUCUCCGACAAGAACUAGAUGAGCUAUCUACGAUGAGCAUCUACAAGUCUACAUAUCAUCAAGAUGGGCUAUGGUUGCACGACUUUUAGUUCCCCUUAGAUAUUUUGGCAUUGCCCAUGCGUGCAUGCAUAGUAGUAGGCGAUGCACGCUACCACCAAUCUUAGGUUGCAGCAAAGGGCCAAAAUACUCUCUCCAUUUUAUAGGCUUCACUUUAAGCAUAUACAUUUUAAAAGAUCCGUGCUCGAGCAAGUUGAUACGAACGGCCCCGAUCUUUUACCAACGACGAUUUGAUGAAAACUAGACACUAAUCCGGCUUUAGAUAUAUGAAAAUAUCUAAAACCUUGUAACCUUAGCGCAACAUAUCCUCUAGUUAUCAACCAUCUAACUAACUACCCGGUUGACCUCAUUGAGAAGGUUAAUCCCUUCCUCGAAGAAUACAAGUGAAAAAUCUCGAAGAACACAAUCUAAAUCAAAGUGACAACUACCGAUGUAUGAUUAAGCACUCGAAAUUAAGGUCUCAUAAAUUGAUAACUGACAACUACUCAAAGACAAAUUAAUCUAAAUCAAAACUCAAAAUCUAACAUAAUCUAACAAAUGACCAAGUAUACCUAUUUGUGUCUCAGAGUCCUAACAUAUUACAAGCUCAAUGGUCCAAAAGAUGAUGGCAUAUUACCCUGACAGAUUCUGAAUGAUAACUUUUUAACAAUUUCCAUUGAUUUCAAAUGGAUUUUAAAGUAUGACCAAUGCCAUUGAAAAUAUUAUCUCUUUAGCUUUCCAUGCAUAGACAGAACAUCCAAAACGGAGUCCAUAUGUGACCUAGACAUCCGUUUUGGCAUGGACUGCUCCUAGAAUCUAAGAUAGACUCAAACAUAUGUAUUAGGCCUUCAACUUGUCUUGGACGUACAUUGGCCUUCUAAGGUGGUGUCCAAGGAGAAUGAUGUCCUUGGACAUCCUUGAAGGGUUAUCCACAUAGUUAGGGUGUGCUCCCACUUCUUCUAGGCUCCCAAGGGCGAUUAACAGGCCCACAACGGCAUCAUAGUACUCGACAUAAUUAGUGGAAAUAUUUCUUGAUUAUUUGGAGACCUUGUCAUGUGAUAUUGAGGUCAGAUCAGGUUUAUUUGAAGGUUUUCAAAUAAGUUUUUCAUCAAGUACUCAUGGACUGAUGGACCUUAAUCGCACUCCAAUGGAAGAUUUAUGGCCUUCAUAGUAGAGUAUUGUGAGUCUGUUGAUAAACCAAAUGUUUAGCUUCGAUGGCCUCGCACUCCGAGGUCGGUCUAAUUUUGCAUGGUGUAUCCACACCCCCAUCUGUUGUAGAGAACAUAGAAAGAGUCUUCCCCAUGUUUGCAUCGUCAUUAUCAUCACUCUUACUUAUAUCAUUGUGCAAACAUACGCACGAGCUCACUUGUUUUUAACUUUCAUGGGCACGUUUGUAGGUGUCUUGUCCUAAGAAAAAUAAUAAAAAACAUGUAAUUAUGUAUCUUCAAAAUUUAUUUCACUAAAACAAUACCAUUGCACUACACUAGAAAGAGAUAGAAAAUCCUAUCCAACGAUUGAUAACACUAGCAUAUACAAAGAUACAAUAACUUAGUUGGUUUAAUUCCAUUAUAUUAUCAUGCCUAUAGCUAAAACAACUAGAACUUUAAUCAUAAUUUGGUAACUGUACAUCCAAAGGAACUACCAUUCAUAACCCUAACUUUAGCCAAUUUAUUAUAGCUAUCUAAAUCUAAUUUAUUAUCCAUAUAAUUUUACCCAUAACCCUAGAUCAAAGAAAUGUAAAAAAAUAAGGUUUUGAUCUACACAAUGUGUAUUUUUACUAGGUGAAGUACUAAGCCUAGUACUAUAUGAUAACUUGGACUUCCUAGCAUAUCUGAAAAAAAAACACCCAUUAAAUUGCAAAUUUCCACCCAUCAAAGCAAACACAGUUGUAACAAGAGAAGAACUUGAUCCUGUAUAGGUCUUAUCGCGCUAGAUGGCGUGGUUCAACACACUGAUCCCCAGCCCAGUCGCCCGAUAGUGCCAGCAUGGCUAACUCUCGUGUCCCAGUCGCCUAAUAGUGCCAGCUUGGUGUAAUACCUGAUUGUAAGAACAAAACUUUUUACACCCAGCCCAAUUUAGAAUAUGGCCCGUGGUGACCUAUGUGCAUAUUAUGAGAUAACUAUGGAGGGUUUAGUCCCACCUUAGUUGUUAAGAGUGGGUUAGACCAACAUAUAAGAGCAUCUCCAGCAGACUAUCUAAAUGGACUACCUAUCUCCAAUCUGAGUAGUGGAGUCCUAAAAAUCCACUUCAGCAGACUACCUAUCCACCCAAUAGAUUUGUUGGCUACCCAAAUCUGAGUAGCUAGUUUUAGAAGUAUUGCUGGAGUUGAGAGCAAAAUCUAGAUAGUAUUAAAAUAGGUGGCUACCCAAAUAGACAUUUAGGUAGUUUGAUUUAGGUAGCACUGCUGGAGAUGCUCUAAGGCUUUUAGAGUCCAUCCCAUCAUCUUCGGGUUAAUCCUUUUACGCGAAGUGAGGGCCAAAGCAUAAGUGGGAUGAUAGUAAGUAAGUGGGAUGACGGUAAGUGUGGUUCGCUCAGUGUUUAGAGUAGUCCUGUUAUGCUAGACACUAAAAGGGUUAGAUUAAAAAUAUUUUUUUAGUCAGAUCAUUAAUAAAAUAAUAAUCAUUAAUAUUUUUUUAAAGAAAAAGAUCCUCCAACACAAGUGGUUGUCGAAGAUGUCUGUUCUUGGAAUGUUGGUGAUUAAUUCAGUCGAUACUAAUUAUCUGCCCCACCCAUAUGAAUAUGACGUGGCAAAGCAUAUGAAACCACUUGAGAGUAAGAAAAGAUCUUACUAAUAAUGAGCUCAAAGGUGGUUGCAUCUCUAGUACUGUAGCGAAUAGCAGUAGUUAGUUACAGAUUCUCCAUUUAGAGGCGUCGCCCUCGAUGCCAUGCACCUUUCCUAGUCAGACGACCAUUGCAGCUGCCAUGUGGCAGUGUGAUCCUUCAUACAGUUAUGCCACGUCGGCUUUGUUCUCUGGCGUCAAAUCAUUAGCAAAUGUCAAAGGGAAUACCUGUACAGGAGUCCAACGCGUGGAUGGCUACCAUUGCGUGCCCCUUUUAUGGGAAUCCCCGCGGGCGGCUCGUCAAUAAUCGUGCGAGCUCUCCUGGCAUUGCAAGUUUAGUUUACCCCAAAAUUUAAUUUUUUUGUUAAAGAUUCUCCUUCACAUCGAAUCUUACAACACAUGUAUGAAACAUUAAAUGUAGAUAAAAAAAAUAAUUAAUUAUACAGUUUGUCUGUAAAUCGUGAGACGAAUCUUUUGAGUCAAGUUAGUCUAUGAUUAAACACUAAUUACCAAAUAUAAACAAAAUGCUAUAGUAGCGAAAUCUAAAAAGUUUUUAGAUAUAAACAAGGCCUAAUAAAAUUAAAAAACUAUAAUUAAAAAUGACUAAUAAUGUUGAUUAAAAUAGUACUUCCUCUCCGUGGAUAAAUCAAUUCCUAGUAUUGUCUUAAAUCAAACUUUUCAUGUUUAACCAUGCUUAUAAAAAAUACAAUAAUAUUUAUGAUAUCAAAUGAACAAAUUCUAAAAUAUAUUUCGUAGCAUAUCAAAUGGUUAACUUAGUAUCAUAAAUUCUGGUGCUAUUUUUAUAAAAUCGGUUAAAUAUUAAAAGAUUUUACUUAAGAUAACUCAAAUUGAUUUAUCUAAGAACGAGGAGAGUAGUUUUUGUAAGGAAACUGAACCCUUUCUUUUAUCCUGAGCGGAUAAAUUAUAUUCUUCUUUGGCUAUAAUGCCCCCACUGAUUUUGAUUUUUUUUUUGUAUCCAUGGAAAGAUGCCACUGCAAAGUUAGUUUUGCGACAUUUGGAAAAUGAUGUAUAUCAGAUUCACUCGUGUGGGUCAUGGAAUCAUAUGUCAAGCUCACUCAACUUGCAUAUAUUAUCCUGGGUGCAUCAUUUUUUGCCACUGUGUUGUAUCUAUUUCUCAAAAUCCGUAUAAUUUGUCGCCACUCAGACUCAUUAAGAGAAUCUUUACCCAAUUUGGAUUAGAUUUUCCAUAUUAACAAAAGGUACAACUAAAUCAUGUUUGCCUUUUUUCACAAUAAAAAAAAUGUUAGGAGAAAAUCUCAUCCUCAUGUCUAGUUAUUAGAUCAUACAUGUAUAUGAGGCCUUCCCAAUUUUUUUGAGGCCUUCCCAAAUUAUUUUUAACCUCUUGUUCAAAUUUGGGGGUAUUUAAACUUUUUUUAGUAUAUUUCAUUAGUUUUUUUUGUUUCAUUGAUUUUUUUUGCAAACUUCAAAUUUGAACUGUAGGUGCAUUAAAUAAUGGAAUUUCUUUACCCAAUUUGAACAUCGGAUGCUUAAAACCUAGACAUCUCCAUAUGGGGUCAUAAGUGAUCACAUGUAAAGAUGUCUAGGUUUUACACAUCCAACAUCGCAACUUGUUCUAAACCUUCCCAAUUUUUUAUCAUAGUCUCUACAUGUGAUAAAAUGACCCCCAGACAAGUUUCUUGAUUUUUGGACUUUUUAUGGAUUUUAUAUAAUUUAAAAACAUUUUUUCCGCAAGUUGUUUCUAAUGUUACAGCAGGAAGAUGUUUCACAUUUCAUUGAGCUUGUGGAUAUGGUCUUAAAAUACACCAAAUAUCGUGAAUAUCAUUUUUUGAAUAAAGAAAUUUCAUUAUUUAAUGCACCUGCAGUUCAAAUUUGAAGUUUGCAAAAAAAUCAAUGAAACGAAAAAAACAAAUGAAAUAUACUUAAAGAAGUUUAAAUAUCCCCAAAUUUGAACAAGAAGUUUGAAAUAAUGUGGGAAGGCAUCAGAAAAAAAUUAGGAAAAAAAACUAAAAAAAAUCUUCCACGAGUGCCUUUGAGUGCCUUUCUUAGCUCUACAACACUCGGGGAAGCCAACAUUUUCCCCGAGUGUCAUGCAUUAGCACUUGGGAAAAGGCGCCUUCUCCGAGAGUUUUUUUGGCACUCAGGGAAGAUUUUUUUUUUAUUUUAAGCUCCGACGGCGUCGUUUGUUUGGGACGUCAAGAAACACUUUUCUUCCCCGAGUGCGGCUCUUCCCCGAGUGUUGCGCUCAGGGAAGAGGACUUUUUACGAGUGUCAUUCUUCCCUGAGUGCCAGGUAGGCUACGACACUCGGGGAAGCCUCUCUUCCUCGAGUGCAAUUCUUCUCCGAAUACAACACUCGGGGAAGAUUGGCUCCGAGUGCUCGAUUUUUAGCACUCGAAAAAGCUUGUGACACUCGAGAAAUUUCGAUUCUCCCGUAGUGUAUAUAUGGGCCACCUCAUGCACCGGUUCAUCGAGGAGAGAGACAAAAAUGUUGUCAGAAAGGAUGAGUCGACUCAAAGAGCACAAAUCCAUGGUGAGCCCCAUAUAGAAAUAAAAAACAUAUAUCUCUCUUCGUAGCCUGGCCUGAUGGUGUUCGUUUGGGCUUAUCAGUCGAAUCUGCUAGCCAUUCAACAGUGUUUUUCUCUCACAAUAAAUCAGUCAACAGUACUUUCUGCCUCCGCCUGGCUGAGAGGAAGGUUCAUUCUUCCCUCCUCCAAAACCUUUGUUUAUUCAUCAUGAAUCGACUCAUGAUCUUGCAUCGGUUCAAUUUCUCUCCUUCAUGAGUCGCCUCGUAUAGUGAUUAAGUUGAUUCAUCGGAACACCAUAUUGGACGAUGAAUGGGUUUCAAAAAAGCCACUGGAAAAAGGCCUAUUUCUUCUGUUACCUCCUAGAAGAUAAUUAUAUAUGAUAAUUGUUAUUUAGUUCAGUUCAAUGGUUCAUAAUUAUUUCGAAGGUAAUUAUUUCGAAGUACCAUACCUGUUUGACUUAGUAUAAAACUAAAUUGAGCUACAUUUUGGAGCCUAUAGAGCAAAAAACAUGCAAAUGCUUAUGUACGUACGCCCUCCACAUACAUGCUCUCCAUUACUCCUUCCGGUGACAAAAAAGUGAUAUUUGACUUUUGAGGUUGAUCUUCGAAGCUUUGACUACAAAAUACUACUUUUUACGUGUUGAGUUCAAAUGCUUGGAGUGGUAUGAGUAGAUUUGUGUUAUUCUCUCUGUACAAAAGGAUUUAAUAUGAGAUUUGUACCGGUUAAAUUAGUUUAAGCUUGUAAUAAAUAGCAUUCAUAACAUUCAUGCAUCCAAUGAAGUUUACUAUAAAAAUAUAUUCUAUAACUAAUUUUGAUACUUACUUUGUAUUAUGAAUGUUAAUACUUUCUUAUAUAAUUCAAAGUUCAAAUUGUUUAACUCAUCAAAAAGUGAAAAUUGCAACUUUUUGUGGACAAAGGGAGUAAAAAAGAGCUUCAUAAAAGUAUAUGAUUUAUUUGUUAGUUAUAGGUACAAACAAUAGCAAAAUCCAAUGUAUAGAAUAUAUCUUCUCAGAAUAUAUAAUCCAAAUACAUACACGUACACCAUCGUCAUUUGAGUAUGUUUGGUACAUGCCACAUUUGUCACGCCAAAUCUUCUACAAAUGUGGUUGCCAUAAAAAGUUUGGUGAGAAAAAUUAAAGCCACACUUAUGACAAAGAUUGGCAAUAAAAUGAGUCUAUGACGUGUGGCUUAGUGUGCUAAGAAAGUACGCGGCAUGUCAUAGUUGUGGCAGCGAACCAAACAAGGGUUAGAAAAAUUAUGACAUGACUAACGACGUGUGUCAUGGCAUGUUAUGGUCACGAACCAAACAGGCAUAUUGACUGGAGAGUAUAUUAUAUUGAUGCUAUAUGCAUAUCCUUGUGUGUAAAGUUGCAUGGAUGCAUGUCUGGAGGAUAAGCUAGCCGUCGACGUGUCUUUAUUGGAAGCUGGAACACCACGUAGCAAUUCUUAUCGCCAAUGUUAUCCUCCUCUCCGGCUUGUAGUAGCCCAGUCUUUCGACAAUUAUUCUCUCUACUAUCACGCUGUCCCUACAUUCAUGCACACGGCCAUAUAUUAUCAGCAAGCUAUAACUACCUAGAGUUCCGAUACUUCAUCUUAUCACGCGCCAUGCAUGAACCUAACUAGCAUAGGUAGGGUGAUUUGUACGAGACAAAUGGAACGUUCGAUGAAUUCAUGUACCAAAAUAUUAGUCCCUUUUGAUCCAUAGAGCUAACAAGUAAUAACUGCUAACGAUUAGUGCUGGAACUCUGGAUCCAAACGAAUACUAUGGCCCCGUUUGGCGCGGCUUCUCCAGCGGCUUCAAGAGCCGUUUGGAGCCGUUUUGUGCCAAACGGGGUAAAAUAGAAUGGCUCCACCAAUGAAGCCCCCUAAAAACAUGUUCUCACAGAGCUCUGGGGUGUGAAGGAGCCAAAAAUAGUGGCUUCUUCCGGCUUCACCUCAUCCUACAUGGCGUUAUGUGAGAGCAUAUUUUAAGGAAAGAGUUGUUUUGCCAAACGAUUUAUCAAAAUAGCUUAAACUCCACCGAUAGAGCCAUUCAUGGAGCUGAAGCCCCAAAAAACAGCUUCACUAAUGAAGUGGAGAAGGGCCUAUAGAUAACUAACAGGGUCGCUAGUUGUAAGUAGGGCACCUAUACUUCAUUCUUCCAACGAGUACAUACAUUAUUGAGGAUGGCCCUACGAGAAAAGCAAAUACGACCGAAUGUGGUAUAUAUAUUGAUCAUUAUAUCUCUACUUAUUUUCUUCAGAAAAGAUACUGCAUUUCAUCGAUUUCUGAAGAAUUAUUCAUGACAAAUUUUGUUAAUAAUGCUCAAUUUUUUUAUGGUGUUUCGGCCCAUGCAUACAUUAUCUACAAACUAAAAUGAGAUUAGCAAUUUAAUGCAAUCAGCUGUUCAUUCUAAUAGCCUAGGGAGAGCCAUUACUGGAACAACGCUCAUGCACCCAAGUGGAAGGAGAAAUAUGUCUAAGGUUUUGCUAGUGGAAUAUGCACUUGUGCCACAAAUUUCUUUAUGAGGCAACAGCAUAUUCUGUCUACUAGGAUAGCAUAGCAUACUAAUGCCUAAAGUAGAAAAGUGCGCACAUAGAUUGCCCAAUAAAAGAACAUAGAAUUUUAAGGGAUGCGAAUGCGAAUGAUUGAAUUUUUAAAAUUUCAUGCAUAGCACCCCCAGUUUUCGGCCUAUUGCACUUCAGAAUAGCUCCUUAGUUUGUUUUUCAAAUAAAGGAAAAAAGUUUCAGCUUGCAUCGUAUAAUGCAUACAACCACCCUCACUUAUUAUACCAUCCAAAACUUAAAACAAAAUAAAAUACAAAGUAUGUGCAACAUUCACUGCUAAAAAAACUUUUUUUAGAGAUGGCUAGAAUGAGUUUUGAGAGGCGAGUGCUUCAUCCGCCUCUAUCGUCUUUGUAUAUUUUUUACAUAGGUGGCUAUCCAGAAAUCCCUAAAAUCAAUUUUAGAGAUGGGUUGAAAUUACCAAAUCACCCUUAAAGUUUGAUUUCUAGAUGGGGACCGAAGUUGAGACAUCUCUAAAAGUUGCUCUCUGGAAUUUGAAAAUCCAGCCAAAAAUUAGCAAAAAAAGGUUUACCUCGGGAGAAGCUCACUACACAGCCCCCACGAUCACAUGUGUGGCCCAUAGGGGAUCAAAUUUAGAGAGCCUUUGACCUUGCAUUUUCCUUACCACGUACUCUAAGCUACUUGCAAUGGCGGAUCUAGAAAAAUAAGUCAGAAGGAGCUUAUCUUAUAAUAUUCCAUCCUUAGCCUCUCUUUGUAAACUUGAAUAGGUCUAAAUUAGUAGGAGGGGCUUAGGAAGGGCUUCAAGGUCCACUCUCUGCCCCGGUGCUGGAUCCGCCCUUGGCUACUUGUGACCAAGUGGCUAAUACAAUCCUUUUGUAUUUACUUUAACAAAUACUGUAAUAAAUAAAAUAUUUGACAUCCUAAACAAAUUUAAAUGAAAAAGAUUAAACUGAAAAAUUAGUGCAUCCUUUCUCCGUUUAAGUUGUUUGAAAAAAAUUAAAAGAAUUUGAAAAAUUGAAAACAUAGAAUUUUUUGGCCUUAAAUUUUUUCAAGUGAAAAAGGUCAUUAGAUACAAAAUUAUAGUCUCAUCGAGAUGUAUAACUUUGGUAUAAAGUUUAUCUUUAUUUGUCUGGAUUUUAAAAGUUAUGAAUUUUAUCGUGCUGCACAUAUUUUCAAAUGCGAGCCAAAUUGCGAACUGCCUCUAGAAAUCCAUUUCUAUAGACAUGGAUGUUGUAGAAUUUAUUGUUCUAGUAAUUGUGUAUCAUGGUAGCAAAUUAGAUGGGGGUAGCACAUCAGACACAGAUUUAUACUGGUUUAGGUAUGAAGUACCUAAGUCCAUUGUAGAUGAUGAUCUUUAUUGUUUGUGCGCCAAUUGGGCUGAGUUGCGAGUAGGGGAUCACAACAUUGUGGCCAUGGGUGGAGCUAUCUUGAGGAUGAGCUCGAUCUAUACUGGAUCUAAGUUGGGGUGAUCUUGGGGUGACCGAUCAAGGGUUCCCUGCCCCUCCUUACAUAGUCCAAGUGUAGGGUUAGAGGUAGAGUCCUAAUCAGUUGAUAUGUAUGUUUCCUAGUUUAUUACAAGAAAAUCUAAUAGUGGAGAGUUGGUUUAAUUUCUAAGUACAUUUUGGUAUGACUUGUCCAUCAAGUAGUCGAGGUAGCCUCAUCCAAUUUGUGUAACGAGUCAAAGUCUUUCCAAUUAAAACUUUUAAUAGAACCUUCUUGAUCACCUUGCACAGUCCCUCAAACUCCCAAGAACCAUCUUGUGAAUCUCUUUAAGGAUUCCUGGUAUUCUCUACAAGGACAAGGACUCCAAAUUCGCAACUCAAUCCCAUUGUGGGGGUAUAAACCCUCAUACCCUUACGGCUAGACUUGGGCCAGGAGGCUUGGUCCAUUACGAGAUGAGUUCGAGGCUUGAUCCGACUGCUCGGAGUUUCGCGCAAGGAAACAAGACGUGGAGAUCAAGCAGGAUUGUAGCCGGUUAGAAUAGGAAUUGAUAUUGAGCUAUCUAUGGCAAUUGUAACCGACUAGGAUUAGUUUCCAGAUCUGUAACCCUGCCCUCCAGACUAUAUAAGGAGGGGAAAGGGACCCCCCUUAAGACACAUUAUUCUCAAUCCAAUACAAUCAGACGCAGGACGUAGGUAUUACGCCCACACGGCGGCCGAACCUGGAUAAAAAGCUUGUCCGUGUCUUGCGUCACCAUUGAGUUCAUAGUUUGCGCACCGUCUACUGAUAAACUAUUACCGUGGUUAUACCCCAAGGUAGACUGCCGACUAGCUUUCGUCGACAGUGGCGCGCCAGGUAGGGGGUGUGCGUACAACUUUUCCAGCGAACAAGAUGGUCAUCGUUCCAGCUUCUGCAGCCGUGCCUGAAGGCCUCACAUUCACCGUCGGCCAGAUUACGUGGACAACCCGCGGCGGUGGCCCCACGGUCACGGUUUCGGAAGAAACCCAGAUCCGAUCUGGGAUGACGGCGACAUCGGCUCCGACCACGCGGACACCGGCACCGAGCACGCGACCACCGCUUCCGCGCUACAGGGGAAAGAAGAUCGAUGGCUCGGACCUUUUCCGAGCCCUUGAUCGCGUCGAUCUCAAGCUUCUCGAAGCUUCCCGACCAAUAGAUGGGAUCUCGCGCCAGCCUGACCAAGCCACGUCAACGGAUUUUUACAACUCCCACCGGCCAACUCGUGUCGUCACACACGAACAGCUGGGAACAUCUCUGACGAUAACCUCGACCGCCUCAGGACAGUCCGUCAAACUCGAGGCUGGUCCACAUCAAGGCUCUCCUUACGGGCUGAACAAUUCGGCCGUUCACUACUCACGGCACAUCUAAUCCCUCUUCAACGGGGCUGGUUGGUCGCCAAAGCGGAGCAAUCGACCAGCUCGUCACUACGUCAACAUGGUGACGAUCCGAGAACUACGGGACGGCCAGGCUUCCAGCACAAACUCUAGCACUAGCUCCGUUCCUACCGAAGUCAUAAAUUCCAAGGACGAAGACUACGACCUGGAUUUACCACCGUAUCCUCCGGGUUUCUCUUGCUUCCCGGUCUUUCCACCUCGGCGUGGAGACCUCGUUUUCAAUGUCAGCGCCAACGAGCCGGUCGUUGACGGAGAAACAGACGAGCAGAGGCAGCUCCGUGAGCAGCGCAAUGCUGACCGUGCCCGACGACGCGCGGACGAGGAGCGCCAACUCCUGCCACAUAACCUCACCGACGCUUUCGACAUGGUCGGGGAUCAGCCAGUCUACAAAACUCCAAGCGCCAACGUGGCUGUCGCCAUGGCCAACUUAGAUCGACUCCCUGAUACUCCCGAAUGCCAGGGCGUCCGAUCCAGCGUUCGAGCACACCUGAUCGCCACGAUGGGACAGACAGCCACUCUGCUCAAAAGAGUCCAAGCUAUCUCCUAUACAGAGGUCUCCUCCGACCAGACUCAUCGCAGCCGGACCUCACCACAACCCAGCAGGCACCACCGCAGCCGUUCUCCCAACAAUCAUCGAAAAGAUUCACGGCGUGACGAUGGCGGCCAUCGCGAGCAGAAUCGCGGGCGUGGUCAGGAAGUAAACCAGCACAGGGAUCUUCGAUACAACAUCCCUCCCAAAGACGCCUGGGACCGCAUCAACAGGCGCGCCACGGAGAGAGCAGUCCACGAAAACCUACGUCGUAUUGAGUACGAUGCAACUCACGGCCCCCCGGGCCUGAGACAGUUCUUCUCACACCCCCGCCAGGUCGUGUGGCCCAGAAACUUCAAACUUGAGAAACUCAAAAAAUACGACGGUAAGGAAAACCCAGAAAACUGGAUCACUCUAUACGAGAUCGCCGUCCGGUCAGCAGCAGGAGAUGAGCACGUCAUGGCCAACUACUUCCCAGUCGUCCUCGACCAGGCCGGUCACCAGUGGCUCCUAGGUCUGCCCGAGGACUCUUUCGACUCCUGGGAAGAGUUACGACAAGCAUUCAUCGACAAUUUCAUCGCUACAUGCGAACAGCCGGGGAACAAAUACGACCUCGAAAGAAUAUGGAACAAGAAGAACGAGCCUCUGCACGAUUACAUCCGACGAUUCUCGGAUAUGCGCCUUAAGAUCCUAAAAAUUUCCCAUGACGAGGCCAUAUAUGCUUUCAUCAAGGGGCUGCGCUUCCACGAAGCACUGAGGAACAAGCUACUGCGCAAAAGGCCAACAACGAUGGCCGAGCUUCUUGCCACGGCCAAAAACUACGCCGACGCCGACGACGCAGAAAAACUCAUCCGGGACGAUGCGAGAGGUCCCGACCAGCCCCCUCGACGAGAUGACAGUCGAGGUCGUUUCGACAACAGGAACCAUCGUCGCCCCGACAAUCGGACCACAGAGAAGGCUGGGACAGGCGGCGUGACAACCGCGAUGACUUCAGAGGCAAGCGCCCUCGUGAUCACGACCACGAGGUGAAUAUGGUCAAGCGUCCCAAUGGGCGGCGAGACUACCAGGAAGACUACAACAAGACGUUGAAGGGACCAUGCCAGCUGCAUCCAAAGUCCAACCACACGAUGGAAGAAUGUCGCGUCCUAAAAAGCAUCUACACACGGCGGGCUGCUCAAGACGACACAGCCAAGAAAAAUGGGAAACAGGACGGGCGCGAUCAUGAAGAUGAGGACGAGGACCAGGAUAGGGACCCACGACACCAGUAUGUCAGUCCCACCGACGUGGUCCACUCCAUCUUUAGGGGCAAGGUCUCCACCGAGUCUAAGCGAGAAAGGAAGCUCUUAAAAAGAGCCUGCCUCAAUAUAGACACCACGGAUGGACUAAUCGCUGACCCGAAAUUCCCUCCGUGGUCGCAUAGGGAAAUCUCCUUCAGCAGGAAGGACCAGUGGGCCACCAUCCCAGAACCAGGACGUUUCCCUCUAAUACUGGAUCCUUGCAUCAACACCAUCAGAUUCGAGCGCGUGCUCGUCGACGGGGGAAGCUCCAUUGAUAUCCUUUUUCGCAACAGCUUGCCUGCUCUCAAGUUAACCCCGGCACAGCUAAAGUCCUACGAUGCUCAAUUCUGGGGAGUCUUGCCAGGUCAAAGUUUAGUGCCCCUUGGACAGAUAACACUGCCUGUCCAAUUCGACACGUCCGACCACUUUCGAACAGAUUUCGUCAACUUCGUGGUCGCCGACUUCGACGGAACCUAUCACGCCAUACUGGGCUGACCAUCGCUGACAAAGUUCAUGGCAGUCCCACAUUACUCAUAUCUGGUCCUCAAAAUGCCUACAGAGAAGGGCGUCCUAAUUGUCAGAGGCAAUGUCUACACCGCAUAUACUUGCGAGGAGGAGAGCUUCAAGAUCACUGAAGCAAUUGAUCUUUCAAUUCUCAUGGCAGAAACAGCAACCCAAACCGCACAACUCCAUCCCGACCAGCUCCGACUACCCGAGCAGGAGACCCCCAGGAAGAAUUCAAAAUCCAAGGAGUACAAGGAAGUACAGCUGGUCGAAGGCAGCCCCGAGAAGACGGCCCUCAUCGGGGCCAACCUGGACCCUAAAUAGGAAGACGCGCUCGUCACGUUUCUAAGGGACAACGUGAACGUUUUCGCAUGGAAACCCGCAGACAUGCCCGGCGUCCCACGGAACCUGAUCGAGCACUCCUUAAAUGUCUCGAAGACCGCAAGACCCAUCAAGCAAAAGCUGCGACGGUUUUCUCGUGACAAAAAGGAGGCUAUUAGGACAGAAAUAACACGGCUUCUAGCAGCCGGAUUCAUAAAAGAAGUGUAUCAUCCCGAUUGGCUCGCCAAUCCGGUUCUUGUACGCAAAAAGAAUAAUGAAUGGAGAAUGUGCGUUAAUUACACUGAUCUCAAUAAACACUAUCCUAAAGAUCCUUUUGGUCUCCCUCGCAUUGACGAGGUAGUCGACUCAACAGCCGGAUGCGAACUCCUCUCUUUUCUAGACUGCUACUCUGGUUAUCACCAGAUCUCGCUAAAGGAAGAUGAUCAAAUCAAAACGUCUUUCAUUACUCCUUUCGGCGCAUACUGCUACACGACCAUAUCCUUUGGACUCAAAAACGCCGGAGCCACCUAUCAACGGGCCAUCCAGCAAUGCCUCCAUGACGAGAUUCGUGAUGACCUCAUCGAGGCUUAUGUAGACGACGUCGUCAUCAAAACAAGGGACGCAAGCACCCUAAUCGACAACUUAGACCGAACCUUCAAGGCACUAAACAAGUACAAGUGGAAGCUUAACCCCAAAAAGUGCAUCUUUGGGGUCCCUUCUGGUCUACUGCUCGGCAACGUCGUCAGCCGCGACGGCAUACGACCAAAUUCUUCAAAAGUAAAAGCAGUGCUCGACAUGCGACCACCUAAGAACGUCAAGGAUAUUCAGAAGCUCACCGGAUGUAUGGCCGCCCUCAGCCGCUUCAUCUCAAGACUAGGAGAAAAAGGCCUUCCCUUCUUCAAACUCUUGAAGGCGUCGGAAAAAUUCUCCUCGAUAGAGGAAGCUGACGCUGUGUUCACCCAGCUCAAGACUUUCCUCACCCUACCGCCUGUUCUCACAGUGCCUCAGCCCAAUGAAGACCUACUUCUUUACAUUGCAGCAACCGACAGGGUCGUCUCCACGGCAAUAGUGGUCGAGCGAGACGAGCCAGGCCACGUCUACAAGGUCCAGAGACCCGUUUAUUUCAUAAGCAAAGUCUUAAAUGAGUCCAAGGCCAGAUACCCACAAAUACAGAAGCUCAUAUACGCCAUUUUAAUAACGUCGAGGAAGCUAAAGCACUACUUCGACGGCCAUCGGGUCUUGGUAACCACCAGUUUCCCUCUUGGGGAUAUUCUGCGCAAUAAAGACGCCAACGACAGAAUUGUAAAAUAGGCAAUGGAGUUAUGCCCAUUCUACCUAGAUUUCCAGAGUCGCACCACAGUCAAGUCUCAGGCCCUGGUCGAUUUCAUCGUAGAGUGGACGGAUCUUAACGAGCCUCCCGUUUCCGACGUCUCCGAUCACUGGUCAAUGUUCUUCGACGGGUCCUUGAACAUCAACGGCGCCGGCGCUGGGAUACUUUUCGUGUCGCCUAACAAGGACAAAUUGCGUUACGUCCUUAGGAUCCUUUUUCCGGCAUCAAACAAUGUUGCUGAGUACGAAGCAUGCCUACAUGGCAUACAACUAUCCGUUGAGUUGGGAGUCAAACGCCUCUACGUCCACGGCGACUCCGCUUUAGUUAUCAACCAACUCAACAAGGAAUGGGACGCAACCCACGAGAAGAUGGAUCUCUACUGCAAAGAAAUCCACAAAUGGGAAUCCAACUUCUAUGGCAUAGAGUACAUCCACGUGGUCCGGGACAAGAACCAGGCAGCGGAUGCGCUGUCCAAGUUAGGGUCAUCUCGGGCCCAGAUCCCGCGAGGUGUUUUCGUCUAGGACAUCCAUGAGCCAAGUGUGGGCACAGACCUGGUCGAAAAGCAACCUAUUGAGGCAAUGCUCAUAGAUGACGCUACUCCGACAACCGGCAUCCGAGAUUGGCGCACUCCGUUCAUCAGGUAUAUAUCGGACGGGUCAGGCUUUCAGGAUAAAACGGAGAACGAGCGCCUCAUUCGACGAUCAAAGAAUUACAUACUGGUGGACGACAAACUUAUGCGAAAAAAUGCAAGUUCCGAAGUGCUGCUCAAAUGCAUAUCCCAAGAGGAUGGCAUCAAGCUCCUAGACGACAUACAGGCCGGAUCCUGCGGCAACCACGCAGCCUCCAGAACACUGGUCGGGAAGGCUUUCCGAGCAGGUUUUUACUGGCCAACCGCGGUCACCGACGCAGAAAAACUGGUCCGACAUUGCGAAGGAUGCCAGUUCUUCGCCAAAAGGACCCACGUACCUACUCAUGAGAUUCAAACUAUUCUGUCAUCCUGGCCUUUCGCCUGCUGGGGCCUCGACAUGAUCGGGCCAUUUAAACCGGCUCCCGGCAACUUCAAGUUCGUCUUCGUGUUAAUCGACAAAUUCUCGAAGUGGAUCGAAUACAUGCCACUGGUCAAAGCAACCUCCGAGAAGGCUGUGGAGUUCCUCAAUCAAAUCAUACACAGAUUCGGGAUCCCCAACAGUAUAAUCACCGACCUGGGCACUCAGUUCACUGGCACUACGUUCUGGGACUUCUGCGAUGACAGAGGCAUAGUCGUAAAAUACGUGUCAGUAGCACACCCACGAGCAAACGGUCAAGUCGAACGCGCGAACGGAAUGAUCAUCGAUGCCUUAAAGAAAAGGUUGUACACCGAGAACGACAGAGCGCCUGGUCAAUGGAUGAAAGAAUUACCGGCCGUGGUCUGGGGUCUCCGAACACAGGCCAGUCGCAAUACAGGUGUAUCAUCCUACUUUAUGGUUUAUGGCUCCGAGGCAGUACUUCCAUCAGAUAUAACCUUCAGAUCUCCAAGAGUUGAAAACUUCGACCAAUCAACGGCUGACAACGCCAGGGAGCUCGAAAUCAACUGCAUGGAGGAAAAGCGUCUAAUUUCAUGUCUUCGAACAGCAAAGUAUCUCGAAGCCAUCAGGCGGUACCACAACAGGAACGUCAAAGACCGUUCUUUCAUGGUCGGUGACCUGGUACUCAAGUGGAAAACAAGCCAGGAAGGAACGCACAAGUUAUCCACGCCUUGGGAAGGACCCUUUGUGGUCGCCGAAGUUACACGCCCUACAUCCUACAGACUGGCGUAUCAAGAUGGAACACGCGUGCCUAAUUCUUGGCACAUAGACAAACUGUGCCAUUUUUAUCCAUAAGUUCCAGUACCUUUUGCUUGUAAGUUUCUUAUAAUUAGCAAUAAUAAAAGUUUUUCUUUUUUGCUAUGUAUACACGCAGAGCUUCCGACGAGUACAACAGUCUUCCUCUGCGCCAAAGAUUCUUAACGACUAUCAAUCAAACACAGUGAUACGUCACUCAGAUAACAUUACAGCGCUCAAAUUCAUGGUCAUGACAAAAUUCAAACUUUAUUACAAACUUUACAUACAGAGUUUACAAUAAACACUCCAUCGGGUGGCUACUAGUCUACUCCUACAGACUAUCCUACAGGCCUACUGCUCGGGCUGAUCACCCGCUUGGCCUUGCUGCCCAGACGAAGGGGUCGGGGCCACCGGCGCCUGGCUGGUCGAGACCGCAGGCGUCGACCGCCCAUCUCCAGCAAUAGACGCCCCCGACAACUCCCUGGCCAAUCUGUCAGACCCCGACUGGUCGGGGGGAGUGGCCGUCCCGCACAGGUUAAUGUCGCCGAUCACCGUCGAUGACAAGUCUAGCAGGCCAGCUCGAAGGUCGUCUGCCUCCUGCGGGCCAACUUCCUUGGGGUACCCCCUCUCCCGCCUGGACAGGUCGACCAGGGGAUAGUGGGCGCGCACCAUGCUAAGGACAUGCGCGCCGGCGAACUCCCCGGCGUCCUUGACGAACUGCUGGAGCCAGUCCCACGUCCGUUGCGCUUUCUCGACUGGCGUCAGUUUCGGUGUGCGGGGCUGGUCUUCAGGAAGCUCGGGGCUGAUCAAGUCCAGAACUGGGGCUACUCCUUUCCAAAGCCUAAUGCAGUUAGUCUUCCAGGAGUCCUGAUCCUUGACCAGCUCGUCUAAGUGCUUCUUGGUAUUCACCUUGAGCACUACAAACCAAGCAGGAGGUCAGUUCAAGAACAAGGAAAGAAACGUUGAUCAACCAAAUAAAAAAGGGGUGCCACGCUUAUUACCAGACAGCUCCCGAUUCCUGUGGCUUAGCUCCUCGCGUGCUCGGCGCCCGGCCUCCAGCGCCCCGGCAAGCUAUUGGCCGAGCUGCUCUUUAUCUUGUCGGAGGCGCGCAACCUCUUCCUCCAAUUCUACAAGAACAAUCCCCUGGUCAACAAAACUAACCACGCGGCUAUAUACAACUGCUCGGAGUGCGCGACUGACUUGUCCUCUGCCGAUACUGGUCGGCUAAACGCCGAGUAAGCUCGAGACGGCGCUCUUCCUGAGCACUCAUCUCGGCCACCUUCUCCCCAACUUCUGACCGAAGCCGGUCCACCUCCGCGGACAGGGCCUUGUUCUCGGCCGCAAUCCCCUCGAUUUGGUCGAAGCACCUCUUCCGAUACUUCGCCCUUUUCAUCACGCCCUGCAAGAAGAACAUAUGUCGAACCCAGGAACACAGCAUAUAAGUGUCGAGCAGCACAAAGGACCACUUACCUUAACCUCAUCCACGAGACGCUUGGCCGCGCGCUCCACCCUUGCGGCCUCUUCCGUCUCCGCGAGCUCCUCGUGUCCAAUGAAGUGGUCCCCGUGUUGGCGCCACACGUAGACGUGCUGGCGGCCGUCACGGGGACGAUUCUGGAUCUCCUCCACGUCAUCGUCAGAGGCCGCCCGGGGCUCCUCGUUCGCCGCACUGCCGCCGGCCGCGGUCGCAGGCAUCACUGGCCCAUGGUCCAGGCCAGGGGAGCCUACGGGUGAAGAGGCCUCUGCUCGGGGCGGUGUUGGGACCCCCCUUUCUCCGGCUGGAGGAGUCGGGACUCUGUCUUCCUCCCCCACAACAUUACUCGGGGGAGGGGUUCUCGCUGCCUCUUCAUCCCUCGUCGGGGUGCUCGCCGCGGCACUCGCCGGGGCCGGUUGUUCCUCGGCACUCGUAGCAGCGGUUGUCACCGCAGGCUGCUCCGUGGCUUGCGGCGCGGCGUCUCCAACGGCGGCUACAGGCUCAGUUGUCCUCUGUUCAGCGACCUGGUCGGGGUUGACAUCUGACGCUAUGCUAGACAACGAAACAACAUUUAAACAAUGUCAGAAAUAGCAACAAAAAGCAGAACGUCGCAGUACGAAAGUAAGAUUAAGCACUUACAGGUCAGAUCGCCUGUGUGUUGCGGUGAACCUCCUCCUGGUCCUACCGGAUGGUGCCUGCGCCCCCGUCUCUACGACGCGCGGUGCAGGAGGGUCGCUGGUCACCCGAUCAGUAGUGGCGGGCGCUAUGUCUGGACGAUUGCGCGGCCUCCGGACCAGGGAAGGCGCGGCCUCCUCCUCCUCCUCGUCGUCGUCGGUGAUCCGGACGAGUCGACGGCACUUUGGCGCCUGACUGCUCUCCGCCGGCAGCGCUUCCGCAGGGGAGGGGUCUGCUGCUAGCGGCCUUUUCCCCACCACUCUGUCUUCGGUGGUCGGGGCGGGAUGGUUCUACUCCUCCUCACUGCUGGUGUACCGAGCACACCGAGCAGCGUCCUCUUCCGACGGGUCUACCCCCCCGGGGUUCUCCAUGCCGGGCGCCAGUGAUACGAAUACCGCGCACCGGUCAACGUCUCCAAUCUACAGCAAAAAUAAAAGACAAAUCAACAACGAUGGCGAACUAGUACUCGAAAAGCAAAAUCAGUUCGCAACAUUACCUUGGGAGCUGGUCGCCCCAGCUUGAAGGCCUGCGCCCGAUCACUACUGCGAACGAAGCUGCCGUCCGCAAAGUUGAACAGCUGGUUUAGCAGCUGUUGCACUUCCGCCUUCUCCAGGACCUCAGGGCUCAUCCUGGUCGGGUCCUGGCUUCCAGCAUACUCGUAUGCCGAGUGGACCCUCUUCUGGUAGGGCAUCACUCGACGACAGAUGAAGUUGCCGACCACCCCUAGUCCGUCUAAACGCGACCAGUCGAUCAGCUUCAUCAGGUCUUCUACCUGGCCGGUGAACUCUGGGCGGUCUGUCCAACUGACCCUCUUCUCGGGAAUGUACCCCACGUCGCAGAACGUGGAGCUGCCCGGCUCCUCCCUGACGUAGAACCACUUCUUGUACCAUUCGGUGAGAGAAGUGUUCCACGGGCAGCUGAGAUACCGAUUCUUCAUCCCGUCGCGAAGAUUGAGGUAUACUCCACCUGCAAUCUUGGAGCCUCCAACCGCUCCCUUCUUCCUCAAACAGAAAAGGUAGCGGAAAAGAUCGAAGUGCGGCUCUAUCCCAACAUAGGCCUCGCACAGAUGGAUAAAAGUGGAAAUAAGAAGAAUCGAGUUCGGGUGCAGAUUGCAGAUCCCGAUCUCAUAGUAAAGAAGAAGCCCCUGAAGAAAAGGAUGGACGGGAACCCCAAAACCCCUCUUGAAAAAAUCUUCGAAAACCACUAUCUCACCGGCACGGGGGUCGGGGUAGCUCUCCCCAUCUGGUGCCCUCCAGCCGCCGAGCUCUUGGCUGUGCAGUAGCCCCAUGCCGACGAGGUCGUUGAGGGACCUCACGCUGCUCCGGGACUUUUUCCACUCCUUGGCCAUCAGUUCGGCCCUCUUCUUGGAGUCGCUCUUCGCCAUUGACGCUGUGGAAAUGGAUGCGAGCUGGGCGGACUGAUGGAGGUUGCGGAAGGCAAGAGUGGAAAGCUUGAAGGCAAUGGCAGGGUAAGCAAUACGGAGGGCGAGGUCAAGCUUUUAUAACCAACAACUCCAUCCCUCCCACUUCCCGCAUUCUUGGGAAAUGGGAGGACCCAACAGUGGAUGCGGCGUUUCGGUUUUCAAUAAUUACCGGCAGUUAAUACGGCGGCCUUUUUUGCUUAAUUAAUGUUUUCCUUAUCUUGAACCGCGCAAAGAGCGGCUGUACAGUUACCGGGCGCAACUUUUCAUGCAGCCAUCUGACAGUGCGCCAGGAGGUCUCGUCACAUCACCCAUUUCCGUGAUAAGAUUCCUUUUUCAAAAUAACAGACACAAAUUGGUGGAUGACCAACGCCCCUAGGGACUGCACCGACCACCGAGCACCGUACGCUCGAGGACUGGUCGACCAGUCUGCCAGUUUGGAGAUCUGGGGACUGCACCGACCACCGAGUACCGUAUGCUCGGGGACUGGUCGACCAGUCUGCCAGUUUGGAGAUCUAGGGACUGCACCGACCACCGAGUACCAUAUGCUCGGGGACUGGUCGACCAGUCUGCCAGUUUGGAGAUCUGGGGACUGCACCGACCACCGAGUACCGUAUGCUCGGGGACUGGUCGACCAGUCUGCCAGUUUGGAGAUCUGGGGACUGCACUGACCAGCUAGCACCGUAUGCUCGGAGACUGGUCGACCAGUCUGCCAGUUUAGAAAUCUAGGUAUGCAUCAAUUACCAAGCACUACACGCUCGGGGACUGGAUAAUUUUAAUUUUUUAGACCUUGCUACAAGGCUCAUACUUCACCUUCCAGCAAGCUCGGGGACUACAUCGGUACGAUGCAUCUGGCGAUGCAUCUCAGUUUCAGAAUUUCUUUGAGGAUUUUUCUUUUGACCCUGGCACCACGUGCCUACGUCACCUACUACUAGGCUCGGGGACUAAGUGGGCACACUUCACCUUGCGGUGAAUACGCUUGCUUUUUGAAAGGCUAUACUUUUCAGAAAAGUAAAGUGGACACACUUCACCUGGAAAGAAAUCUUUUUUAAUUUAGAGCACCAUGCAUUCUUUGAACAACCUGCUUCUUCGAUGUCAAUGUUGAUCAACUGUCUUUUGAGUUGGUCAAAAUACCGUUGCAACUGUUUGGGCGACUUUCCUACUUAUUGAAGACGUCAAGCCUCACUGAUCGAAGAAGCUCAAGACGGCGUGUUACAUCACAAUACAUGGUGCUCGGGGACUAGCUGUGGGGGUAUAAACCCCUAUACCCUUACGGCUAGACUUGGGCCAGGAGGCUUGGUCCAUUACGAGAUGAGUUCGAGGCUUGAUCCGACUGCUUGGAGUUUCGCGUAAGGAAACAAGACGUGGAGAUCAAGCAGGAUUCUAGUCGGUUAGAAUAGGAAUUGAUAUUGAGCUAUCUAUGGCAAUUGUAACCGACUAGGAUUAGUUUCCAGAUCUGUAACCCUGCCCUUCGGACUAUAUAAGGAGGGGCAAGGGACCCCCUUAAGACAUAUUAUUCUCAAUCCAAUACAAUCAGACGCAGGACGUAGGUAUUACGCCCACACGACAGCCGAACUUGGAUAAAAAGCUUGUCCGUGUCUUGCGUCACCAUUGAGUUCGUAGUUUGCGCACCGUCUACCGAUAAACUACUACCGUCGGUAUACCUCAAGGUAGACUGCCGACUAGCUUUCGUCGACACUCAUCAAUUCUCUCAAGUCAACCAAAGUCAACAGAGAGUCAACCAUGGUCAACUUGAAGUUAACAUCGUAAGAAUACUCUCCAAAAGAUGCUAACCAACAACCCUAUCUCUAGGACAUGAAGAUUGGCCUCAAUACCAAAAAAAAACUCUCUUUAUCUAAAUCAUUUGGUAAAAAUAAGUGAUUUUACAGAGUGUCCAAUAAGAUUGACGGACUAUCCGACAAAUCUCUUAUUCAGCUGGUUGAGUGGAGAAUGAGCUGCCCUCAACUCAUCCAAGUGACCCCAUGUGUCAGCGUGCACCGGCAUAUGUAACAUCAAAAUACUUUUAUUGAAUCACUAGGAAAUAUGUCGUAGAUAUAAAUAUAUUUUUCUAUAAACUUGAUUAAAGUUAUAGAAUAUUGAUUUGGGAUAAAACAAAAAUGAUCUAUAUUUUAGAACGGAGAGAAUGGAUAUAGCUUGAAGUGGUGGGUUACAAUCUGUGCAUGCAAAGAAGAGCACAUGCGGUGCACCUACCCACAAAACUUUCAAAGAAAAAUUUGAGUAGUGGUGCUUGCAAGCAAGGGAACGAUUGAGAAGCAGAGAAUAUGAACUGUACACUGCUGCAACCCAAUCAACAGCAAUAUCUGAUAAAAAUAUGAUAUAGAUCCAAAGCGGCCGAAAGGCUAAACAUCGAGGGCCAUUCCAUCUCCAUUGCCAAAACAAUUCCUUCCUUCCUUUCGCUCUUAGGAAUCCAAUCAACUCGAUCAAUCAAGCUCAAAGUUCUAUCAUCAUCACACAAGCUCCGCAUUGCUUUUUAUUUCAUUUUCUAUGGUCUAUAGAGGUAGCGUCGUAGCUAGGUACUUAGGAAGAGAACGAGAAGAGAUUAGUGAUGCCUUACUUUGACAAAUGAGUAGAUAGAUAGACAAGCUACAAGUGAGCAUCGAACAAGACUACAAGAGUAUACAAUACCUUGGGCGAUGGAGGUUUCAACUUCCAAAUUAAGCAUGUGAAACACGAUCCCAACUGUAGAAAUUGCGACUUGUUUCAUGACAAAUGGGUAUCUACUAGCUAGGAGAAAGCUACAUUUUGAUUCACUCGAGUGCUUUAAAAUUUCAGUCUAAUUUGAAACGGAAUCUAAUUAUAGCUAGGCUCCUAAGUCUAGGUUCAUUUUUUUAAUAAAGGAUAGAUAUAGUCUAUCUGGCUUCAUUCACCCAAGCCGGAUGAACUCAAGCGAAAUUAUUAUAAGAUCUUACAAAGUGUUACAUCGAAAGCCAAAGACUAACACGACCAGGGUCGUAAGUAAACAAAGAAAUACCUAGUAACUGCAAAAAGUCCAACACACGAAGAUCAAUGUAAAGCAAUCCUAAAAACAGACGACCACACAAAGGAUGAAAACAUCCGGAGACAUGAAGUUUCAAGAGCCCGACAAGCGUCGACUAACUGUUGUUGACGGUCUUCAAGAUGCUGUAACAUUGUCGGUCCAGUAUGUCUCUCUGAAUAGCACCUACAAAAAAUAUUUAGGUCUACAUUUGUCAAAAAAAAUUAUUUCUUGAUAUCCACAGUGACCAACAUAAUGUAGCGGUGGCAGUCAAUAAGUUUAUAUUGUGAUUAGUUCCCCCUCCUUUUGACCAAUGAAUAAAAAGAUCAUUAGCAUCCGUGGGUUGGGCAAUGCCCAGAACCAUGUGUACUGCUGUCUACAGAAACUUAGCAUAGGCACAAUUAAUAAACAAGUGUUGGAUUGAUUGGAGUACUACAGAAAGAACAACCUGUAUCUGUAUGUCCCCUCUAAUUUCUUUUUGCUAAGCUGUCCUUUGUUAAAAUAACCCCUUUUUUAAGUACCACAUAAAGAUUUUUAUUUUCAUGGGUAACUUGGCGCGCUAAAUUUCCUGUGAGACAUGCACACCAUUAUUGACUAAAUACGCAUACAUUGAUCGAACUGUAAAUAACCCAUUCGAGUUUAGAGACCAAACAAAGACGUCAUUUUCUUCUUGUAACUGCAAAGUUGCUACUGUUCCAAUCCCUCAAAAGUUAUUUCCCACUAAUGUCCUUCGAAAAGAAACAUUAAGUGGAAUAGACGACAACACAUUUGACAUAGUGUCGUGUUUUCUAUGCACUAUGUUGAACAACCUUAGAAUUUUAGUUCGGAGAGAAUAACUCUCAAUCCAAAUAUCUUCCCACAUAACCUCGUUUGUUUUCUCUAGGUUGAUGGCGUCGGUUGUGUAAAUGCAUGCAUGUGUUUCACAUUCUUGAAAAAAAAGAAAGCUACAGCUGAUCUAUCCAAAUUAACUUGACGGUGAAGACACAGAAGAGUAUCGCCACCGCCACCCCCUUUUUCUCUCACCGUCGCCCCGUCUAGGCCCCCUUCUUCCAUCCGGGUUUAUUUGGAUUAAUAGGAUUAGCUGUUGGAUGAAGCUAAAAAGUACUUCAAAUUAUUUAGUGUUAGGGAGUAAUUGGCAACAACCUAGUUAAAAAAUUUCUUAAAAAAAUUAGCCUAUCUGUUAGCUCCCUGUUAUAGAUGGACUAAGACUUAAAAUUACCGCCUCCAUCCUGAAUUAUAGUGUAUUUUCAUUUGUUCUAAGUCAACCCACCUUAUGGUUGACUAAAAUUAUAGAAAAAAAUUAACCUCUACCACAUAAAAAAGGUAAGUUAUAAAAAUACAUUCCAUCAUGUUCUUAAUGGAGCUUAUACGAUGUCAAAAAUAUUAUUAUUUUUAAAAGACGGUCAAACUUAAGAUGAGUUAACUUAGAGCAAAUAAAAAUACAUUAUAUUAUUGUAGGAAGAAAAUUAAUAUGUCUUUCUAUAAUUUUAGUCAAGCAUGAGAUGGGUUAACUUAGAACAUAUGAAAAUAUGUUGUAUUUUAGAACGGAUGGAAUAACAGUUAACCUUCUAUAUCCAAUUAGACCCAUAGAGUUAGUUGUAUUCAAGGAAGAAAAGCCCCCCCCCCCCCCCCCCCCGACUUCAUCAAGAGAUUGACUCUCCAUGAUAAAUAUGAACCCGAAUUGUAAAGUGGUACUAGUGCAACCCGCGCGCCAUCGCGCGGCGGUGUUAGUAAAGCACACUUGAGUUUAUAUGCAUGUCUCGUAUGUUACAUAUGUUGCUGAUGUGUAUAGUAAGUCUAUGAUGAUGGGAGGUAUACGUAGAGUUAGUAGCUGGCAAAGGGUGUGCAUAAACACAUGUUAACCUAUGGGUUGUAACAUAACGGAUAAUAGUAUAGAUAGUAUAUAUGGCACAAAUUUAUGGACUGGUACAUGGUAGAGAGCAUUGCAUAAAUAUAUAUUACAUAUGUUCUAGUAUUUUUUUGUGAAAAUGCUGCACAUAGAUAAUUCAUGUGAGCAAACAGGUUACUCUGCAACAAAUAUUUCUAGAUAACAACCGAAGGGAAAUCAAGCUGUCAAAGAUGCCAAUCACUGCAUACCAAAUUCAUCGAUGGGGGCAUCAAAGUUAUAGGUGGCUGCAAUGAAGGGACUACCGGCUUGGCGCACGAAGGUUCUCCCUACAUGGAACUGCAUCAGAUUCAGAACAUGCAAUGUGGUCACAACAACAACAAAAAGUAGCAGACUGCAACGGGAAUAAUGGUCUGGCCCACAUGGGUUACUUAGUUUUCUUACCAUGUCCUUGACAACCUUAAGGAGUACACGGGGCCUAGAUUAAAAAUGGUCCAAACAUCUAUAUAAAAGGAGGAUAUGUCAUCUUAAUAACAUAUAGGUGGUUGUUGUUUCUAUACGAACCACAUACAAUUUUAGUAUUCUAGAAACCAGAGUGCAACCAGAUGAAUGUUGACAUGGAGGCACAUGUAUUGUUUCCUGAACAAUACAAGCACAAAGAACAUAAGAUAAAUAUAUAUUUUUGGCCUCAAACCAGGAAAUGGACAAACAUCUACAUGACUAAAAUAGACAACACACUAACAAUCAACAUUAGGUACCACGUAGCUUAAAACUGCAUGUUAUAUAAGCUGUUUGUGUGAUAAACCUACAGAGAAGCAAAUAAUACUUUUGAAAUAAAUGCAUCAAUUCACAAGAUGAAUCAAUGAUACAAUCUUAACUAAUUGCAAGAUGAGAAGUCACUACCGUGAAAACUAUGUAUGAAAGGAAAGUGCUAUAAUAUUCUUAAAUUAUGGAUGACAAAAGAGUAGUCAUCAAACUGUGUAACUGUUGUUGCUAGGUAAGCAGACAGGCAAAUUAAACCUGCAAAUAUAUGAACAUGCAUGACCCACACAUGGUUGUACAUGUUCCUUCAACUUGGAGCCAAUUAUAGACACUAUGGUAUGGAAAAAAUAACAUAACUUAAACUCUGAAAGACUGUAGGCGUAGGCAUACACUCUAUUAUGUAUGAGUGACCACAAGGCUGCCUGCCAGAAAUGUGUAAGGUGUGAAGAAGCAUCGUAAAUAGAUCACAGUAAUGUUGACAUCAAUUACCAAUUGUGCAUGAAGAAAAUUAUAACAAUGAAAGCCAAACUGAUGUCUAUGGCAAGCGAAUAGCCAUAGUGUCAUUGAGCAAUGGGCAUGAAAUUUUCAUCAUAGGCUAAACAAAGGGAAAAUAAUAGAUGGUAAACACUGACAACAUCAGAUCAUAACCAAUGAGAAAUGCAUCAUAUGAUUUGGCAAACGCCAAGAACAGCCUUUCGAAACCAAAGAGGCUUUCAACAUAAUUUUAGUGAUCCAAAACACACCGACACCAUCAACAUACAAUGGGCAUGUGUUUUAGAUAGCAAACAGUGGGCAUGUUUUUAGAGGGAAAAACCUAAUAAAAAACAAUUAGAGCUUUUUGAAGGCCUUAGUAAAUUGCCAACCAUCAUUUGUUUAUGAACUUGGAGCUUAAAGAUAUGUUCAGAAAUGGUUACUUUUAGAAAUUUCAUAAUAUAAGUAACAGGUCAUGCCUAGUACUCACAAGCGAAUGAACAUCAUAUCGUAUCAGUGAGCAAUGGAUAUGGACUUUGCAUCAUAUGCUAAAUAAGAGGGGGGUGAAAAUGGCAAAUGCUGACAACAUCAGAUAAAAAUAAAUGAGCAAUGUAUCACAUGAAUCCACAAAUGGCUACAAACAACCAUUUAUAAGCAAAGAGGCUUCUAGCAUAAUUUCAGCGAUCCACAGCACACCAACACCACAUAUAAUGGGCAUGGGUUUCAAAUAGUAAACAGUGGCAUGGUUUUAGAGAAAAACAUUUUUGUCAUAAAACAUGAAUUAGACUCACCGGGGAGGCACUGUGCCGCACACACGAGGGGAGCCUGUAAUACCCGAUUUUAAGGACAAAACCAGAUAUACACCAUAUGUGAGUUUUAAAAGCCAAAUCUCACAUAUAGCUACAAAAUAAGGGGUAAUAUCAAAAGACAAUGCAUAAAUUAUAUAACGAACGUAGUAUAAAAGAUAUAACCUUUGAUAGCAAACAGCGGAUAGACAACAUCAAACUUCGGGUAUUAACUUCUCUCCACAGGAUCCAACUGACUGGUUGAGCACAAGCCUAACAUCUCCUGAAGUGUGGGGGAAAUUGCAAGAGUGAGCACAUAUCGUACUCAACAAGUAUAACCAGGGGUUCAUGAGGCUCAAAUGGCUGACACUGGUUUAACUGCAUUUAGCUUUUAAUAGUAGAUAACAUAUUUAAUCAUUGGAUAGCAAUAUCAAGGUAGCAUACUAAAUCCCAUAACCACAUGAUCAAUGUGUACAAGAAUUAAGAAUAACACAUAUAAACAACAUAAUAAACCAUCAUUUAUCAUCAUUAGUCAUGUUCAUCAGAGUCCGCCUAUUCCGUCAGUUUUCCGGGCCGCCCGUAUCCGUGGGCACGGCUAGUAUACCAGAUUUAACACUCUGCAGAGGUUGUACAUCUUUACCCAUGAGUCGUGAUUUACCCUUUCGCCCGAGGUCAUGAGUCUCUUAACCCCCUUCCUAGGGAGGUCGGCAGGGAUCACUAUGAAGCCUUUCAAAGAUUUCGUCUAACAAGUUAGGGCCAUUAGAUUCACUCGGCAGGCAGAUAUAGAGCCCCCCUUCCAUGGCACAUAACUCGCAGCCUAUACACAUGGACAGAGGCCACACUAUACCCAACGUGUCUAGCCAUUCUUACGCCAUUUAAGGUAACCGCUAACAAGCUAGAAAAAGGUCCUCAUACUGAGCUAAAACCAGAGCCAUGUAGCCCUCAUGGUUGUACGAGUUGUCCCAACUUUUGCCAAGGGAUAAGUCCUUACGGAGGGUCAAGAUCAAUCUAGCAAAAGCUAGAGUUCUUUCCACCCUUUAUGUUCAAGUUGCUGAAAAGCUUAUUUUAUUGUUUAUUGCAUAUUCAAUAUUCAUGUUACAAGAUCAUGGAUUAAUAAUCAAGCACUAGCAAGAACUACCCAAAUGCAUAUCCAAAUAGGUAACAAGGAAUUCAGGAUAACAAUCAUCUAUGAUUUUGCUAAGGUUAUCAAGGUGAAAGCAUGCAUAUGAUAUAUAACGUAUUAAUUGUGUAUAGGUAACAAGGAUGAUCCCAAGUUAUACUUGCCUUGCUCAAAGCUCUCCUGAGCCUGCUGGUCUUUAAAAGCUUGGUCUUGAUCAACAACGCACGGCUCACCGUCUAUUCCCAAACAUCAAUCAACAGCACGCAAACAAUCGGAGACAAACAUACACGAAGCAAACAAGCUAUAAUUAGAACAAUACACCAAACAGUAGUAAAACAAAUAUAAAAGUUUAUCAAAAUAUUCUAUGCAGCGCUACGAUCACACAAACGUAAAGUUCACGAAAAUCGGAAUUAAAACGUGAAAGAUAUGAAUUUUCUAAGAUUUCCUAUAGAUAAUUAAUUAAUUAAAUAGGACCACGAAAUUAAAAAGUUUCAAACUGAGUAAACAAUUUUACUAACAUGUAGAGCUCAUUAAUAUGAAUUCAACGCAAUUUGAAUGGACAAAAACGGAAUUAAGAUGAAUAUUUUAUGAGCUAGAUAAAAUCAGUGGCAGUUUUGUAAAUACAAGAAAACGUAUUCUCGGAGUCAAUCUGGUUGUUUUCCGUUUUCUAAAAGAGAAAGCGUAUUUUUGAAAUCCGCUUUGGACUGCGGGUUUAUUCUUAAAAAGAGCAGGGGUUCUUUAGCAAGAGUUACACCGAACCGUUACCUUCUAAUCUCGUUCGCUGGUGCUUGAUCGGACGGUCCGCAGCGUCCCAAGGAGGUCACGGCAGGGGUCGGCCGCCGGGUGGAGCUCCAGCGCGGCGGCGCCAUUGGAGGCUCGCCGGAGUUCUCGGUUUGAGCGAUUCCGGCCACUAGAACGCAAAAAGAAUACACCGGGCGGAGGAGAAUCUCGUGCCGAACUCAUCUAGGGCCUAAUCUGGAGCCGAGGGAGAGCGAAGAGGGCUUGCCGCGGUCGAGAACAAGGUCGGCCUCGCCGAGAUCCAACUCAAGAGAACACGGCGACCUAGGGCUUGGUUUCGCAACAUGGAUGCAAAGGGGUGUUGCGGGGUGGAUUUGGGAGUUUUAUAGGGCUCGGUUCACCGUGGAUGGCAAGGAAUCCCGUGCGUAUCGGGUUUUGACACCCGGUCGAGAGUCCAGCACGACUCCGACUUGGGGUUGAAGAAGGCUGGCUGUCGGGUGGGGUCCACUGGUUAGAGAAAGAGAGGAGAGGGCGCGGGGUAGGCCAGGAGCUGGGCCGGUUGCGCGUACUGGGCCAAAGAGGGGAGCGGGCCGCGGGGGAGGGGAAGCAGGCCAGAGGGAAAAGGGAAGCGGGCCUCGGCCAGACCCAGGGAGCUGUCUCCUUUUUUUUCUUUUUAUUUUCUUUUGUUUCAAGGCCAUUUCAAAAACAAGUUUGAAAAAUCAUUUUAAAAUCAGUUUAACUUACCUUUAAUCAAAUCCACACAAUACAAUGAAAAUAAUGCUCCAAUAUGAAUGCACAACAAGUUGCUACACCCUAUGAUAAAUUUUAAUUAAAUGAAAAAUAUUAUUUUCCUAUGUUUCAUAAGCUCAAAAAUUCAUAAUUAAAUCAUUUUCACCUAUUUCAAAAAGGAGUCAAUUUUAGGGUGUUACAAUUCUACCCCCCUUAAAAUGAAUCUCGUCCUCGAGAUUCGAAAGAGACACGGAUUCCAACAGAGAAACAGAAAAAGAUACUGAUAACUAUUUCAACUUCACAACUGGCAUUCCAAAUGCAAACACUUGUGUCUCGGGAUCACAACUUGUGAACAAAAUUUCCAUAAAACGUCUAUUAUUCGUAAUUGAUCAAGGUCCAUCUUGACUACCAACUUUUCACUCAUACAACUCAAAGACGUGAUAACUUAGCAUGGAUAUGCCUCCUCAGGUAGGAGCGGACCACCUUGAUACUCAAUUCUUUUCCCUGAUGGUGCGGUUUAAAAAAAAAUCCACUGGGUAGCACAGAUCACUCCUUUGUUUGCACAUAACCAUAAGAUAUCUCAGAAGACAGUUAUCACUUCAUGAUAGUUUAAAAUGCAUCUUCCAGUGGUACAAAAAGUACUACCCCCCUUAAGACGAGGUUGGUUGGGGGACAUUAGGGAUUAAUUCUCCUAUCCUUUUUAGACGCUACACAUCAUAGUCUUUUAAAUUCCUUGUAUCAAGUCUCUUAAUCCAAGGUUGGUUUCAAUACUAAGUUCCAUCUAUUGGUACCUUUAUCACAGUUAAGUUGUUUCACUCUGGCAUCCCAAUUAUAACUUCGUAAACUUUGGUGUCAUCUGAUCCUCACAACUCUCAAUCCAUGAGUAUCAGCCAUGACAUAAACCUCCAUUGGUAUUAGCACACUCCAAGUGGAAUGAUAUCUUGAAACAAACCAACAUACCAAGCUCUUGAUGUCCUUGUAGAUGUUCCAGUUAUUAACCACUUCUUCUCCUUGUAGUUCUUUAAUUGGGCUACCCCCCUUAAGAAAAGUCAACUAGGGGACCAAGAAAGGUAGCUUGCAUACUUUCCAGACAAGUUAACAUUGAGAACUUCUAACAUCCUAAAGAACUUAUGUGCAGUGGAGCAAACAGGUAUCCUGAAAUUUCCUCGCGAUAUGAAAAAUACCAGCGUAGUAAAACAGGUAUAACUCUUAUUCCGUUAAUCCAAUAGAGUUGCAGAUUAUAUCGUUAGAAAACUUAUGAAAUUCCCUACAACUUUCAUGUAGAAGUCCUCCUUAGGUUCUGUCUUUAAGCAUAGGUAAUAACCAAACAUAAUAUCCUUCCUGAUAAUGUCUCAGCCAAGGUGCAGUAACUUCCAGAAAUUAUAUCUAGAGCUCCUUAAAUCAUCUGCAGAUGAUCCUUAUAUUGUUUAAAAGCUUAUGAAAUCCUCUACAACUUUCGUAUACAACUCUUUCCCAGCUUCUGACUUCAAGUUGGCCGAAAAUGGGGAAUACCAAAACUGCCCAGACUUUGAUACAGAACAGAAACAUCCAAUUGCAUCUGUCAUAUCUCAGGUUCUACUUAUCCAAAUAAGUUCUAGCUUACACCGUUGGAAAGCUUAGAAAAUUGUCUACAACUCUUCUAUAGAACACUUUUCCAAAUUCUACAGUUAUAUUUGUCUAGAACAGUAGGCAACCGAACUGAUCCAGAUUCCUGACAGCACAUAUGUAUCAUCUUGUGAUUUUUGUAACUUCCAAACCAUAAUAGAUAUGAGGGUGAUCCUUGCGGUCAGAGAAAUAUCUUGAAGUCUAGUUGUUCCCAGAAAAAUUUGAUAAACUUUGCACGAUCAGAUCUUGAGAUACACCAGAAUCAUUGCAGUCUGCUUCAGAAAACAGCAAAGGAUAGAAACAGGAUAUAACCAAACCCAACUACUUAUUUCACUACUCCUUAUGCCUUAGGCCUAUAAACUAAAUGAUAUCGUGGAGAAAACCCACAAGAUCAUUGCACUCAUUACAAAGAUCCAAAUCAAUCAUAAGCAUAAUAACAAACCAAACCAAGCAUCAAAGGUUCACACUUCAAGCAUUAACUCAACUUGCGGUACUAUCGUUCUCUUCCUAUUAAGGGCAAAGAUCCUAAAACUUAUAUUUCAAGGACACAAGAAGGUGGUAAGAAAAGGUUCUAAUAGCAUACCAAAUCAAGGAGUGAAGGUGAGAGCAAGUACUCUUAAAAUAAGCAACAAGGUAGAGAAAUAGCAAGGAUAAGGAUAUAGUAUGGAUGAAAAUAUCAAGGUUUAUAGAGCAAGGAUUUUAUGACAAUUCCAAAACCUUAAGAUGACCAAUUUCUAACUAGGCUUGCGUCCUACAGUCAGCAUUGCUUUGAUACCACUUUGUCACACCCAUAUUUUAAGGACAAAACCAGAUAUACACCAUAUGUGAGUUUUAAAAGCCAAAUCUCACAUAUAGCUACAAAAUAAGGGGUAAUAUCAAAAGACAAUGCAUAAAUUAUAUAACGAACGUAGUAUAAAAGAUAUAACCUUUGAUAGCAAACAGCGGAUAGACAACAUCAAACUUCGGGUAUUAACUUCUCUCCACAGGAUCCAACUGACUGGUUGAGCACAAGCCUAACAUCUCCUGAAGUGUGGGGGAAAUUGCAAGAGUGAGCACAUAUCGUACUCAACAAGUAUAACCAGGGGUUCAUGAGGCUCAAAUGGCUGACACUGGUUUAACUGCAUUUAGCUUUUAAUAGUAGAUAACAUAUUUAAUCAUUGGAUAGCAAUAUCAAGGUAGCAUACUAAAUCCCAUAACCACAUGAUCAAUGUGUACAAGAAUUAAGAAUAACACAUAUAAACAACAUAAUAAACCAUCAUUUAUCAUCAUUAGUCAUGUUCAUCAGAGUCCGCCUAUUCCGUCAGUUUUCCGGGCCGCCCGUAUCCGUGGGCACGGCUAGUAUACCAGAUUUAACACUCUGCAGAGGUUGUACAUCUUUACCCAUGAGUCGUGAUUUACCCUUUCGCCCGAGGUCAUGAGUCUCUUAACCCCCUUCCUAGGGAGGUCGGCAGGGAUCACUAUGAAGCCUUUCAAAGAUUUCGUCUAACAAGUUAGGGCCAUUAGAUUCACUCGGCAGGCAGAUAUAGAGCCCCCCUUCCAUGGCACAUAACUCGCAGCCUAUACACAUGGACAGAGGCCACACUAUACCCAACGUGUCUAGCCAUUCUUACGCCAUUUAAGGUAACCGCUAACAAGCUAGAAAAAGGUCCUCAUACUGAGCUAAAACCAGAGCCAUGUAGCCCUCAUGGUUGUACGAGUUGUCCCAGCUUUUGCCAAGGGAUAAGUCCUUACGGAGGGUCAAGAUCAAUCUAGCAAAAGCUAGAGUUCUUUCCACCCUUUAUGUUCAAGUUGCUGAAAAGCUUAUUUUAUUGUUUAUUGCAUAUUCAAUAUUCAUGUUACAAGAUCAUGGAUUAAUAAUCAAGCACUAGCAAGAACUACCCAAAUGCAUAUCCAAAUAGGUAACAAGGAAUUCAGGAUAACAAUCAUCUAUGAUUUUGCUAAGGUUAUCAAGGUGAAAACAUGCAUAUGAUAUAUAACGUAUUAAUUGUGUAUAGGUAACAAGGAUGAUCCCAAGUUAUACUUGCCUUGCUCAAAGCUCUCCUGAGCCUGCUGGUCUUUAAAAGCUUGGUCUUGAUCAACAACGCACGGCUCACCGUCUAUUCCCAAACAUCAAUCAACAGCACGCAAACAAUCGGAGACAAACAUACACGAAGCAAACAAGCUAUAAUUAGAACAAUACACCAAACAGUAGUAAAACAAAUAUAAAAGUUUAUCAAAAUAUUCUAUGCAGCGCUACGAUCACACAAACGUAAAGUUCACGAAAAUCGAAAUUAAAACAUGAAAGAUAUGAAUUUUCUAAGAUUUCCUAUAGAUAAUUAAUUAAUUAAAUAGGACCACGAAAUUAAAAAGUUUCAAACUGAGUAAACAAUUUUACUAACAUGUAGAGCUCAUUAAUAUGAAUUCAACGCAAUUUGAAUGGACAAAAACGAAAUUAAGAUGAAUAUUUUAUGAGCUAGAUAAAAUCAGUGGCAGUUUUGUAAAUACAAGAAAACGUAUUCUCGGAGUCAAUCUGGUUGUUUUCCGUUUUCUAAAAGAGAAAGCGUAUUUUUGAAAUCCGCUUUGGACUGCGGGUUUAUUCUUAAAAAGAGCAGGGGUUCUUUAGCAAGAGUUACACCGAACCGUUACCUUCUAAUCUCGUUCGCUGGUGCUUGAUCGGACGGUCCGCAGCGUCCCAAGGAGGUCACGGCAGGGGUCGGCCGCCGGGUGGAGCUCCAGCGCGGCGGCGCCAUUGGAGGCUCGCCGGAGUUCUCGGUUUGAGCGAUUCCGGCCACUAGAACGCAAAAAGAAUACACCGGGCGGAGGAGAAUCUCGUGCCGAACUCAUCUAGGGCCUAAUCUGGAGCCGAGGGAGAGCGAAGAGGGCUUGCCGCGGUCGAGAACAAGGUCGGCCUCGCCGAGAUCCAACUCAAGAGAACACGGCGACCUAGGGCUUGGUUUCGCAACAUGGAUGCAAAGGGGUGUUGCGGGGUGGAUUUGGGAGUUUUAUAGGGCUCGGUUCACCGUGGAUGGCAAGGAAUCCCGUGCGUAUCGGGUUUUGACACCCGGUCGAGAGUCCAGCACGACUCCGACUUGGGGUUGAAGAAGGCUGGCUGUCGGGUGGGGUCCACUGGUCAGAGAAAGAGAGAAGGAGAGGGCGCGGGGUAGGCCAGGAGCUGGGCCGGUUGCGCGUACUGGGCCAAAGAGGGGAGCGGGCCGCGGGGGAGGGGAAGCAGGCCAGAGGGAAAAGGGAAGCGGGCCUCGGCCAGACCCAGGGAGCUGUCUCCUUUUUUUUUCUUUUUAUUUUCUUUUGUUUCAAGGCCAUUUCAAAAACAAGUUUGAAAAAUCAUUUUAAAAUCAGUUUAACUUACCUUUAAUCAAAUCCACACAAUACAAUGAAAAUAAUGCUCCAAUAUGAAUGCACAACAAGUUGCUACACCCUAUGAUAAAUUUUAAUUAAAUGAAAAAUAUUAUUUUCCUAUGUUUCAUAAGCUCAAAAAUUCAUAAUUAAAUCAUUUUCACCUAUUUCAAAAAGGAGUCAAUUUUAGGGUGUUACAGAGCCUCUGGCUCGGCAACGUACGAUUCAAGGACCAGCCAUAUCAGGUGGCUCAGGGGUAGGCACGCCCACAGACACCUUGGAGCUUGCACACGUCUAACGGCAGUGGCCAAUCGCGCCGCCAUGCCGCAUACUGGGGGUGCUGCCAGCACAGGCGCCCGCAGCGUGGGCACAAGCGGUGCAGGGGAGGAGAAGCGUCGAAAAGGAGAAGAAGCUGGGUAUAUAUUUGUUUGACUGGAUUUGGACGAGAAGCUAGAGAAGCCAAAGACAAGCAGAGGAGAAGCUGGCUAGAGAGGAGAAUGAGAAGCACUUCUGGACAAAAGCAGCUCCAACCAAUCUGAGGCAUUCGACACGAGAGCGGACGAGCAAGGUAUUUUGGAUGUUGCUUCUGGCGGAGUUGUCUCAAAUUUCUUGAGCUAGUGCAAAAUAAUUUACCAUUGCCCGAGGUAGAUAGCCCCUCUCUUUAUACCAUGCAGAGGAAAAGAAUCAACAUGAUUUACUCUUAUGGCGUGUAUAAUAAGAAGAUACGGUAGCAGAGAUGUGAGAUAGAAAAUAAUCGAUAAGAUACCUGCUAAACAGAGGUAGCUCCAUGCUGUUUGGACAGUUUCCCUCUGUCAGGAGCCAGAUUGAGCGAAACAUGAGCAAACGAAGGCAUUGAGAAUCCAAGAGCCUGAAGAAGAACGCAACAUUCCAACAAAUAUAUUUUCUGUGAUAACUUCUCGAGGGGUCAAGAUUAUGUAUCAUGAAAAAAACAAAAUAACAAAAGGUAAAAGGUAUUACUUUGUAAAUUAGAGCCUAUUGCAAUGUGUCUGGUAAAUGCUCUUUAGCUCUGUAACAAAACAUGGUAAACACUUACUCCAAGGGUGCCUGACAUUUAAAAGAAAAGCAGCAACCUCAUGGGGCUUCACCCGUGUAAUCUGAUAUUGAUGAAUGGAAAGCAUUUAAGAUCAUUUCGGAUGAGUGGACAACAUUUAAGAUUAUUUCCUCAUGAUGAACUAAUCAAGGCUUUUGAAGAUAGGUGGAAGAACACAGGUAUUAUCCAGGAAUCUGAAACUGUUUUUCACUGAGGUAAAAUUGCAAGCCAUUUUAUUUUCUUGUGUACCUAGGGUGUCCUAUUUGGAUGUCUUUGUCCACAAGAUCAAAGCUAUUGGGAAGAUGAAAAACAUAGUGCCUUCUAUUUUGGAAUGACAAUAAAAAGGUUUCAUUUAUAACUAUCAAUUUUCUGAAGCUGUCUGGCUAUGUGCAGGAAUAAUCCUCAUACUGUGAGAUAUAAUUAAAAAAUAAUUAUCUCAAAUAGAACCUCACCUGGUUGUCGAAUAAGCAGAUACAUGCAUGCUGAACUAAAAUGUAUCAUUGAAUUAACCUGCAGAACCUUCAGAUUUAGAAAAACUAUAAGCAGCACCAUAUAUAUGCGGGUCAUUUGAAAUUAGAAUUAUGAAAAGAGGUUAACAUACAUAGUAAGCAUAUGAUAGCACAUGGUUUUACAUGAUGGAAAAAAUGGAAGCAUUAGUUUUUAGGAGAAAGGAACAGAGGCAUUAGUUUUUAGGAGAAAAGGAACAUGUAAUUCUGUUUUGUGUCUGUUGUAUACCUACAUUGAUUUGCAGGUGCAUGGCUGCUACAUUUUCUAUAGCCUUCUUUUUAUCAAAUUACCUGAUCAUAUCUCAAAUUACAUCGAUCGUAACACCGCAUAAAAUAGGUUCCAAAUCUGUCGAAAAAGUUAGGGGGCAUAUACAACUAUCACGAGCCUUGCCUGUGGCUUUUUAACCUGACAACUAUAAGAGCUCAAUGACAACAUAGACGAUGAAAUUAUAGUAGUGCAGCUUUUUAGUGGGAAGCUAAAUAUUUUUUUAUGGUCUAAACUAAGUAAAUUCAUGCAAUCCUAUAGUAGUGCAGGUUGUUACCUCGUGUAGUCUGUCUAAUCACACCUGUGCUGCUAGCAGUAGGAGGCGCAGGCAGCCGACAUGCUGUGAACCACACUUCGCUGUAACCUUGGCCCUUCAUAGAUAAACCACCAAAUGGAGCUGUUUUUAUUUGUAUCUAUACAAAUUGUCUUGUAACAAUAGUCAACAGGUUAGAAGGCGACAAACUCUUCUGCAAAUCAUGAAUGGAGCAAGGUAUGUAAUUUAUGGAAAGAAAAAAAAUAUGCACGGCAAACAAGGAUACAAACUAAAUCUAUGGAAAAUCAGGUAUCCAUAAAACAAAGAUCAUGAUCUAUAUAGCAGGACGUACAUGCAUUUGUUCCAAAAGUUUUCAUGUAAACUAAAAUCUUAGAUCAAACUACUCUUCAGAAGAACUAUAUAUGACAUACUAAUUAUUUUCCCUAUUUCCUUUCCGUACUGCUGUUACAUGUAUAUUUGAUCUGUAGGCACUGCAAAUUGCCUGCAUAUUGCCUAGGCAAUAGUACGCAUAGCAACAGAACUCAAACAACACUAAUAUUAGUAGACACAAUAGGUUGUAAUUAGACCAAAUCCGAGCAUUAAGGUAGGGUGUGGGUGCUCGGUUUUGCACUUUAGACAGGGAAGAGAAAGGGUUGCCGAACCUGGAGGUGGAAACGCAGAACGGCGCGGCCACGCAGCCGCCGAGGUGCGCCCAUGGAGGGGCCGCCGUGCUUGUGCACGGGCCAAGCGUGGGCUACGUACGACCUAGCGCCGGCGAGGCACCGGACCUCUGGUGUACCCACUGUCGGGUGCUAGGGCAAGCGCCCGUUGCUGGGAUUCAACCACGUGGAGGGGGAGGGAGAGGAAGGAGAAGUGGAGACGGUGGGGAAGGGAAGGACGGGGCGGCGAUGUGGCUCAGGAAGUGGCAGGUAGGGUUUCAGCGACAUGGCUGGGGGUGAUGAACCGAUGCACCGGUGCAAGACCCGGCGAGGGCCGCCAUGGCCCUACGCUUGCGGCGCGAGGAGGGAGGGUGUGGAGGAGGAUGAGGGUGGCCACCACCGCUCCGAGGGCCGGCCACCGCCGAGGUCACCUCGCCCCAUCGUCUCGGUGUUGUGGGAAGAGACGGAGGGAGCGAAGAGGACAGAGGAUGGGGAGAGAAGUUUCCUGAAGUCCUAAAGUAGGAGCAGAAGCCCUUGUAUAUAUUUGGUGGAUCGGAUUCAGAUGAGAAGCUGCAGAAGCUAGCAAAAUAAACAGAGAGCGACGAGGAUCUGCAAGAAGCCGAUUCUGACUGAAGCCGCUUCAGAUGAUCACAGCCACACGAUUCAAGAUCGGACGGCCACGGUAAUUUCGGGUGACGUGGACCCUGCUUCUCCUGGAAGCCGCCGGAUGGUUUAGGGGAGAAUUUCUUGACUAUAAACAACUAAUUAAGUAGGUCUUCUUAGUUGUAAUCGUUGAAACCUUAUUAGAUUGCAAACACCUGCAAAAACCUAAUCCCUCAUUUUAUUCACCAAGAUAAUACAAGAUCAUCCAAAUUGGCCAAACUUAGCGGCCUGAACACUGGUGGAGCCUCAUGGAUGCGAAGCUGGGCUGCUGACCCUUGCUGUCAAGAGAUUUCUGAAGACCAUGUAUGUACUCAGCUUUUUUUUUGCGAACUGUACUCAGCUUAUUUAGUACCAUAAACAUCAGUCUUAAACCAGAGCUCAUCCUUAAUUCAUCUCAUUCCUGCCUUGACCUUCAGCCAUUAUCGAUCUUCAUUAAGGGGACGUUUAGUUCUUCUUUUAUCCUAAAAUUUUUGGGUUUUAGCCCAUCAUUUUGUAUAAUAGAACUAAACAACAUGCAAAAAUUUUGACAAAAAUGUGACUAUUCUUCAUUUUGAAUUUUGGCCUCAAGAGGCCAAAAAAACCCAAAAGAGCCUCAUGAGGCUCUAAUGAAGACAAUAAAUUCUGUAUUUUUUAUGGAACUAAACAUAACCCUGAAAAUUUUAACAUUUUGCAUUUCAUUAUUCCAAAGUAGUUGGUAUUUUAUAUUUUUUGCAUUCUACGAAGAAUUAACACACCCUAAAAAAAUAUAUGGUACCCGUACGUGUCCAAAGCGCAUCACACUUAUGUGUGACUAGAGUAGACCAUUUUUUUGGUGACAUGUGUAAAUAAAUAAAAACCAUUGUAAAGUAAUGCAACUUUUACUUGUGUGGCAUCGAAUCAUCACAAUAUUUUUUGAAACUAAUCAUCACAAUUCGACACAACUUAUCCGCCGGAUAGAGCUUGUAUUAUAUUUGGUAGAUGGACAUUUUUUUUGGUGAGAGAACAUAUAAUUUAUAUAUGUUAGGUUUUUUUUUCCUGUGAGUAUAUAUAGGAUUUGAUUCUCCUAUGAAAAACAAAAUAAAAUUAAUGAAGUUCAGAAUCAAUUAUGGCAUGAACUAGAAUACCUUUUCAUAGUUAGGUCUCCAAGAGAAGCAAGAUCAGCUGUAAACAAUGGCCAAAAAAGAGAAAGGAUGAGACCUGUUACGUGGCAAAGGUCACUUUACAUUCAAUCAAAUAUUCCCCCAGAUCAGAUCAUCUUGUAGAAGAUAAGUAUAUGUAAAAACAUGUUUUUUUAAGAAAAGAAGAUCUUUUGCGUGGAAAAAAUAGCACAAAAUAACAUUAUUUCUAGGAAGGAUGAAAGGUCUGUUACAAGUUGGAGAAUAUUUUCUCGGUACAACAAGAUAUGGAGAGACUUGACUAGAAGUUUCAAAUUAGUGUGACACAACUGUAAAAUGUUAACAAACUGAAACUAUUGUCAAUAUAAAGUAUAAGUUCUUCAUAGUAAGUAGGUUCUACUACACAGAUUAUUUUUACAAUUCCCUUGCAUUUUUUAGGGGUGGUUGAUAUAGUAAACCACCUCGCUAUAUAAUUGUUAUGAUUUACAGUAGCAUAAAAACUGUCCCUAUAUAAACUAUUUCCAUGGUCGAUUAGCUUAAUAAAAUCAAUCUGCUCCUAAAAAUCUACCUAUUUUUAGGGCCAGUUGACAAAAGAAGCCACCUUUAAAAAUAUAGAUUUUUGUGAUUGGAGCGGCGGAGCUUGUUUAUGUCUACUGCCCCUAAAAAUAAAAGUAGGUGUAUUUAUAGGAACAAAAAAAAUCAUAUUUUUUCAAAUGAAGUUAUUAGAUGGAGACAAACAUUAUAUCAAAAUUAUAGUAGAGCUUAAUGAGACCGAAAAACUUUGUACUUGAUGAAUUUUGUAUUUGGGAUCAUUAUAUAGGACGAACUUUACAUUUUAAGUUUUUAGAUUUGAAAUUUAGAAUUUUGAAUUUUUCAAACGACCUCGAGUGCUCGAUGACGAGAUCAGCUGAGACUUUAUUUUUUUUCUCAUUUGAGAUUGACUAGGUGCCAACAUAUUUAAUAUAAAAUCUGUAGAAGUUUAUUCAAAAAAAAAAAUCAUCAUAUACUUGAUCAUAAGUGACACAAGGGUUCCCACACGAGGCAAAAGAUCCUAUAUUAGAAUCCUGGUGGACGUCUUGUGCAAAGUCUACGCGAAGAUUGAGGCUUGUGAUUAUGUGUUAGCCCCUAGGGCAACUGAAAAUAUUUUUGAGAACUUAUUGAUACAUUUGAAUAUAUACUUUUAUAUUUCUAGGGGUGGUUGACUCAACCGUCUCUAAACACCAUUCCGAAAAAUCAAUUUUCAUGGGCCGUUGAUUUAACAAAAACCUCUCAUAAAGAUCAAUUUUGUGGGGCGGUUGUCUGCAAUAUCUCAUUUCUACUAUCAUAUUAGUGGUGUAGAAGAACUUUUGAAAACCACCUCUAAAAAUCGAUUUUGACCGUAUCUAAUUAAAAAUAAUGUAUGAGUAAUGCUGGUGGCAGUGAAAAUGUGAAAUAUGGACACAUAAAGGUGAAAUAUAUAUCUAUGUCAAAUUCUGUUCAAAACAGGAAAUCAAACCAGAACUACUUAACUCUAUUUUUUUUUCUUUUGGGAAAUUGCUGUACAAAACCAAUGCUUUACAUGCAUGCACGCGGCCCAUAUGAGCAUCUUGGCGGAUCUCUUAAGGUUGUCUCAGUCAGCAAUGCAAACACUCUUACGAAGUCUAGCCAUGCAUGAUGCAAUCUGUGUAGUGGCUGCAACAUCAUGUGUUGAAUAGCACCACCAGCAUCAUCAACGACGUGUGUGCUUAUCGACGACUCAUCAUAUAUGACUCAUCGUCCUCGUCCACGAAACAGAUGGAAUAUAAUCUCUGUGUUCAUGUGUACCAGAAUACGUGUGCGCAUCAGAUUCAGGUUCGUCAUCGUACAUGUGUGUGCGUGUGGAUACAUGCAUGCAUGGUUACCACUACAAGUCCUCGCGGCGCCGGAAACGAGAAUCAGGAGACAGUCAAAACUCAUCCCUCGUCUAGUCUUGUGUGAAAUGAAAUAUAUAUACAUAUUCUUCAGAGACAGAUAUGAUCUCGACGGGUAGAAAGAUGCAUGUGUGGAUCAUAUACAUAUACAUAUAUAUAUAUAUACAGGCCGGCUACUGGUCAUGGCUUUCGGUUUAUGCAUGUGUGAAUCGAACAUUCCGCCCUACUACAUGGUACUCGAUCUCUCUGGAACCCGGGCUGGAAUUCCUCGCCAAUUUCAUUGAAGUUCUUGUUCGAAUGUAGUCGCAUUCACAUAAAUCUAUUCGGGUGAAACUUAAAUUAAAUUUUAUCUAAAUUUACCCUAACAUAUAUGAAUUAGUUUCUUAAAAAAAAGCACAUAUAGAUUAAGAUGAAUCCGACAUCGUCCGAACCUCUCUCUUUCUGCCAAGUUGGAGUCGGCUAGCUAGCUAUAGACAUCCAAGGCUUUUUGCCUACUGAAAAAUUUAAAUAAAAGCAGUCUCUGUUUCCAACGUCAAAUUUUUAAUUAAAUUUCUCAAAUGGUUGUACUAGGCUUCUAGAAAAUUUGAAUCUCAUUUUCUAAAAUGUUAAGAUGCAGUGAUUACAAAUCAUACUUGUUACGUGUUCAUUUGGACGGUUGUCCUGAUUAUUGAGCUAGAUAUCUUUGUUUUUUUUUUCACUUGACAGCAUCAAAUUCUACAAAGAGAUUGAGCUAAUAGAAAACAAUGAUAAUAAUUAUGUUUCUAAAACUAGUGACAUCAACAACUAUCUACUCUAGAUCUUCCCUGUACAUACUACUCCCUCCAUACAAAAUUACAAGUCAUUUUAGUUUUUCUAGAUACAUAGAGCAUUGCAAAAGCAUUUAGAAAAAACAAAACAUUUUAGAAUUUGGAAUGAAGGGAGUAAAUUAAUCACAAGGCUUACAACUUAUUAUUCUAUUUCAACAAUCUGUAAAAUUUCAUAGUUUUAAAAUGGCUCUUAAACUGCUAAAUCUAGUCACGUCAGAAAGGAAACGAACCUUGGGCCUCUCCGUGUGUGUGAACUUCUAGCGAGCUGGGGUAACCUCAUUUGUUGUGUGUCUUGCUUGGGCCGUUGUCGAGCUAUGCGAAAGUGGCUUUUUUUCUCAUAACCUUUUUUUAUAACCUGCGAAGGUGGCUUAGAUUCCAUUCGACUCAGUAUAUAUCUUGGUCGCUUGGCAUUCUUGUUACAAGUUUUGAAUUUUGAUACACUGGGUCAAAGGCCGCCACAUCAGCGCCCAAUGGUCAGCUGAGCUGCCAUGCAUGCUGGCGGGCUUGCCGCACCGGCAUGCAUGCAUGGUAGGACAGCGUGUAUCAGCUGCGCAUGGACGCAGCCAAAAAAGUUUUAGUUUAAAAGAUCAUGUUAGAGAUAAAAAUAGUAUUAGAAAAAUUGUCCUUGUAGGAGGCUCCAACGAAGACUAGUGAAGCGUGAGUUUUUUUAUACAUCGGAGAAAAAAAUAUUGCCGAACGGCACUCUCUAACUCUUUCUAUUUCGUAAUUACAUUCUUGAAUUACUUGUUGUGUGAUUCACCUCCCUACUCUAGCUUGCUAUAGGUUUGGAACUUACGUUAAAAAUAGCAACACAUUUAUUAGAAAAACCUAGUGCACAUGUUAGAAGGCAAGAUGUCUAUUUAAUGGGUUGUAAUAAUCUCGGUGGAGAUAAGCAAGAAUAGAAAGAAGGGCCUUCUCUCUUACUCGACCAUGGGCAAGGCCCCUGGGCAGCCCCCUCUCUCGCUCGCAACCUCGAUCAACAUGCAACCGCCAUACCAUCUAGUAUCGGAGAUGCUAGGUUCCACGCGGAUUUGUCCCAACUUCCAUCGCCUACUUCAAGUCGAUGGCACUACUUUUAAUGUUGUCGAUCCUUCAUGUGACGUGGGCAAUGCACCAUCUUCAAGUGCCAGCACCAUGUCAACCCUAUAGCUCGUCAAUCUAUAAUAGUAGCUGUGCUACAGGAAGACAUGGCCCUACGACUCCCAAAAGCAAGAGUGUCUCCUGCGGCGAUUGUCCCAUCGAUCAAGGAUCUGCACGCUGAUAUAAGGAAUACAAUAGCCCAGAUGCAAGCCAUGGUGGAGGAGUUGUUGCAGCUACUAUAGUUCAAGAAGACGAUGAACAUCACGAUGGAGCCAGUGAAGAAGGUGCAUAUCCUCGCCAGGUGUUGGCAACAGUCCUUGCCAGGUGUUGGCGACAGUGCUUUUUAUAUUACAGGCUGCAGCACGCGGACUCCUAGCGUGACGGCGAGCAUGGGCCAUGCGAAAUCUGUGGGUGAUCGAGCCUCGUACCCCUCCGCAGUUUCUCCAAGUUGUGUAUCAUCGCACUGAGGACCUUGAUCUUGUCUGCCGUGUCAAAUAUCUUGGGCGUGUUGUUUCCCAUGUGGGCAGUGGGCAUGUUGUUUCCUCCGUGGGCAGCAAACUCAUAGUCGGCAGCAUUGGCGGUUGCGGAGGUGCACCCCUCCCCGCCAUUCUUCAUCAGAAGCCCUCCUCUCUUCUCUAUGUGGUGUGGACCAACGGCCGUCCAGUGGGGAGAAGGCAUGGUUCACCAGUAGGAGCACACCGAGUAGCACAAUCGCAUGCCGUCACCGGCCACCACAAGGGGACCUUUGUUGGUCGUUGUUGCAACCACUUCUAGGUGGCCAUACACAUGCACCCCCUUUGUCCUGAUGGUGUCCAAGGGAUCAGGCGUGGUUGAUGGUGUCCCCCUCAAUUGAAGAGGCCACAAAAAUAAAGCGUUCAAGUCCAUUUUAGGUUGAAAAUAAUAAAAUGAGCCAAGAUGUAAAAAGCUUGUUUUUAGGUUGUAGCUUAAGUAUAAGUUGCUUGUCAAGGAUGGGUGCAGUGUUAGAGGCGUGUGAUGGCAUAAGUGGGCAAGGAAAGACCUCACGUGGCCUAAAUUUUAGGAGGAGAAAAUCAAGCAUAUGGUGGAGAGCUCUAGAGGACUGGGUAAAGGGGAUGUGAGGUGGAGGACUUAGCAAAGGGGAUGACCAUGCAUGCACAAGAGACUGCACAAGAUGUCUAUUUAAUUGGAAGAUAAGCAAAAAUUAGAAGAAAGAGCCUUCUCUCUUGCUCAACCGUGGGCAAGGCUCCCCGGCCGUCUCCCUCUCUUUCUCUCUCUCAACCUGCAGCCACCAUAACAGCACUUAUUGAUAGAAUUUAUGUAGUUUUUUAUAAGUGGUUUUUAGCGUUAGUUUUUAAGUGGCCUAAUUCUCUCCUCUUAGGCCUCACAGUCCCUUCUCUCUCUAUAUAAACUCUCGAGAAUUGUAAGUAUAUAUACCACCGGCAUCUUCCUUCACAGGUUAUUACUGAACUAAAUAUGUCGCGUUCCCUUAACUUUAGCAGAAGUAAAUUGUCUAUUAUCACUGCUCUAGAAAAUACUGGACUUGUAUUGCUCUAUUAGAAAAAAAAAACGCUGCAAAAAGGAGCUCGUUUUUCAGAGCAAGGUACUUUUAUAUUCCAUUGCCACAUGAUCCUUAUUACCAGCUAGGGCCUUGUUUACUUCCAAAA
rnacentral:lncRNA from 1 species